rnacentral:lncRNA from 1 species
AGCAUUGGGUAUGAUCUACAGUACUUAAAGUAUUGGCACUACAACAGAAUUAGAUUAUAGGGAUACAUGUUUGGGACACUUUUGAGUAAGUGUCCCAUUUAUGCUAAAAUUUAAAAAAAUAUCUGCUAAUGCCUAAAUAUAAAGCCCAAUCCAACCAAAAAUAAAAGAUUACUCUACUCAACCCACCACACCCAGUCCAUUUAGCCCGAUUACAAACAGAAAAGAAAAAAAAAAAAGAAAAAUUAAUUGCCAUCUUUUCUUCUCUCUUCACUCAAUCAACUGAAAUUCUAGACGAAAAGCCUUUCCUGUCGUCCUCCUCCGCCACCGCAGCCAACGAGAUAAAGUUUCGGCGGUUGCUAAAUGCUUAAAUAAGUAUUCGUAAAUUAGCAGCACUCUUUUAGGUUAUAGCGACACUUUUUAACUGUCACUAUAUACCUAGCGACCCCAUAUAUAGCAACACUUUUUAAAAGUGUCGGUAAUUUUAGCUAGCAGCACUUUUUUGAUAUGUACCUACAUUUAAAAGUGUCGCUAUAGACUGUUUUUGUUGUAGUGUGGUGGGUAGCUUUUAUAUAUUUUGGAUAAUUGAUUUUUUCAAAAUUAUGACCGUUUGUACUAUUUAUACAUUAUAAAUGAUAUCUAAUUUUAAUUUUUAAACUUUAAGACACCUUAGUUUGAGUGUUGAAAACGCUGACGAUGUUGAAUAUAAGAUGUUAAACCAUCGUUGUGCCAUAGUGAAAGCUUUUAGGGGGAAAAAAGAUUAUUUAAUAUAAAUUUUAUAUGAUAUACUAAAUGUGAAACCUAUGGGACAUUGUUUAAUUUUCUUUUUUUGAAUAAAUUUUCACGUAUGUUUUAUAUCUAUUAAAAAGUCUUUGACCCCGUUUGGAUUGGACACAAGAGGGGGAUGAGAGCCUUAUCCUCCCAAUUGUACCCAAACAAAAAUUUUUGGAUUGGAACAAGCUUGUUCCCACUAAAGCUUGUUCCUACUCACCCCCUGUUGCUAUAGAGAGAGAGAGACUUUUGUUUUAAAAUACAAUUUAAAUUUUUAAAAUUUGUAAUUUGAAAAUUAAAAUUUUAAAUUUUAAAUUUUAAAAUUUAAAGUUUAAAUUUUAAAUUUGAUAUUUUAAAAUUUUAAAUUUUUAAAUUUGAUAUUUUAUAUUUUGUAAAUUUAAAUUUGGUCUUAAAUUUAAAAUUUAAAAUUAUUUGAUAUUUUAAAAUUUUAAAUUUUUAAAUUUGAUAUUUUAUAUUUUGUAAAUUUAAAUUUGGUCUUAAAUUUAAAAUUUAAAAUUUAAAAUUUUUAAAUUUGAAGAUUUAAAUUUUAAAUUUUAAUUUUAAAUUUUAAAUUUUAAAAGUUAAAAGUUAAAAUUUUAAAUUCAAAAUUAUAAAUGUAAAAUUUAAAAAAUUAAAUUCAAAUAUAAUAAGAGGAAUAAUAUAAUUAUUUUUUAUUUAUAACUAUUCAUUAUUCUUCUUAUUCUAUUUUAUCCAUCCAAACACUAUUUUUUUUAUUCCCGAAAACAACCUAAUUUUCAUCCGAAUGCAAAAUUGGUCUAGUUUUCGUUUAUAAUUUAACUUGUAUCUAUCCCUGAAAUAAGUAGUUCUUACUUAAUUAUACCCAAACCAAAUGAAGCCUUUGAAUCCACGAAAUUAUUUUUUCAACGGAUAAUACUUUUUAGGCUAAAUUAUAGAAAAUCCUCUUAUAAUACUUUUUUUUUUUACUUUUCCUCCCCAACUAACUUUCAAAAUCUACAUUACCUCUCAACAUUUCAAGUUAUUGCAUAUAGCUCUCCCCUCCAUCAGGGUUUCAUCACUAUUCUGUAUAUUUCUUAUAAUUUAUAUCGAAAAUAUCCUUUAAGACGAUAGAAAUAUGUUAAAAAAUUAUUUUUUCUUAUAGACGAAGUAAUGCUAAUUUGAUUAUUUUAUCCUCUCUAUUAAUGUCGUAUUCCUUUAAAAAUAUUUCAGAAAUUUUAAAGGGGCAAAAUAUAGAUUUUUAAAAGUAAUGAAGCAAAGGUGAGUAAGCGGAUAUUUAUAAAAAAAUUUUAUAUAUUUUAUCCUACUUUUAAUUACAAAUUACCACUUUUAGUUCCGAAAGUUCCGCUUCUUCUUUAUAAGUUGUUUAUGUGUCAAAUUAACAAAAAAAUAAGUGAAACUCCCAAACUGCAUAAUGUAAAUAAGCCAAUCAAAAAUUCUCAUGUCAUCUAUGUCAGCAUAUCAGCAGUCUAUAAACGCACGUAGCAUUCUUUCUCUACAUUGUGGCUAUCCUUAUUGUUGGAAGCAUGAUUUUCUCUGAUACCUAUUAUUGGGAGCGUAAUUUUCUCUGAUAUUAAUUGUUGGAACUAGUAUUUGUGCUAAUACCGAUUAUAGAACCCAGAACAAAACAUAAUAUGAAGAAAAUAUAUUAUGGGAGGAAGAAAAAAAUAAAUUAAUACUUUAUUAAUAAAAAGUAAUUAAUUAUAUUCUGGACAAUACCCAUGGAAUUAUAUCUACCGUGACUUAUUCCUACGCCUAACUAUAUAUAACUAUCGAGUCAUAAGAGAUGAUAAAUCCAACUCUUACUUUGGAUAAGUAACCUAAUAUUUUUUGAUAAGUUUAGAUUUAUUUCUGUCAGAUUCAUCUCUUAAUAUUUUGUUGGUUAGACAUAAGAGAUAAGUUUAAAUCUUAUUCAAUUAUUAGUAUUAGGAUUUUAAUUUAUGUCUAUACAUUAAUACAUAUAUAUAUAUAUAUAUAUAUAUAUAAACUGCUGCAAAUGUGUGAAAAAUAAUUCACUACCGAAAUCUAGUCCAAGAAUAUUUAAUAAAAUUUUUAGUUUAAUUUGCUGCAAUACUCCUCUCCAAAUGAUAUCGAAGCAAAUUACGCUUCCAACACUUAGGGACCGUUUGGUUAGAUAUAAUUAUAAAUACAGUGUAGUUAGAGGCACAAGCAGUUGAAAAUGUAGCCGUUACAACUAUAUCCAUUCUGUUUGGUUAGAUGUAGUAGAAAAUGUUGCAAGUAUAAAUAAUUUAUUUGGUUGCAUGCAGUUGAGAUAUAAUUUCUAAAAUUUUAUUAUUUUAUAUAUAUGAUGGUGAGAUUACCUCCUAUGUAAAAAAUAAAAAAAAAAUUUGUUUAAAAAAUAAUUGAGCAGGUAAGUAUACCUUUUAUUUAAAGUUACUCUCUGAGUCUCUUCAACUACUGCGGCCAAUUUGGGUAUAGUUCGAACUGCCGUAUUUGGGCCUCCUGCAGUUUUUACUACACCAGUUGGAGUUAAAUAUAUUAAACUAAACACUAUAGGUAGCAUUUGGAUUGGGGAUAAGGAGUGGAAUAACCCCUUAUCCCCUCUUUAUACCCAAACGCUAAUUUUUUAUUCGAGAAUAGUAGUUCUCGGUUACCUAUAAUAACCGGAUAUAACUAUUCCCAUCAACAUCUCCAUUUUCUAUAUAUAACUACCCAUUAAUUUUCUUAUUCCAUAUUAUCUAUCCAAACGCUAUUUUUCUUAUUUCCGGAAAUAACCUAAUUUUCAUCCAAACGUUAUUUUUCUUAUCCCCAUACUUGUACCUAUUUCUGUAAUAGCUAGUUCUUACUUAUACCCGAACCAAACGCUACAUAGUUAUAACUACAGUGCAGUUACAACUGCAUACAACAAAACGGUCCCUUAGGGGGUGUUUGGUUCCCUGUAAAACUGGUCCGAAAAGUUUUUUUCGAUCGAAAAUUUUUUUUCCGAUGUUUGCUUACAAGUAAAAUUUUUUUUCGGAAAAAUUGUUUUACAGAUUCUCCGAAAAAACCCCAUUUUCGUUUUCCGCCAGGUUUUCGCGGGGGCGGAAAACGAAACUGGUCUCAAAAAAUCACGGCUCACAGGGCCUUGCGCGCACGCGGUCCAGGAGAUCAUCUUCAUCUCAUGGACCCGCGAGAGAGAGAGAGAGUCCACGGUGGACUCUCUCUUCCUCUUCCAUUAUAUAUAUAUAUAUAUAUAUAUAUAUAUAGUAAUUUAUUUUAUAAUAUUAAAUAUAUAUUAUUAUAUAUGAUAUUACAUAUUUAUUGUAUAAUAUGUUUUAAAUAUAUUUUAUUUAUAAAUAUAAACUAAAAAUAAUAAUAAAUAUAGUAUGAUAUUUAUUAUUUAUUAAUAAUAUAUAAUAAUAUAAAAUAAAAAAUAUAUAUAUUAAUUUAUUUUUAUAAUUUUUUCUUUCUUUUAUUUUUAAUCAACUAAACAACCGUAACGGAAAACUAAUUUUUUUUUCUACAAACCAAACGUUAAAGAGCGUAAAACCUUUUUUCCUCCGAAAAAAAUUUUCUGUGAAAAAUUUUUUUCCUCAAUUUUACGUGGAACCAAACACACCCUUAGCAGCAGAUAGCAUUCUGAUGACCGAGAGGGAAUUAAUAACCCUCUUCUUCUGCAUAUAAAAUACAAGAUUUUUCUGGGAACAAAGUUGUACCUACCAAAAUAUGGGCCUCUCUCUCUCUCUCUCUCUCUCUCUCUCCUAAUUCUCUUUUGGUUUCUUUCUUCUUUGUGAAGACACAAAUUCAAAUGAAUUAAUGGGAAGAGUAAACGGAGAGGGUGGGGGAGGUAAAAGGGGCCGACAUUUGAGCACGCGUUGCCGGAGGGGGGGAGAUUCACAGCCUGUAUGGGUGCGGUGGGUCCCACCCUCUUUUGGACCCUGCGAAGACGACGACGAAUCAGGGCCCCACAUCUUAUUAUGAUGGUUAAUGUCGAAAUUUUAUAGCUUUUCGCCUUUUCCGUUAAGUGAUCAAAUAUAAAAUCUUUAUUUCCGAAAAAAUCUGAAAAUUUUUCUAUAUCUUAAGAUGAAAUUUUAUAAAAAUACUACGUGCGUUUGUGUAUAUAUAUAUAUAUAUAUAUAUAUAUAUAGAGAGAGAGAGAGAGAGAGAGAGAGAGAGAGAGAGAGAGNUUGGGCCUUCCACUGCAGCCUUCUUACAAGUCCUAAACAAUUCAGACCUGUUAGUGAUUAAUAAUGUAAAAAAAAAUAAACACACAUACACAUACACACUUAAAUAGUGUAUACUUUUUAAUGUGUGUAAAGGAGAGAGAGAGAGAGAGAGAGAGAGAGAGAGAGAGAGUGAGUGUGUGAAUGAACGAAAGUUUUUAUUUUUUUAAAUUAUUUUUGAUAAUAAGACAUUUAAUUUGACAAUGGGUUCUAUUAGAAAUGAUCUACGUUGUCAUAAAACUAUCAAAAACUCAAAUUUUAUAUAUUUUUAAUAUUAUUUGUUUUAUUAUCGAAAAUAGUUUUAAAGUACGAAAACUUCCGUACUCUCUCUCUCUCUCUCUCUAUAUCUAUAUAUAUAUAUAUAUAUAUAGUUUAAGAGGCCUACCGCCAGAGUUUUCAUUUUUCGCUCUAGAGAAGUGAAGAACGAAAAAACUUAAGUUUUUCAAAAAAAAAUCCAUAAAACUAUUUUAUGAGGAAAUUUUUGUACAUUCAGAGGAACAAUCAGCUGAAAAAAUAUUUUUUGAGCCGAAAAUUGUGUUUUUUUUUUUUAGAGAGAGAUAAGUAACAUGCUACCCGUUUCGUUUAUUUUAUUUAGAAAUAAAUUUAGCUGAAAAUGUGAAUCAACUAGGAUUCGAACUUGGGUCUCGAGUACCAACUACCAAGCCCUUUGCCACUUGCUCUAUUGACUGCCGGUGAGCCAAAAAUAGUGUUAGAUCUCGUUUUACGAGGAACCAAAGGCACCGACAGCAGCAGAAAAUUGCAGAGUUAAAAAAUUCAGGGAAUUUAUGUGUGGUAAUGUUAAAAUGUUGACAGGGCCAGUACAUGAAUUUUGUUCCACAUUUCAAACCUGCGACUCUCAUUUAUAGAUUCUUUUCUCUGAGGAUCUUUGCUGUGGACACGAAGAAGGACCACAAUGAAGAAGCUCCAAAGAGAGAAAUUAAUGGCUCCUUGACCGCAGCAGCAGCAGCAGCAAAAAAUCAAACUAAGUAUGGGGUCUUAAAUUCGAGCUGCAGUUGGGAAAACCACUGAAGUAGGGAGUAUACGAGACUGUUUAAGCUAUGAAAGCUGUCAGUGACAUUUUAAUAGGCUCAAAACACGAAAAUACCGUAAAACUGUUGUUUCUCUCUAAAAAUUUAAAUUGUUAUAUUCAGUAUGUAUAGACCAUGUUAGCUCCUACAUUUACUUUUAGAAACCACAAACAACACAAUAAGAUCAGUGGAAAAGAACUAGACCGGUAUACUAUCAGUAGUAAGGAGGCAUCAGUCCUAUUAAGUUGUUCUCGAUGAUGCAGCUUUCAAAUUAACGAUCGGCUCCGUUAGACUUGGUCUACACUAUUAAAAGUAUUUGAAAACUUAAUUUUAUAUUUUUUCGACAUUAUUUGGCUAGUGAUCAAAAGGUUUCAAAAAUGACAAUUUUAAUGGCUGAUGUGUUGCGUUUGUGAAUUUAACGGUGUAAAACAAUCCGAAUCUGAUGAAUUUUUUAUAGAAAAUUUUUUUAUUAUUUAGAGUAAGACUAGUACCUCUAAUUUUAAAUUCAAGUCUUUUAUCAUCGUUUUUUAUGAGAUUUUUAUUUUCAGUUGUUCAUUUUUAGACUACUCGUUUGAUAGGUAAAUGAUAUUGAAAAAUUAUAAAAUUUAGUUUUCAAAUACUUUCAAUGGUGUAGAUCAAGUCUAACGGAGCCGAUCGUCGAUUUGGAAGCUGUAUUAUCGAAAAUAACUUGGUAGCACAAAGACUUUCGUGCUACCGAUAGUAUGCCAGUCGAACUCCACUGAAAAAAUUCACUUAUAAAUAACACAUAUAUAACCUAGAUCUGUCGCUGUCAUAAUUUUGUUUUCCUUUCCUUUUGACAGUGACACCGAUGCACUCAUUUUCAUGUACUAUUGCUUGCUAAUACAAGGAACUUAGAUAUUUCCUCAUUGCAUUUAAGAAAAAUAAAAAAAAAUAAAAAAACUACACUUGAUAUCAUCUCUUUACCCACUUUGAAUGCUAUAUUUAUGAAUAUAAACUAGCUACAUCUCUCACUAGGUCAACACAAAAUUGGUUCCAAACAAAAGACUAUAUACAUUUUGUCCACACUCUAACUUGUGUGUCCCACUUACACCUGAUCCACACAAGUGGAGCACUCUACUUGUUCCUUCGAAAGCAUAAUAAUGGGUUUAUAUUGGAGAGAUGAUGGUGAUGGAUGUGCCAUGGUUAAUUAUCUCAUAAUAUAUUUUUGGAAAAUUGUUUAGUAUAUAGUAAAUUAUAAGUCAAUUAUAUAAUAAUUUUUUUUUCUUUUUUAAUAUUUAACAUAUAAAAUUAAUAUUCAGGUCAGACAUUAUGUUUUAAAUCUGAUCAGUCACAACACUUAGAUGCCAAAAAAAAAAAAAUAGUACUAAUUUCUAUAAGGAUAAACUUCAAAUACCAUUCCUGUGAUUUCGCACUUUCUCAUUUUAGUACCAUGUGAUUUAAAGUAUGUCAAGUUAGUAUCAUGUGGUUUCAUUUUUAUUUUUUCGCAAGUUUUUUUUUAAUUAAUAUUUUGAUAAAUUAUAUACAAAAAACUCACAGAUAUCCCAUAUAGUUUUAUCGAAUAUUUAUUUUAUUACUCUUUAGUUUUAACUUUGUCACUGAUUUAACGAAAAAAAUUAAUAAAAUCGAUAAUAAAAAGAGAAAAAAAUGAAACCAUAGUACUAAAUUAAUAUGCUUUAAAUUCUUCAUUUGUUACGAUCUUUACUUUCCAUUAUGUUAAAUAUGUGUCACAUCAAGUUUUGGAUCCAAUCGACAUCUAACGCAUGCCUUCAUCUAUCUUGGCCUUGCUGUUAUCCUCUUGCAGGAAGAGAAAGUCUUCUUUUCCAACAGUGGUGAGAGCCGCAAUUAAAAAAAACAAAAGUGAUAUAAUCAUUAAUUUUAUCGCAUUAAAAAAGAAAACUUUAAAAUACUUUUAUUAGGUUUCUCUUAUCUCCUAAAGCAUAAAAGUGCACCCAUGUGAACAUCUCAAUCCAACAAGUAUGCAUUAUUUGCUAUUAAAAAAAAAAAAGUGUAAUAUGAAAAUAUAUUCUAUUUAUUUUCGUAAUAAAUCAUAGAGUUUAUUAAAUAUGUAGAUUCAAUUAAGAUAUAUACAUUUUGCGUUUCCUGAACCAAAGAAAAAUAUAGCCUAAACAAGAAAAAGGCUAAGCCAAGGCAUAUAAAAAGAGGUAUCACAAAAAGAAUAAUAAUUUACAUAUAUAGUUGCGUACUUACAUAUAUUCGGAUAACACUUUAACGGGGAUUUCUACAACGAUAUCUCAUUAAAAAACUCCUGAUUCGUUUUCACGUGUUAGUUUUGUUUUAAUCUAAGAAUUCGUUCCGUUUGGUGUUUUUUAUAUUGAAUUUCAAAACAAAAAAAACUCUAGAAAGAAGAAUUAUAAGCUUUGGAUUAAGAUGAAAGGCAGUGAGACAGGAACUUUUCAACGAAGCGUUGUUGGGGAGAUCCCUAAUGAAGUUAUUACUUUACUUUGUGUACGCGUAUCAAUCGUGCAUGGAUUAUUAUUACAAAGUUACAACUGAGGACCUAUAUAUAAAUAUAUAUUUUGGAAUCUAUAAAAUUAAGUUUCAAGGUCACAAUUGGCGGGGGGGUCCCUGAUGUUCCUUCUAUAAUAUAUAUAUUUGGCUUCUUGUGGAUUAAUUGGAAUAAAGAAUCCAAUAACAACUCAUAUCAAUUCAUGGAAACUUUUGCUUUUCCCUUAAUAAAAAAGAAAAGCUACGGUGAGAAAAGUCAUGGGGAAUUAAUGGCUACUCUUCUGGUUCUUUGUCCUCACUCCAUGGCCUUCACAUUUUCUUAAUUUGAUAUUAUUUGAUUCGGCAAUAAAAUUUUUCCGAUUUACUUUUAGACUAAAAUACAGAAAAGUUUUGUCUUUUUUUUUUGUUUGCUAACUUUUAAAAUAUUUACAUUUUAUCCUUUUAAAAUUUCAAAUUAAUGCAUUUAGACCUCAUUCGUUAGGUCCGUCACUAUUCCGUCUAUUUUUUUAUAAUUUAUACUGAAAAUAUUCUUUAAAAUGACAUAAAUAUAUUUAAAAAAAAAAUUUCUUAUAGAACAAGGGUGAUUUGGUCAUUUUGCCCACUUUCAUUGAGGUUGUAACAUUUUAAAACAUUUUGAAAAUUUUAAGGGGGCAAAAUAUAAAUUUUUAAAAGUCUGGAGAAAAAAGUAAAAAAAAAAAAGGUAUUUAAAUAGAGAUUUUCUGUAUUUUAGCUUUUUUAAUAUAGAUAUAAUUUUUGAAAUAAGUAGAAAUUAAACAAAUUUUGUGUUUGGAUGGCAAUUGAGUUAUUCUUGCAAAUAAAAAGAAAAUAUUAUUUGGACUAUUAGAUUGAAUAGUGGGAAUAAAAGUAAUUUCAUAUUUCUUAAAAAAAAAAUUAUCUAGUUUAUGAAUAUCAAAAUAUCAAUUAAAUAAUAACUUAACAAGUUGAUUAAUUAAUUAACUAUGAAAUAAUUGAUUAUAACAGUAAUUUCAUAUAUUUAUUAAAAAUAAUUUAAUAAUUAUAAUAAUUAAUUAACUAAUUAUAAAAUAAUAUAUUAUAUUAAUUAUAUUAAUAAAGGAACUAAUUAGAUCGAAUUAAUUUCUAAUUAAUUAGAUCGAAUUAAUUUCUAAUUAAUUAGAAUUAAUAGGACUAGCGUUAGUUUGCUCUAUAUUGAUGUUUAUGUAUUUGGUUUGGGCCAAAUCUUUUGACCCGGCCCUGCGUCGAUGCGCGACCCGUAGACGCUACGAGAAUCGGCCCAAUUUCCUCGAACAAAUUGAGCAAAUAGAUGCCAUAUUUCAAGUUUGCUUCACAUCCGCCACCUAUCACUACCUAUCACUAUCAUCUCAACCCUACAUCUCUCCAUCAAAUGGCUAAAAACUCAAAAGCACCAACCCCUAGGUAUUCUAGCUCAACACUUAUAUAAUAUAUUAUAUUAUAUAUAUAAUAUAUAUUAUUAUAUAUAUAAUAUAUGAAUUAGGCUGGAUGGAAUACUAUUAAUAGUAAACGCUCUUUUUUGCUAUCAAGUUUUUAACCCUUGGAUGAAAAUUGUAGCGGUCAGGAUGAUAUUAGUCAGUUAUAGUUGAGUGGUCCCUUAGGGUUGAGUGGUUCCACUGCUUAUAGUAUUUAAUCCAAUGCGUUAGAAAUAAUGAAAAAGUUGAUCCAAAUGCUAAAAACCCCGGGAGCAACAAUGAGAUUUUUGCUACUAAUAGUUAACCCAGUCAACUAAUAUAUAUAUAUUAUAUAUAUAUAUAUAUAUAUAUAUAUAGAACUGAGCUCCUAUGCUUUUAAAAGUACCAAGUCAUUGGUGCUUGUAAGUUUUAGCCCUUGGGAUAUAAGGAAUGUGCGGUUAAAAUUGUGUGGGCCCCUAGGGUUAAGUGCGGUGGUUGUUGAAUAGUAUAAUCUAAACGGACGUGAAAAUGAUCAAAGCGCGUAGAUCUAACGGCAAAAAUUUACAAGCAUCAAAUACUUGCGUACUUUUACAAGCACCAUAGCCGGACUAUAUAUAUAUAUAUAUAUAUUAUAUAUAUAAUAUAUAUAGAGUGAGGCUAUUAUGCAUAUCGGAGCCAGCGAGCUUCCGUGCUUUCAGCUCCUCGUUUUCGAUGUUCCGACUUUCGAAUCGUCGAUCGGCUCCUUAAACUUGAUCUAGAGUAUUUGAAGUAUCUAGAAAAUAAAUUUUUAUGAUUUUACGAUAUCAUUUGCCCUAGUGAACGAAGGCGGUUCAAAAUCAACGCUGAAAAUAAAAAUCUUUACAAAAAUGUAAUAAAUAUGACAUUAAAAUUAAAUCAAAGAUAUUUAUCUUGUUUUAUUAUAGUAUAAACAAUUUUCUAUCAAAUUUCACGUGAUUUGGUAUUUCAUACACCGUUAACUUGCAAACGCUCACUACGGCCAUUUUAAAUUUGUUAAUGUUUGAGCUCAUUCGAUCACUAGGCAAAUGAUAUCGAAAAUUUUCUACGGUACUUCAAAUACUCUAGAUCAAGUUUAACGGAGCCGAUCGACGAUUCGAAAGUUCGCAACAUCGAAACGAGCUGAAGCACGGAAGGCUCCGUGCUUCGAUAGCAUAGUAGCCUCACUACUAUAUAUAUAUAUUAUAUAUAUAUAGUGAGGCUACUAUGCUAUCGGAAGCACGGAGCCUUCCGUGCUAUAUAUAUAUAUAUAUAGUAGAGAUAUUAUACUAUUGAAAGUAUGAAGGAAUUGAUAUUUUCAACAUUUUCGCCUUUAGAUUAAAAAUUAUAUGGUUUGAAUGAUAAUGGUCCUCCAUAGGGUUGAGUUAUUUCCAGGAGUAAAAAUAUUAAUCCAAAGUUUAAAAUUGGUCAAAAAGAUUGAUCUAAAGGUCAAAAGUCAAAAGCAUUAAUUCCUUUAUACUUCCAAUAAAAUAAUAACUCUUUCACUAUAUAUAUACAUUGAUUUUGUUUAGAAAUUUUUGGAUUUGUUCGAAUCCGACAAUACCCCUUGAUCAAUACAAUGCUGUCAAAAUAGUAUUAUUAAACGAAGCACCUAUAUAUCUUUAAUUACUUUUUUUCUACAACAAGUUUUGCUCUAGUUUUGCUGCAAGAAAAGUUCUAAAUAUAUAUUCAUUUUGUAACAAAGAUUUUUCCAGUGGAUUUUUAUACAGAAGUCUAGUAACAUUUUUUUUUUUUUUUUUUCAAAUUCGCCUCCAAGAUAACAGUAACUUUUGCUCACCAACAAAAAAAUAUAUAUAUAAAAUAUAAAAUAUAAAAUAUCAACAAAAAUGAAAAUUUGGGGCUUUACGCAUACCACAAAUAUUAGUGGGCAUGAGAUGCAUUGUGUCACUAAAUUAAGAUGAUUUAUUGUCUCAUUCCCAGUAUUAUUUAUUUAUGAAAUUGGACCUGGUAUUAUAAUUGAGUUAUCCUAGUUAGUUAAGUUAAAAAUUUUAUUAGAUCUAGUGGGUACAUAAAAUAUUAAAGGUUAAUUAUUCUAACUUUGUUUGCAAAUAAUAAUUAAAAUUAUUAAAUUUGAUGGGUACGACUAAUAAAUUUACAAAUUGUCAAUUUAACCAACUAAACUCCCCUCAAUGAAAAACAUUUGAAAAUGCGCUUUUAAACUAAUUUUCUUUUAAUUGACACGCGAAUUUAAUUAUCUAAACAUAUGUUUCUUUUCCUAACAUGUCAGGAGCUCACACACUCGAUUCAUGAAACGGAUCUACAACUUCAACCCGCGUAACCCGAUUGACCCGACCCUGAACCGAACUUAUGCAGCCCACCUACAAGUAAUGUGCCCUGCGGGUCGCGAUCAACACGGACCCGUCUAAGCCCCGAAAAUUCGAUAACCGGUACUACAAGAACCUUCAGCAAGGCAUGGGCCUCUUCAUCUCGGACCAAAUCCUCUUUACGGACCCCCGAACCCGACCCACCGUCGACUCCUGGGCUGGGUCACCAGGCCUUCGGACAGGCCUUCGUCUCGGCCAUCACCAAGUUGGGCCGGGUCGGGGUCAAAACCGGGUCGGAUGGUAAUAUUCACCGUAAUUGUGCUAUUUUUAAUUGAGAAAUGUUAGAGAGAGAGAGAGAGAGAGAGAGAGAGAGAGAGAGUUGGGCUUGAAUAUUAUUAAUAGUAUUUGCUCUCUUUUACUAUCAAAUUUUUAUCCUUUGAAUCAAUUUUUUUUUAUCAUUUUUAACUAUUAGAUUAAAUAUGAUAACCCAAUAGAAACUACUCAACCCUAAGAGACUAAUAUCAUCCUAAUCUUAUAAUUUCUCAUCUAAGGGUUAAAAACAUAAUAGCAAAAGGGUCAAAUACUAUUAAUAGUAUUCCAUUUGAUUUUUAGAAGUUUUAAAUUCUCUAAAUAAUAUUUUUGAUUUAUGAGUACUAGAGCGAUUGUAGAGUACAGUAACCGAACUAUAUAUAUAUAUAUAUAGAGUGGGCUGGUAUGCUUAUGGAAGCACGAAGCCCUCCGUGCUUCCAAGUUGUUUUCGAUGUUCGGACUUUCGAAUCGACGAUCGGCUCUGUUAGAGUUGAUCUAGAGUAUUUGAAGUACAUAGAAAAUAAAUUUUGUGAUUUUUUGAUAUCAUUUGCUUAGUGAUCGAAGGGGCUCAAAAUCAAUUAUUUUAAUAGUCGUGGUGAGCUGGUUGCAAGUUUAAUGGUGUAGAAAUAUCCAAAUCAUAUGAAAUUUUGAUAGAAAAUUCUUUAUACCAUAUAAAAUAAUAUCAAUAACUUUAAUCUAAAAUUUUAAUGUCAUAUCAUCAUAUUUUGUAAGAUUUUGUAUUCUUCAGACGUUGAUUCUGAGGUUUCACCUUGAUCAAGCUAGGCAAUAAUAUCGAAAAUGCUACAAUAUUUCGUAGAUGCUUUCAAAUCUCUAGAUCAAGUCUAACGGAUGGCCCGAUCGAGAUUCGAUAGUCCAACACCUCGAAAACAAUGACGCGGGAGCCUCCGUCUUCCUACACCAGCAAUCCUAACCACUAUAUAUAUAUUUAUAUAUAUAUAUAUAAUAUUAUAUAAUAAGUAUACUAGCGAUGAGAGAGAGAGAGAGAGAGAGAGAGAGUAGGCUACUGUGAGGCUAUUAGAGGCAACAGCAGUUCUUGUGCUCCUAAGUUCUUACCCGCCCAUCAAUUCUUGCCUGGAUGGGUUAGGGUAAUGAGAGAGAGAGAAAUUGAGAGAAAUUCAAGAUAAGAAAAAUUGCAAAAACUCAAAUUUCUCUCCAAUUACUUUUUCUUUUUUUUUCACCCUAACCACCCAUCAAAUUUGAUGAGCGGUUAAGAACUUAGGAGCACAAGGACUGCUGUGCUCCUAAUAGGACAGUAGCCCUACUCUCUCUCUCUCUCUCUCUCUCUCUCUCUCUCUCUCUAUAUAUAUAUAUAUAUAUAUAUAUAUAUAUAUAUAUAUAUAUAUAAGAACUAGGCUAAAAUACUAUCAAUAGCAUCAAUCAUCAAUCUAUUGGUGCUAUUAGGUUUACGCUUGGAAUAGUCUUCAUUUAGAAUUGUGGAGCAAACACCAUUUCACCUACCACCACCUAUUACCAUCAUCUCAACCCUACAUCUCUCCAUCUAAGGGCUAAAAAUUCAAAAACACCAAUCCCUUAGUGCUUUUGAGAGUAUUCUAGCUCAACUAUAUAUAUAUAUAUGGCUCCGGCUACUAUACUAUUAUGAGUACGAUCGCUGUCGUACUCAUAAAUUGUUUUCAAUGAUAGAGCUUUCGAAUCGACGAUCCAUACCGUUAAACGUUAUUUACAGCAUUUAAAACUUAUAGAAAUCAAAUUUUAUAAUUUUCCGACAUCAUUUACCUUACGAUCAAGAGGUCACAAAUUUGACAAUUUUUACUGGCCGGUAUGGGAUACUUGCUAGUUUAAUAGUGUAAAAGAAUCGGAAUUUGUUGAAUUUUUAAUAGAAAAUUCUAUUCACUAGCUAGAUAAAGAUCAAUAACUCGGAUCUUGAAUUGAAGGAUCCGAUCAUCCUUUUUUAGAACGUCGUUCGAUUUUGACCGUUCAUUUUAUGCCUGCUUGAUGGACUUUAUUAUGAUUUCGAAAAUUUGCGAAAUUUAUUUUCUAGAAGUUUGAAAUACUCUAGAUCAUAUUUAACGGAGUGGAUCGACGAUUCGGAAACUCCAUCAUCGAAAACAACUUAUGAGUACGAGAGCUCCAAUACUCAUAAUAGUAUAGUAGCCACGGCCAUAUAUAUAUAUAUAUAUAUAUAUAGAGAGAGAGAGAGAGAGAGAGAGUCCUGAGCUAGAAUAUCACCUAUCGAUAGUAACACCGGGUUUUACUACCGAUUUGUUUUCGAUGAUAGAGCUUCCAAAUUGACGAUCGCUCGUUAAAUAUGACUAAACCAUUUAAACUACCUAGAAAUCAAUUUCACGCAUUUUCGUAUUAUUCUUUUGUCCAUCAGUGACACAGAAAAUGAUGGCUAAAAUGAAUACUCUUUAAAAAAUGAUGAUAGGAGUCUUGUAAUCAAGAUCAAGAGUAUAGAUCUUGUUUUAAUAGUUUACAGAAUUUUCUAACAAAAUUCAAUUGAUUUGGAUAUCUUUACGCCGUUAACGAGAAAACGCCUCUUAUCGACCAUUAAAAUUACAAAUUUGAAACCUUUGAUCAUUAGGCAAAUGAUGUCGAAAAGAUUUAAUUUGAUUUCUAAACACUUCAAGUGGUAUAGAUCUUGUUAACGGAGCCGAUCGUCAAUUUGAAAGCUCUAUCAUCGAAAACAAAUAGGUAGUAAAACGGCUCGUUUAUAUCGAUAGUAUAUCUAGCAAACUAUAUACUAUAUAUAUAUAUAAUAUAUAUAUAUAUAUAUUAUAUAUAUAUAUAUAUAUAUAUAAUAAUAUGAGUAAGGCUACUAUGUUUUUGGAACCACGGAGCCUUCCGUGCUUUCAGAUCGUUUUUGAUGUUGCGAUUUUCGAAGCGUCGAUCGCUCCGUUAAACUUGAUCUAGAGUAUUUGAAAAGUACUAGAAAAUAAAUUUUAAGAUUUUUCGAUAUCAUUUGUCUAGUGAUCGAGGGGGCUCAAAAUCAAUUAAUUUUUAUGACGUAGUGAGCCGUUUGCAGUUUAACGGUAUAGAAAUAUUCAAAUCACGGUAAAAUUUUGAUAGAAAAUUCUCUAUACUAUAUAAAAAAGAUCAAUAUUUUUGAUCUAAAAUUUUAAUGUCAUAUUAUCGUUUUGUAAGAUUUUUAUUUUCAGCUGUUGAUUUUGAGUCCCUUCGUUCACUAGAUAUAAAUAAUCGAAAAUCGCAUUAAUUUAUUUUCUAGGUACUUCAAAUACUCUAGAUAAGUUUAACGAGCGAUCGAUGUUCGAAAGUUCGCAACAUAGAAAAUGACUCCGUGCUUCAGAACAUAGCAGCCUCGCUAUAUAUAUAUAAUAUAUAUAUAUAUAACUUAAAAAAUUAUAUAAAUAUGCGUAUAUAUGGCGCAUCGAGCUACAGAAAAUUUGCUAUUUAUCAAAUUAAACUAUACGUUAAGAACAUCAAAAAUCAUAUGAUUUGGAAACUUAACAUCACCAUUAUUGUUUCAAAAACCAUGAAAAUGAUUUCUCCUGAGUAACCCAAUCAAAGUGUCCCUCCACGUGAGGAAAAAUGAUUCAAAUAUAUAUAUAUAUAUAUAUAUAUAUAUAUAUAUUAUUACUUAUAUAUAUAGUUACUAAAGAGAGAGAGAGAGAGAGAGAGCGUCUGGUAUGCUUCUAAGUUGUUUUCAAUGUUGGAACUUUCGAAUCGACGAUCGGCUCCGUUAGACUUAAUCUACAGUAUUUGAAGUAUCUAGAAAAUAAAUUUUGCGAUUUUUCGAUAUUAUUUGCCUAGUGAUCGAAGUGGCUCAAAAUCAACGGCUGAAAAUAAAAAUCUUACAAAAUAUGAUGAUACGAUAUUAAAAUUUUAGAUCAAAGUUAUUGAUCGUGUUUUAUAUGGUAUAAAGAAUUUUCUAUCAAAAUUUCAUGUGAUUUGGAUAUUUCUACACCGUUAAACUUGCAAACGGCUGACCACGAUCAUUAAAAUUAUUGAUUUUGAGUCCCUUCGAUCACUAGACAAAUGAUAUCGAAAAAUCAUUUAUAGACUCCAAAAUCAUUUAUAGGCAAAUGAUCACUAGGCAAACGAUAUUGUUUUUGAGCUUCGGGGAUUUCAAAAUUUGCAUCCAUGUACUCCUAGAUCAUGUUUUUCUUUUUUUGGAUUGGAACUAGUAUUUUAUCUCCCUAACAAUUUAUAGACUCUACUACGAGUCUAUAUACAUACCACAAUUUUUUGGUAAAAAUAAGGCUUAAUUACAAUGUCCCCUUUGCACUUGAGGUCGCGUCUCAUUUACCUCAUGCGUUAAAAAAAAAUUUUUGAGGAAAAAUGCGUUAAAAAUUUUGUUAAUUAUUCUCCUAUAUUUUGUCACUGCUUCAAAUAAGUUUAAAAAUUUUUAAAAAUUCAAAAAUUGGGUUUAAAAACUUGACAAAAACGAGUGCUACGUUAAGUUGUUCUACACCUCAAAUAUUUCUAGAAUUUGCAACUCAAAAAACAGAUAAAAAAUUGGAUAUAACAGAUUCUUCUGUUUUCUAAUAUUAUCAAUAUAGAUAUUUUAUUGAAUAAGUUAUUUAAUUAAUAUGAUUCCGCUGUAUCAGUUAUAACUAACUUGACAUGUCAAUUUAUUUUUGUAAAGUUUUACAGCUAAAUUCAAUAACUUAUUUAAAAUUUUAUAUUUAUUUAAAAUAUAAUUGAAGCAUUUUUCAACUCCUCUUCAUCUUCUCUGUGUACUGUUACUGCUGCUUUUGGUGUAGUUGGAUGAGGGAGAAAUUAGUACACAAGUCAAAAAAAAAAAAAAAAAAAAACAUUGUUAAUAAGAUAUUCAAGGGCAAAGAAUAAUCACUCUCAGGGAAUUGAAGGAAAAAAUAUGUUGUUACUAAAUUUAACUAAAAUUUUAAACUAAAGUAAUAAAAAUAAGAUAAAGAAAAAUAUUAAAAUUUAGUAAUAAAAUUAAAUUAAAUUAAAUUAAAAAAAUUAUAAAUGAAAAUUAAAGUGUCAAGUAAAAAACAAAAAAAAAGUUGGGUUGUCAACUUCAAAAUGACCUUUCGAAGGGGAGUUCCUUGUAGACCAUUGUUCCUUCCAAAAACCAAAGUGGGGUUCUUUUAAAAAGGCAAUGUUACAUGUGUGUGUACUCCCAUCCCAAAUGUGUGUACGAUAUGCAUAUCAUCUAUUUAAUGAUCCACAAUAUGCUCUUUAGAGAGCCAGACCCUCUCGAACCGGAAUUCAGAAGAUCAUAUCGAAAGUGCUGGCGAAUAGACUUGCGGCCAUUUUACCGUCGAUUAUAUCUCCGGCCCAGUCGGCCUUUUUGAAGGGUCGUUUACUAGCUGACUCCUUCGUUACUGCAAGUGAACUCCUUAAUUGGUCUGCUAAAGCCGGUAAGGAGUGUGUCAGCAUUAAAGUCGAUUUCGAGAAAGCCUACGACAACGUGAGAUGGAACUUCCUGCAUGUUAUAAUGAGGUGGCUUGGGUUCAGCGAGAUUUGGUGGUCAUGGAUCGAACAAUGUAUCUGCAACGCCAAAAUCGCUGUAUUGGUAAACGGAACGCCGACAAAGUGGUUCAAAACUAGGAAGGGGCUGAGACAGGGAGACCCGCUUUCCCCUUACCUUUUCAUCCUGGUGGCUGAUUGUCUUGCUAGGAUCACGGAAGCAGCUAGGAAGAAUAACCUGAUUCGUGGAAUCGGGCCUUCGGCUAAUUGCCAGACAGUACUCCUUCAGUACGCAGAUGAUACUUUAUUUUUCUCGGAGCCAAAGAAGGGUGCAAUGCGGAAUCUGCUGUUCAUCUGGAAGAUUUUUGAAUGGGCCUCAGGUCUCAAGAUAAAUACGAAUAAGACGGAACUAGUUUACCUGGGACCCAACGUUAGUAGAGCUAGUAGACUCGCCGAAAUUUUGGGAUGUACAGUAGGCAAGCUACCAUUUCGGUACUUGGGGCUGCCUCUUCACACCAGAACCCUUCGGAAGGAAGAUUGGGUCCCGAUUAUCAAUCGUAUUCAGGCACGCAUAGAGGGUUGGAAGGCAAAACUCCUCUCUCACGGGGGUAGACUGAUCCUGGUCAACUCAGUACUUUCGAACCUACCGCUUUUCUACUUCAGUAUAUUCAAAGCGCCGCAAUGGGUGCUGAACCGUAUAGAAGGUUUGAGAAGAGCAUUUUUCUGGAACCUCACCUUGUGAACAAGGUGGGGAGGGCCCAUCUCUCUCUCUCUCUAAAAAUUAAAAUUAAAAUUAAAGAUUUUAAAUAUUAAAUCAGAAAAUUUUAAAUUUAAAUAUUAAAAUUUAAUAUUUAAAAUUACAAAUUUAAUAUUUAAACUAUAAACAUUAAAAAUUUAAAAUUUAAAUUAAAAAAUCUAAAUUUUAAAUUAUAAAAUAUAGAAAGUUUAAAUUUAAACUAGAAUUUAAAUUUUAAACUAUAAAUUUUAAAUUUAAAACUUUUAAUAUUCAAAAUUAAAAUUAAAGUUUAAAAUUUUAAAUUUUCAAUUUUAAAAAUUAAAUUUUAAUAAUCAAAUUUUACAAUUUAAGUUAAUAUCUCCAUUUUAAUAAUAAAAGAUAGAUAUUGAUGGCUGAUAAGGUGAAAUAUGAGUCUAAAAGUAGGUUUGUGUUAAAAAGAUUAAGGUCGAAUAUGAGUGUAAAAGUAAGUUUGUUUUUUUAUGAGAACAAGAAUGCUUUUAGGUAAGAACAUGGAUAGGGGCCAUAUUGAUCAAGAACGAAUAUGGGCUUGGUUUGCUUCGCAAUCUAAAAUUGACUAACGGUUUAAAUUUUAGGCGACUUUAGUAUUGUUCAUUUCCAAUUGUCCUAAUUUUUAGUUACUUUUUCUUCGAUUUAGACCGAAGUAAAGUUCAACCAUAUUUCAUCUCGCCAGAGGGACACAAGAAUACAUCAUCAAGAUAAGAGAGAAAAAAAACAUCGAAAAAUUAAAUUGAUAAAUGGUGUGUUUUCUUUUAUAUACAACUAAGGUAAAAAUAUAAGAACAAUGGAACCUUACUUUCGAUACCACAGGAACGGCGUGAAACGACCAGAUAGAAAAGUACAACUCAAAUAUGUUGGAUGUAUACUUAAAACAUAUCUACACUUCAUGUCCAUCAGUCCGAAGUAAGCACAACAGAACUUCAUAAGUAAACGGUGAUAACUAUACCUGGAAUAUAACUAUCUAUCUAAUAAACCGGACAAGGGAGUGGAAAACCAACCAAUCACAACGAUUAUAACGGAAUAGAGAUUAAUGUCUUAUACCAAAUAGACUCUUCGUUCGACUUCGAAAUAAUCUGUAUUGGAAUUCCUUCAACUGAAGAGAACUCCAUACAUGGCAUACUAAACUUACGAUGUAAAACGAAACUAUCAACGGUAGACAAAAAAGCAAAAAGACAAGGAACAUUACUCAACUAAGAGGGUGGAAAACGUCUCUUUUUCUAAACAACUACUUCGGUUUAGAAAUAGACUUGUUUAAAGAUUCGAUUUACUCGAAAACAGAUCGUUCUUCGAGUACAAAGUCCAUUGUGGGGAAUAGUAUUAAAAUCGACGACGCCGUCUGAAACACGACUUAAACUUCCGGUUUAUUACCUUCGUGUCUCAUUACAUUAACUUUAUUAAAGUUAGUUAGUUAAAGGGACGACGCAUGCUUUCUACACUUUAAUUUGAAUAAUUACACCCGACGACUGGACACUUUUGAAGAGACAAACUCGACAUACAAUGUAUCUGAAAAGUAAGAAGUCAAAGAAAAAAGUCGAAUAACUUGUUCUUCGUCAACUAAAUUUCUUAUCCAAACCCUGCGGUGCGGCAAGUAAUAACCUCCUAAGUCGUUUAUCAGUUGACCUCCUGUAUCUACAGUAGGGAUUGCUUCUUUACGAAAAUCAUUCACGAAGUAUAGGUUGGAUUCCGUAAAAGUCAGACAAACACGCUUCUCCUCUUCUCCCCCCGACGAUCGCCACGUAACUGAAGAAGUAAUUUAAAGGGUUUGACGAAGAGUGACGUCUUUGUCUUCGUCUUCGAACUUUAACCUCAAAACGAAAACCUUGAGACUUUGAUAAAGUCGAAGUACAAUGCUCCUUUUGAAACAUUAAAAACAAACCUCAUCUCUUCAAAGUCUUCGGACCGCUUUGUCCGUGAAAUACUAACUACAGAAUGUCAAUAUACAUGGACAUGUACUGUUUCUUUAUAAAUAAUGAAAGACUAUCUAGGAGUCACUCUUUCCUAUAGAAUUCUCCUACUUCGGAUUGUGGAAAUUAGAUGUUGUAGCUCCAUGAUAGCCCUUUAGACAACCUUUUUACGCUCAUUUACUAAGAUACAGACUGAAGUAACAGACAGUAUGUGUACUAGUGUAGGAAAUAAAGUCCAUGAACUCAAAACAGAUUAUAAGACAAUACUAAGAGAUAGUGAUAGAGGUAAAAUUCUUAUGUCCCGAAACAGUUUAUAUACACAUAUCGACUCCUUACUAGAUGAAUAUAUAUUUACGGACGUUUCAGACUUAAAAGUAAAUGGGAGCUUUCACGUCAAGGAACGUUGUUUUUAUGGGUAUAGAGUUCAAAUUCCUGCUUUUGUUAGGACUAUUUUCACCUGAAAUAAACUUUUUACAUAUAAAACUUAGUUGAUAAAUCCUUGUUUCACAUAACAAUAUGUUAUUUGGUAAAACGUAAGGACCGUCUAUUCCGUGGUUAGUAUAGGUAUCCAACCACUUUAAAUAUCCAAUAUCACCCCACGUUGACGGUAAAGUUGGUUAGUUAAUCGGGGUAAACCAAACUCGUACAGGUUCAAGUACCUAUAUAAUAAAGAGUACUUGUUUAUCAACUUUGAACUUCGAUUUGGUGUAUAUUUGUACAUUGAUCAUAAUAUGUACGACGUCACUAUUCCCUCAUCAAAUAAGACGAGCACGAAUAGCCUAUGGUCUUACGUGAUCUUGACGACGACCGUGAGGUAACUAUGUCCAUAAAAUACCAAACAACACGUCCUAAAAAAAAGUCGAUAUGGGAUUUUAAACAUAAAAACGUGACUUUACACAUAACUCCCCAAUAUGGGAGCUUAAACACUCAAACGUAACUUUACACAUAACUUCCCAUAUAUAUGGGGAGUUAUGUGUAAAGUCACGUUGGUGUUUAAAACAGCCUUCAACGGACAAAAUGACUCAGAUGACUAAAAAGAAAGAAAAAGGGAGAAAGAACUAGACCUACAUCGACAAUAGUAACAGACUUCCUCUCUCUUAUUGUAGGUAAUAAGGACAAUCACUUAAACCACUUCUAGUUAUAGAUGACUACGAAUGUAACUUACCCAUAUAGUUCUUUCACGGAGAAUUACGAAAGAGCCGUUAAGCUCGUUGUCCCUAGUAAAGCUAAGUUGACCAAUAAAGGACAUUGGAAUAUGUGUAGAAAACGUUUUUAAAACUAAAAACUAUGUAGAAUUUAGAAAAAACAUGUAAAGUCCAGGGACCACUGCUUGAAUUUACCCAGGCAGCGACACGUUUACUACUGGACCAGCGUUAACGAAGGGUCUUACCCUACCAGUAUCAAUUGAUGACAUUAUUCCACUCAAUUUAUAAAAAAAAUUCGCUCUCAAAUUUGUAAAUAAACGGCUCGAAACUGCAAGAGUCUACGGACUUAACUAUAGAGUGUUUUAAAUUUAUGGAAGAGUUCUUCCUUCUUGUACUUUCAUUCAGUCAAUUUUUUUUUUGUUAUGCUGAUCGGUCGAAAGAAAACGACUAAUUAAUUUACUAAAAAACCGUACAAAGAAUUUGAGAAAGGUAGAAACUUACACAGGUGAAACAACCAGGUCGAAGCACGUAAACCUUCUUCUUGUUCCCCACACUAUAGGUACUCCGACUUCCUCCCCCUAUUCUACCGCCGCUACCUAUAUUAUGGGCGUCGGCACGUCUUUCUAGACGUCUUCGACUGACUUUCAAGACCGUUGUCCAUUAAAAAUAAUGUAAGGGGUUAGAACUUGUGUAACUUACCUAAUGUAGUUCUAGAAUUCCAGAACUGACAACUCAAAUUCCGGCCAAGAACCACCUGGUCCAGCAACGUAAGAAAGAACAAGAAAUCUUCGAGUUUACGCAAACCUUCAUGAUUACUACGGAUAAAACUAUAGAAACCGCUGCACGGACAAUACACUGUCCCCAUCUCUAGAACCGGGUGGUACCGAAGAAAAACGCAGACUUUCACCAGCUCCUUUCGCACAAGGAGACUCACGUAAGGCUGAUAGUUACAAAUUAUCUUACCCGAACGCUCCAAUGUUCCAUGUCAAACACAAGAAAGUGAAGUAACUUCUCAGAUAAACGAAGUCGUAUUUUAGAGGGUAGAGAAUAUAUUUAAAUGACCGUGAAUUAAACCCUAAAAUUAAAGAAGUUAAAAAAGAUGUAGGUAGACUCGCAAAGAAAUAUCAACGGUGAAAAAAGACAAGAGAAAUAACCCUUGUUUUCUAUUGUGUCUCAGCUUCUAUGUAAAAAACACGUGAAAAAGAAAUUAUAAAAGUUAUUUUAGAGUCAGUUUCGUCUACAUAUCCUAGAAUAUAGGAACUUCUUUGAUUUUGUGGGAAAAACGUUUACAAAAGAGAAAGUAAUAUUCACACGAAACAGCACGUUAGAUAAUUAUUAACAGAACUUAGAUAUGGGUAUAUAAACGUCGAAGGCGGUCUAGUAGCAGAACGACGUCAUAAACAACAACCCAAAAGUAAUCGUCCACUAAAACGGUCACGUAAAGGGAAAAGGCAACCGUGAGACGAACAUUAUCUAAUAUAGACGAUUGUUAACUCUGAUAAACUGAAAGUCUUCUGCCAGUUUCACUACUUGUUCACCAAAAUCAAUCGGUCUCACCGUGACAUUUGUCUUAUUUCCAAUCCCUGUAUGGAUAGGUUAGUGCAAGACGCUCCAUUUUAGAGAGAGAAAGAGAGAGAGUACCGGUUCGAACUACAAUAUAGAAGUAAUUACGAAAGGAACUAUCAAUUUACUGACCUAAUCAAACGACUAAGUAACAUGACACAGUCAUAACGGUUAAACAGCUUCUUUACGAUAAGAACAAAGAAAUAGCAUCAAACAGACCUGAUCGAUGAUCGAUCCGGCACGUAAAAGAAAAAACCAAAAACGUAAGAUACCAAUAAAAUACUACCAAAAAAAAAAAAAAAAAAAAACUGAUCAAUGUGUAAAUAUAAAUAAUGAUAAGAGACAAACGUGAAGAAUAAAUAUUAGAAUGAGAGACUGUAGGGUUCCCCCCACUAAGACUACUCUAACCUCGUACGGCCCUUCUAAGUCAGACGAAGAAACUAAAGACGACGCCGUCAACUACAACAACGGCUACUGACUUCUACGAGAAGAUGUAUGCCUUUCAAAACCUAAAUAAUCGUCACUUCUUCUUAAGGAGGUCUCUAACCUACAAUUUAUACUUCAAUGGAUAGGAGAAGCUGAUUGAAAACGACGUAUGUCAACCUCUCCCUUCUUCUUAUAUCAUAUCAUUAAGCCACCUUUGGGUCACUUCCACGUCUCGUAAGGUAUACACUGUCCGAUAAACGGAGGUUUCUAAGCAACAAGGCAUACCAUACCAGACCGGGGGUGAUUGGAAGUGUCUGUUCCUUAAAAGUAGUAGACUCUAAACUGCGUCUCCAUUAGACAAACACUUUGCAAAACUUCCUACAAACACUUUUACAGACGUCGUAAAUAAAUGUUUAUCCCGACUAGACAAUGACUAGUUAAGCUUGUGGCAAGGUUAACAACAUCUUGAUACCAGCUCUUAAGAACAUGACACUAACCGUACAUCAAGUAAACUUUCAUCGUAAAUCAGCGUUUAAGAUAAGUACGGUAAAUUGGUUAAAAGACAGCAUGCACUGCUCAAAAGAAAAGUAUUUCCGGUAACUCUCUACGACAACUGUUACUUUACUGUUUUUUUCUCGGGUAUUGUUUCCCCUUUUUUUACGAAGAGUGUUCAUACGACUUUUGAACGCUCUUGAAGUUGCUUUUGGGAGGUCUGGAAGCCAAAUAUGCAAAUGUGCACUCCGCGAGGGGUGUGAUCAAAUAUGAAACAAGUUGUAAAUGAGUUUAAUGAGCCAGGAUAACACGCCGUCUGCACAACUAUUUGAAAGUGGCAUGACUGCUCUACAUAAAAUAAAAUUACUUAUUUAUUUUUGGCACGAAUAGUUUUAGAUCUUUUCUUACAAAGUGGGACUUCUUUAAUGUGUUGUGCUCCUUCUUUUCCCAACACGUGAUUUUGUCGCUGUAGUGUCUCAGUUUAAUGAUGAUGUUUCUUUCUGUACGUCUGUACAUGACUAACUAUCCGUUCAUGUAAUUGUCGGCUUUGUGUUUUAUAAUCCUUUUUUGUUUGGUUUUAUACUGGUUAAGUAGUUUUGUUGCUUUCGUUGGGUUUGAUCAAUUGCAUUGUUUCAUCAUGAUAUUAUGAAUUAUUGUGGUUCUAGAAGUCGGUAAAGUUUUAUACGAAAAGUGUAGAAGUUGGGACUUUAUGUCGUCUUUAUUUUUUUUUUUUUUUUUCCUUUUCUUUUCUUUUCUUUUUCUCUUUUGGCUAAUCAAUUGAUUAUUCUUGGAUAUCAUAUUCCUCAUUUUCGGAUAUUAUCCAGAAUCGUUUAAACUUUAGUCAUUUUAUUAAAGUAUUUUAAACUUAUAAAACUAAAGCGACGUUCUCUCUCUAUCUACGUGUCUUUUGUUUCGUCAAUGGAACGACCGCUACAACAACCUCUCGGUCAGUUCGGGGAGUAUGUUGGGGAGUGGUCUACAUCGUGUGCACGAGACUUACAUGGACGUUAGUGGGGGUGUUUUGUUUAAGUAUUACUCCUAAGUUUGUUAUUAUUUUCGAAAAGAAAUUUUUUUACUCCCCCGGUCUAAAGUUGUUGACUUUCUCUAAUGACACCAUUAACAAUAGACAACUAUCUAAACCUGGUACUAAACUUAAAUAUAGUGAAUUCUUAAACUUCUUCAGAACUACUUCCCCGUCGUUAGAGUAGUAACGGUUUAUAUAUAACGUAAUAAAAGCAAUUUAUACCUGGGAACAUUUUAAUGGAAUUAAAAGUAUAUACGGGAAUUUUAAGAAAUAAAGAAUACACGAAUUAAGGACGUUUUUACUGGAGAAUUCUGUGAGAAACAUUAUACUUUGGUUGAAGUGGGUACUUCGCCUACUGUGGGGUUCCCCUUGUAUACUCUUUUAGGUAUGUAAUACCCCAAUUUAUACAAAUAUCUACUAGACACCCCCGUAUGUACAUUUUCGGGAAUUUUAAAUUCCUAAGAAGAAGAUACCUGCAUGUGUAGUCUUGUUUGUUUUAAUGUUAUUUUUUUUUUUUUUAAUAUGUCGAACUAAUUCUUGCUCACCAUAUACUACGUAUCUAAUGUCGUAUGGUCACGGAGACUGCAUCCCUCACUUCCGGUUCGAAUAGCCACUAGAGUCGUCGUAAGUAUCGUAAUCCCUCUAGAACGAACAAGCGUUUCUGCUCGUUGUGCCGUAGCGCGUUGAGUAGGACAGCGGUAAUGUUUCUUCUAGUAUUCUAAAAAAAUUUUUUUUUCUUUAUAUUGAUCAAUCAUGAUGAAAACACCUUAAAUAUAAAGAAAAAUGUUCUGUCUUCUUUCAUAAGAAAGGUAAUAUGUAAAAACAUUCAUAGCUUUCAAGCAUUAUAUAAGGAUACGUUAUAUUUUGUUCCCCGUAACAUUAUAUACUCCUUAUCAGUUUCAAACAGUUCCCUCUCCUACUCAGCUGGAGUAACUCGUAGGACACCUCGAGUAGAGAUCGGAGCUGUUAUGCUAGGGACAGUAACGACAGCUGCUGCUUCUAUUCCGGGACGCACAAGACCUUCAUUACGGAGGUGUUACCCGCCUAGACAAAAAUUUCUUGUAUUUUAUAUUUGGUUUUAGUAGUGGAACAAUUGUUUUCCCUUAUUAUUAUUAUUUUAGGGUUGUUAGUUUUACCAUAUAGUCCUAAUUUUUUACAACGAGAGGUUUUGAUUAUCUAUUGAAUCUUUGGUUUUAAAAAAUGACGUCUUAGAAGUUGUCACGGAUUAUCUGUUUUCCUUUCGUGUUCAUCCUGGUUUUAAACCAGUCUUGUAAGUUGGUUGAGGUCGUCAUGUAGUUUAGGAAUUGAUAUUUCGUCACCAUGUUUUCUUUCUCGUAUGGAACAGGACCGGUGGUUGUAGGGUAUGCCACUUCGAUUACAAGAAUAUGAGGUGUCAAAGGUGUAACUUAGGACGUAUAAAUUCGGGUUUUUUUAAUGUUAUGUUUGGCUGUCUUCUUUAGACUUUGUUUCACGUUAUAACUAUGUAUUCUUUAUAUACCGUCUCUUUUUGUCCAUUUAUUCAGAACUAGUACAGUGUCCCUAUUUUAUUUUUGUUGUUGUUUGUCACUUAGUAAAGAUAUUUAAACUUUCAGUGUGGUUCCGAUUUAGUUAGAUUUAGAUGUCGUCAAUGGUUAAAGCGACAUAGGCGGAAAGGGAAGAGAAAUUCUGGGUCUAGGUAAACAUUAAAGUAGGUGGUGAAAGUAAAUAAAGGAAAAAGUCUUGACAAAAUAAACAGUAGAUUUCUGAGGAUGUGACUUUUCGUACACGCUGAUUAAAGAAAAAAUAAAAAACCGUCGGUAGAUAAAAGAUAGUCGAGUGUACCGUAGACAUCGUCUAUUUUGAACCAAUAAUAUUCUUUAUGUUAUGUUAGAUUCAAAUUAACAUUAAAAAAAAUGACGUUUACUCAACAUUCGUAAUUUAUAUCGUUAUUACUCUUGAAGGAUUAUUGAAUUAAAGAGUGUAAUAAAAAGAGUAUUCGUUGUGUUCCCAUUCUUCGAAAAGGGUUUUUUAGUCUAAUUAUCGUAAAGGAGCACCUGGAGGAUUUUAUUAAGUUAUCUAGGUGUGCUUGUUUUCUUUCUCGAUAGGAUUAAAGCGACGUUUUCCUGUACUUUUUCGGAUACUUCCCCUUUAUGUCAACAACGGAGGGUAGUCGUAUUUCUUAAUGUCAACAACUGUAACUGCCAGCGAUACCGUUUGGAAAAAAUUUUGUAUGGGGAUUGUUUCGUACUAAGAUGAAAGGAUCGUUACAGGCGUGUAUUGGUAUAUUAUGUCGUAUUGUACUAACGUUCGUAAUCUUGAACUAAGUAUCGUAACCUUGAACUUAGUUAAUUAUCGAGAGAUGUUUAAGGUAACGAAGGAGAGACAAGAGAACGAUAUAACUGCUACUUUGUUUACCGUUAAGCUACAAUGGUUCAUUUAUACAACGUCUAGUUUAGUUACAUCAUCGUCCGAAGUAGUAACGUAUUCCUUUUUUGAUUUUCCUAGUUUCCGAGUGGCUAGCACCCUUACCACCACUGCUAGAGAGGCUCGAACUCGAACAUCUCCUACCAGCAGAAUGGUCGGCGUAGUUCGGGUUGGUAGUUAUAGGAGUAGAGGAAGAAGCGUUUCUCCGCCGAUUUCUCGAAGCACUUCCACUCGGGGUAGAAAGGAGAGGACAUUGUUGUGUGGUGUUGUUAAGUUGAAUCUAGAGAUGUCUAGGGUCGUCUAGGUUUGGGAUUACGUUGUUUGAUUGCGGUUUUUGUAUAGUUUGGGGGGUUUAGAUGUUCUAGAUUGUCCUUACCCUUCGGCUUUGGUUCUAAAUGUUGUAGUUUAAGUUUAUGACGUAAGCUAGUUUAUCUUUUCGAUAAUUAGCUAUUUUAGCUAGUUGUUAUCAUUAAUUUUAGUUGGGUAGAUUGUCGAUUCUGCCUUAUUGUCCUGAUUUUCUGGUGUUUUGGAUAUUUUUUUGGCUCUAGCUAGCUUCUGGGUACCUUAUUAUUUCCUCUUACUAGCCUUAGCUUCUAGGUUAGUUUUAUUUGUAUCUUUACCUUCUUUUUGGCUAGUUAGGUAGUCAAUGUUGCUAAAUUUUCCACUUAGCCUCUAGGCUUUGGGAUUCUUGUUGCUCUAGCUAGCGUCUAGGUUCUCUCUUAUCUCCUUUUCCUAGCAUUAGCUCCUAGCCUAGCCUUUUGUCUCCAGCUAACCUAAUGGGCCUGCUAGAGAGCGAGAGCAGCGCGCGAACCCUAGCCUCAGAGGCGAAGAAGAAGGAGCGAAGGAGGAGGGAGAGAGAGAGAGAGAGAGAGAGAGAGAGAGAAGCGCUCUUUUCCUUCCUAGCCUCUCUCUCUUGUCUCCUUUUGCUUGCCACCCACCGAAUCCGACUAAGCGGUGAGGCAAAAAUAUCACCCACACCACGCCUUUCCUCUUUUAAGGGGCAUCUUGACCAGAUAUCUGGUAAUUGAAACAUCCAGCUCUUUUCUCGGGGUUUACUGAUUUAUCAGGGACAUGACUGGGCUAAAAAACCGGAUCAGGGACUUGUAAAAAUAAAUUUGUAAAAUGAAAGAAGAAAAAAAAAAUGUUUUUUCGAAGAUGAAUAAAUGAGGAGUGAUGAUUAAUUUUAAAAAUUUAAAUAAGACUUUAAUAUUUUAUAAAAAGGACUUUAGGUUAGAUAAAUCAUUUAAGAUCUUUUUACUUCUAUAAAAUUCUUUUUAGAAUUUUGGUUGUUCUUAUAAACCUAGGAGUUGUUUUUAUAAAACUAGGUCAUUAUUUAUUUUAUAAAAAUUUUAUGACUUAUCGUAUAAUCUAUAAUAGGGAAUUUUGUUAUAUUAAUACUCACGAUCUUUUUUAUUUUAUUAAAAAUCUGUAUAUUUUAGUUAUAACUUUGUAAUAAGAUCUAUAAUUAUAAAAAAAUUUUAAAUAAAAUACAAUCUUCAAAAUUAAGAUAAGAUGUGCUUUCAAAAUUUUCUAAUAUAGUUUUAAUUUUGAGAGCAAUACAAGACCUUCUGUUAUUUUUUCAUAUCUCUUAAUUUCCUAAUUUUAUUUUUCAAGUCCUGAUGCAACAUUAUAACCUUAAAAUGUCACUGAUAAUUAAUCUAAAACGAAAUCUUAACGAGUUAUUAUUUUGUCGCCACCCCCUAAACAACGCGGAUAUUAAACCAACCCGAGUCCCUAAUGCACCACUUUGCCCACAUCCCUAUACAUAAUAAUCCGCCUUAUACUUACGCUACGAAGCGCAGUUGGAAUGCGUGUACUCUUCGCAACAUCGCGCUGGCUUGGCCUGGCCUUAGUCGUAUACGACAUAUUCAACCUGGCCCGGCCUAAACCUGGCCGUGUCACAUUAUUUAAAUUUUUAAGUUUUACUCUAUGCUCUCUAAGGUUCUCAAUUUUUAAGUUUCGUCUCGAAGAAGUUAAAUAACAUAAACUUUAUCCUAAUGUUAUUGUGUUUUCUUUUAUAUCUAAAAGAAACCACCGGCAUUCAUUUUAAAGUUAGGUGAAUUUUGAAGUCUCGAUUUUAUAUAUAUUUUAUAAUCUCUGAUUUAACGUUAUAGUCUUAUGAACCCGGUGAUAGGCAAAUAAAAUGAUAUACUUAUCGUUUAAAACCCCCCUCUUUUUCUUAAAUCCGAAACAAACCUAAACGCCCCUCUAACGCAAUGCAUGCCACCCUUUCAUGCAACCUUUUUAUAAGACAAACAAAGACAUGCAUUAUAACGUAAGGCGUAUAACGCUAAUCAGCCAAUGCGAUAUAAAAGACGCCAGGGUGGCCUCUUGCGCUUUCGUAUAGGGAUAUACGAAAAAAGUGUUGAGGUAAAAUAGAUUAUCGCAAUAUAUCCGGAGUUAUGGUUUGAUUCGGAAUAUUUAGCAUUCGUUCCAAGCAAUGUUACCUCCACCAUUCAGUAAAAGUUUUUUAUGAAGAGUGAAUAUCACUUUUUUAGUCUUUACAAUUGAAAUACAAUAUUAAGUUCUCGUACUCUUAACUUAAAAUAUAAUAGAACAACUUUUGUGGGACGUUACGUGAGAAAUUGAAAUUAAAAAAAAGGGAACAGUUUUCUUUUUUUAAAAAAGAUAUUAGGCGAUGACUGUACAUUUUGAUGACUUGAUCGUUACCUAAUCUGUCUCUUGUGUUUUGUACUAAACCCACCUUUUAUAAUAUGUUUUUUACAAGUGGUUUAGUUGUUACACUAAAUGUACUAACGCCUAGAGUAGCGUUUAGCGAUCAUUCUAGCGUUACAAAAAGAGUCUCGAACUGUGCUAGCUCGAUUCGAUUGAAUUUAAGAACAGUAAAUAUCAUCUAGUUUUGAGUUAGACCGAGUAAAUUAAGCACAGUUUAAAUGUAAUGGGUAUUUCUUGAAUAAUCCAUAGGUGGGUGUCAUAUAUGAAUUGAUUUAACUUAACACAUCAAGACUCAUAUUUGUAAUUAUAGUGUAGAACUCUAAUAAAAGAGUUGUACCGACUGCCAUUUAAAAUUAUAAGAUAUCAGAAAUCCAAUUCUCUCAAAUGUGCACAAAUCAACACGGAAUUUAAUUUUCUCGUGCUCGAGUUCGGGUUAGAGUUUAGGUUGGGUCCAAGUUCAAUAAAAUGGGACUUAGGGUAACACAGUUCACAGGAAAAAUUCACGUGCCACGUUAAAGCAGGAUAGUAUAUAAAGUUAAUAAAAGUUAGCACGACCAUGUAAACGCCAUAGAUACUCGUUAUAGUUCGAGAUUAAAACAUGUAGGUAAAUUUAAAUCUCGGUUACAAGGUAAGGUUAAUACCAUGGAAAAAAAAAGUUAAUUUAGUUUAUAAAGCUGAUUUUACACAUCCUUAAAAACUUAAUUUUUUUAAGUUUAGAAUCUCACGUUCCUCCGUUAAAUAAUCAAACUCAAAGCUUUAAAGGUUGGGGAUCUAAAAAAAAAAAAAAAGUUUUUCACCAUGUCGAGAGCUUUACUUGUAUUACUUGUCUAAAAAAACAAAAACAUAUGUUUUCUACUGGUAAUAUUUUUAAAAAUUUUAAAACUUUAAGCUUAUUUAUCGUUUAUUAUUCCUCUCCCUACUCCGUAGAGAGAGAGAGAGAGAGAGAGAGUACAUAGAAUCGAUAAAAGAACCUCAUUAGGAUAUAGAGAUGUUAUUUUAGAGAUAACAAAAGGGUUUUUUUUUUUUUUUUUUUUGUUAGAGCGGGGAGGAUAUGACAUAAUGACAUCAGAUAUUUAGUGUAGUGUUUAGAGAGAGAUUUUUUUUUUUUUAUGUUAAAGACGUUUUUAAUUUUUUUUUUAGGGGAUCGAAAAGUGACGAUGAUAAAAAUGAGCGGGGAAAAGAGGAGGUAUAGUGGGGCUGAGGCAAGAGAGAAAGAGCGAGAGAGAGGGAGAGAGAGGUAAAGCAAGAGGUAAAGCGCCUCGAGGAAGCUCCCUCUCCUCCCCCUACUCCGUCUAGGGAAUCAGAGAGACUAGGGGCAGCUAAAUAGCGAAGGGUGUCUCAAGCUAGCGCGGGGGUUAGCCAAACUAAGCUCCACUAAACGAAUUUUAAAGGCUAAAAAUCCAAAUAUCUACCUCAAGCCUUUAUUUUUUCGAUUUAAAAGUGAUGAACAUCAACGAUUAAAACACGCGAAAGAGUCUAAGGACCAAAUUUACACGUGUCCGCCUCUCAUAAAUCCUAGAUAUGUACCAAAGAUAACUCAAAAUCCCAAAAAAAAUUUUUUUAUAUUAAAAACCGAAAUUCAACCAAAUCUGAAAAAGAUCUCAACGACGGUAUAUUUCUCUGGGGUAAAUACACGAACAACAAUUCAACAUAACUAAAAGAAUGAUAUAAAAACCGAUAUCUCAACUAAAUCUCAAAUCGUCCUCAACAAAAAUACCUCCUUUUUGUUUUCUUAAAAAUGAUUUCGUCAACGAUUAAAACCUGAAAAUACGACUAAGUACCCAAAUAAACACAACACAAACUCUCUCUAAAUUUUAGAUAGGUAGCAAAGGUAACUCAAAAACAAAGGAAAGGUUAAAAAACGAAAUUUCAACUAAAUAUGAACGGAACCUCAAUAACGAUAUAUUACUUUGAAGUAAAUUCUUGAGUAAAAAUUCAAAAGAAACAAUGAAGAAUAACUAAGGAAUCACUAAAAAUACUUACACCCUCAAAACCUUCCUAAAAAAAAUGGGGGGUUGUCGUCAAUGAUGAAAACCUAAGAAUGAGAUAAACGAUCCAAAAUUUACGUAACCCAGGUUGUCCUAAAUUCUAGAUAGGUAAAAAGCGAAACCCAAACUUAACAUAAUUUCUAAAGCAGUACUUGAACCUAAACAAUAAUAUUAAAAAAAACCGUCUUUUACUAUUGAAAAACACACAAAGUAAGAAACAGGUAUAUAUUCGUUCCUGACGGAAAAAUAAAAACAGCCUUAAAACGUAAUUAACUCGGCGACAUCACCGCUUUCGAGUCUUUUAAGAAUAGAAAUCUCUCUUGAUUAUCCUCUAUAAGUAUUUUUAAACUAACUCUAAUUUAUACUUUCCUAACCUAACCUAUCUACCGAGGUCUUUAUUUCUCUAUUUUAAGUGACACUAGUACUAUCUAUUAAUUACUUGGUAGGUGUAUCUCUUUCCAGUCUAUUUGAAUAGAAAUGACAGGAAAAAAAAAUUUUUUUAAACAUAUAUUAGAAUAUUAUCCCACCACGCCUCUAAAAUGCUAGUUUAUAUGAAUUCUGCCAAGUGUAUUACAAAUCCUAUACAUGUUUAACCACUUAUAUAAUAGUACUAUUAUAAAAGUAAAUUUUUUAAAACGAGUCAAAGAUUACUAACUCCCAUCGAAGUACCAAAACCAGUCUUCAGCAUAGUAAUAUAUAUUAUCUAAAUCUACGAGACACACUGACACACAAUAGAAUGGAUAGGAACAUUAGUCCGAACCUGUUUACUGAUUACGUUUUUUCCCUUGACUUUGAUGUUAGUACGGUUUCCUAGCCUAACUAAGAGGUAGGAAACUACUUCCAUCGUCAUCGCCGCCUAGUCGAUUACCUCCUCGGGGACAAAAUUUCUUCCCUGGAACCUGAAGACGACUUCUACGGUAAGAGUAGCUGAUGCAAUUCUUCGUGCCCCUCCCCUUGACCUUACGACAAGUUUUCUUAAGCCCGGACAGCGCGACGCCAUUCUCGACGGCAGAGGCUACCCGAUUAGUAGACUCCGGUUUGAACUUCUCUCCACGGUAGUGAGUUCUCCUCCUCCUAUUCUAGUAAGUUGACGUGCGAUACAAUCCCUUGUUUACCCGAUUUUACCGACGAGCACAUUCAUUUAUAAAACAGGAAACAUGACGUUGGAAUAAAUCGUAUCACUACGGAUUACUGUCACGUAAAACGUUAUCCAGGUGUUUGAAAUUUUUACAAAAUAAUGGAUUGGAAAGUGAUACAAACUAAAUUGAUGGAGAGUUAGUUUUGAACUACCAUAAACCCUUGGAAAGAUUACUUUAUAAGACAAUAUAGUACCUUACAAGACAAUGAAGUACCCUAUAAGACAUUGAAGGAGAAGGAGAAGAAGAAGAAGCAACCAAAAUUUGCUGUUCGUAGUUCAAGAUCGUCUUGUAUUAUACUCAAAGACAAGAGUUUUCAUAGCUUUGUCAUCCAACGUUCUAACUUUAUAAAAUGAGUUAUUUUACGUUAUAUCAACUCCACUCAAGAUACGUAAAAUGGAAGAAAUAGGAACCAAAACAAAAUCGGAUACGAAAAACCAACGUCGUGUAUACAGGCAUUAAAACAGUAUUCAGAAUCAUUAUAUUUGACUUGUUCAGAGUGAAAUCGAAGAUGGGAAGAAUUAUAUAACUAAGGAGGAGGAGCCUUAGACAUGAACCAGUACUUAAGUAAGACUGCGUAUAUUUCGACACAAAUCAUGUUUUUUUAGGAGUAACAUAUUAUUUAAGGUUCAGGAGGAAACGGACGCUGAGAUAAAAUAUUUUUCCGUAUAAUACGUAUGUCAAUCGAACGUAUGAGGGCGACAAACUAUUACGAGAACUACCAAUUCAAGACAACAUAGAUAGCUACUUCAAACCUAUGAGGUAGACAUUUCUUACUUCAUGUAAAGUAUAUUUCACUGUCUAUUUAAACGUUUUCUUAUCAAUAUAUAAACUACAGAGUUAUAAAAACCCAUACACCUCUUAUAGUUAUCUGUGUUCUUGAUAUAAAGAAGUUGUACCCCAAAAUUGACUAACCUAUAGACCGUGAGCAAACCGAAGAAUUUUCGAGAUCUGUAGAGGCAAUGAACAUAUAGAAUCAAUUUCUCUUCACUGAAGAACGAAAGAGUAUACAGAGCUAGAACAUACUUCUAGAUAUGAAGAAAAGGAAGUUUGUCAACAAAAGACGUUAAAGUAAGAUACACGAAAAAAAAGUCCAAUAUCACUGUCUCCUACUCAUUUAGCGGGAUUCCGAGGAAUUGGAGAUUAGUAUCGAAAUCAAAACAGGAAGCGGAAUUUUAAAUACCUAAACUCAGGGAUCGGAAGCGAUAAACAUCGUUAAGGUAAAUAAAGGAGGUUCAACCUAUAUAGGUGUGUUAGUGGUGUAUUGAGGGCACAUUCACCGAAAACUGAAGAGUAUACCACUAAUACACCAUAAGAUAGGUCAUAUUCCUUUUUUUACCCUUGUAUUGUCUUACGAUUUCUCAUGUUUGUUUACCUUUACAACCCCUUAGUUGACUUUAUAAAAUCUCCAACCCCCGGACGCUACGUUAUAUACACUUUCUCCUGAUAAAAUAUGUUGGGACUAUUAAAGAAAAACUCUAAACAAAUUUAAAAGGUCUUAAUUUGAGUUUAUACGAAAAAAAGAAGUCAAUGGUCCCGCCUGUCUAUUGCUCUAUUUCUUGAUAACCUUGUGGGCCUAUUUCUUCGCAAACGCUUACCCCAAUGGUUAAAUGGGUCUUUUAUAGUGACAAGUUCAUGUUUUGCUUUUAGUCGUUAGAGUGCAGCGAUCGUCGAAAUCGUCGUCAAAGGGACUUUCCGGUUUGAUAUAAAAGGUGCCUUUGUUACAACUGAACGGAAUAUAGUAGAAGCUGUUAAAUUUACGGUUGGGUCCUCGGAAUAGGAUGGAUGGCGGUGGUUUGAGAUUAAAAAGAGAGAGAUCGUACGCAUAAGUCUCAAACCCCCACGUUUUAGCAACGAAGUGCUUAAGUUACUUGGUGUGUUCUGUCGAAUUACUUUGCUAGAGAGAAGGGUGACCCGAAGGACAACAACUCGUUGAGAGGUCAAUAAGAAUACUAGGACUGGGACCGUCAUUCUUGGGUCUUCGCGGAGAUCACUCACGAAAACCACCACCGGUAAGGGAAAACUUACCGAAGAGGAGACGAAGAUUCGGGGAAGUUCCCCGGCACUUCAACCUCGAGGGAAGUGAGGUUAUAAGACUCUGACUAAAAUGGUGCCUACUAGGAACCAAUCUAUUUCGUCAACUAUGAAUAGACGUUAGAGGACGAUGUUAAGUAAGCCACGUUUUGUUGUGAAAACGGAGAUACGUUUUAUGGCCAGAAAAUCUUAGGGAAUAAUUGUAUAGUGGUUGACAUUUGUCGAACCUUUUAGCCGGUACGGGUUUAUCAAGACCAAGAAGUCAAAACUGUUGGUUACUGAACCGUCUUCGAGGACUCUAAUUACAGAUGUUGGUUGCGAACCAUCCAAUAUUACUUUAUCGAAGAGGCACCUCAUUUAAAGGAUGAAAAAAUUUACUCACGUGCGGAGGAGAAACGUCGUCGGGCGAACUACUCGAAGGUGGGGGGUUGAGCGGAAAACCAUUCGUAGACAUGACGAAAUAUAUUAUUAGAGCGAAACACACAGACCGGGAUCGAAUACAACUUCGAAGAGACAAGGUUCUUCACCCUGUCAGAUCGUAGUCAGUUUACCUUCAAACCUGAAGAACAACACCAUUCUUCGACUUUACUUGAAAACUUGGGGUUUCUCGUAUUUGAGAAUUGAACUUCAAAGACGAAAACAACAGCACCCUUCAACAACGCUAAUCACAAAAAAGUUUCUCAAAACAUCUUAAUAAGAUAGAUCCGGUCUUUCAAAGACCGAAGAGGUUUUCGUCCUUCAAGAUGAAGCAUAGAAGACGACGAUCGACGUCGUGUUCCGACAAACUGUCCCAAAAAGUUACAUUUCGUUAAUCAGGAAGUCUGUCGAGAUGGAUCGUUCGUAAAGAGGACUUCGAGAAAUAAAAUCUACGCAUUGAACUUUAAGUGUAAUGAUUUUGAAGGUGUCCUAGCUUAUAAUAGAAACGAAGACCACUCGUUUAAGGUCCGGGUGCCAGUUCGCUUGUUCUUUGGGAUAGAGCGGGCCUAAAGAAUUCCGGUCUGCUUAACGAACUAAGAUUGACCAAAGUACCUUCAAGACUUUAACGUUUUCUUCUAAUACUACAGUUGCUCCAUUAUUGCCGUGAAAAUCGACUUCUGAAAACGUUGUCCGGACAAAGAUAGCUAAGUUGAAUAUAUAAGUCAUUACCCGAGCCGGAGUUACGGAAGGGCACCUUCUUGUACGGAGUCCGAACAGUUUACAAGCUUUUAGGAACUCUAGAAAAUAGCUUCCCGAUUUAACGUCCUCUGGGGAAUAUUUAUAACACUAAAAGUGUAAUGGGACGACUUUAAAUCUUUGUUGUAGAAUAGGAUAACCGUGAGUACUGCCUCCCCUGCCCCCCUUCUACUACUAUAGAACCUCAUACGUCCUAAGUUAUAAAAUCGGCCUUAAUUGCCUUUGACGCUACAAAUAACCCCUAAAGGAAGUUAAAUCGGACAUGCACUUGAAUCUAAAUAAAGCCGAAACCCACUAAUUAUCAUGAAACGAUCACAUCGGUAACGAAUACAAAGAACAAACAUUGUCAUUUUAUAAUCUACAAUAUACGAACGAAAUUCGUAAGCUGCCCAAUUAAUCCCGAUCAUUAAAUGACACUUAACAACAACUUAUUAUACUCCCUCUAAUUGCUACAAUGGGCACUAUGAAGUUAAAGUGUAUACCUCCUCAAUAAACAAAAAGGACAAUUUAUCAAAUGACGACGUACCGAAUAAAACAAAGUCGUAAGUCUCAUAAGACAUCGAAAACAACGUAAGUCCCAUAAGACAUCGAAAAUAAAGUUCACUUAUAGUAAGCCUCGUACGAUAGGCAUGUGAAAAUCUAAUGCACAAGUAGAGUGUAAGAUAAGUAGGUUUCUAAGAAUAAAAAGUGAACAAAAUAGUUGAAUAAAACAUUUGAGAUCCUACGCACCCCACAUUUUAAAUAUGGAUACGUAUUCUCAGGUCUAUCCAUCGUAAAAGGAUAGUAAAUAACAAUAAAAAAAAUAAGGUGAAAUAAUAACUAAGAUACCAAAUAAACUAAACUUAAACGUAUUGCAAAAAUAUAAUAACGUAUCAUUUAUUCAACAACCAGAGAGAGAGAGAGAGAAUUCAACGUUAUCACCUCACGGAGAGGUAGUUAGUCUUAUAUAUAUAUAUAGAAGACGAAAGCGUCAACGUGAUUAUUAGUAGGUCUAGUACAGGGUACGAUAACGUUAGAGACACUUAGUAUAGUUUCGAGGAAAACGGUUGGAAACAAAGAGGACGAUGGAGUAAAGUGGCAACGGCAGCUUAACACUUUGGACGUGUCUUUUGUCGAACCGACCUAGCAGCACCACGUCAAACUACCUUUUCUCGGGAACUGCCUGUAGUGACGCUCUUCGCGACACUUCGACCAGUCGUGACGUCAGGAAACUACAUUAGGCAGUUAUGUUGACAUUAGACCACUAGCUAUAGCUACGUCCGUCGUACCUUCUCUUCUCUAUCAACCAGAAUGUCAAGGUCAAACGUCACGCGUCGUAGCUAAGCUGUUCGCUUUCCCCUGUUAAACACGAGUUUCGAAUGUUAGAAACGGCAGCGUAAGAUCAAGGUUCCAAAGAAAACUCAAAAACCAAAGAAACUAAUCACCUUAAGUACAAAGAAGGGAAGAGAUAUAAUAAUAAUAAUAAUAAUAAUAAUAAAAGCGAACAAACAACCUUCUACAUUAGGUUUGAAAGAGAUUCUAAACUACUCUCUGUACCAAAUAGAGGUUUCUCCAGUCUAUUUCUAUACUAUCAAAUUACGGUAGUUCCACUUUCUGUACUAUCAGGUUACUUGUGUUAUUUCGGAAUAGUGACAUGCACUUUCUUAAGAAAAAUCGAUGCAAGUCAUGUUUAUAUAUUAUCUUUCAACUAGUUUCGUUAUCUGUAAAGGCGACAUUCGUCUUUGUGUAACUACUUUAAACUGUACAAAGAAAAAUCAUCCUUUGUAGUUUUAUUUCUUUUUUUCUUCAGGUUUAUUUGUUUAGAUUGGUGUCAACUUCGUAGAUCAAACUUGAUGGUAGUGAGCUGAGUCGGAGGUAUCUUCUGUUCGAACUUUCUGCGUCGCCGGCUGAUCGACGCGCCCCUCCGUUCUGCCCGUGCUAGCCUUCCGCCUUUAGAAGCGCUUAUAGGAAGUUCAGUCACGGUUCUUGUAGCGCGAGAGACUAAACUCUAUGGAGGGAGCUAGAGCUGAGCAAGAGGAGGUGCGUUCGGUUUGAGCCGCGCUGGGUUUAGUGAGGAAAACAUCUACUUAGGUGGACGCCUCCACUCACUGACCUCGGUGGAAAUAGACAUUUUGUUCUCAUUAACGUACAAGCCGGAUUGAAAACUUUGUUGAAAUGAUAAGGCUUUUUCGUUGUACUUAUCGUUAAGAUCUAAUUUCAAAAACGGUAAACGAUUUGACAAGUUCCUCUCCUAUAUCAGAUAAUCGUAAAGAUCAUAUAAAAGUUUGUCAAAAUGAGUUAUCGUGAAUACGUUUUUGACAAGUUCGAUUUUCAGGUAAGGAUAGCUCUUUUUACCAUUUAUUACCGUAUUAGUGUGAUACUAGGAUGACAGGUUCAUAAGUGUUAUUAAAGUGCAUGAAAACCAACCAGACUGUGACCCUGUUCUUCCUUUCUUCUUGUCCUCUUUUGUUACUAUUCUAUUAACAGUUAACCGUCUACUAUUUAAUGAUAAAAAGCUUUAAGGCACUGAGACUUUAUUGUUUCUAUUCUAUUAAUGUACUUUUGAGAAAUAAAAAUAUAUGAAAUCAAGCUACAUAUGUAUAUUAAUUGGUUUAAUGAGGGUUUAAGAAAGACUUGACUUAAAACUUAAAAUUUCGGACGUAUCUCGUUUCGAACACUAACACUAUUCUCUUCAUUUAGUGAGGAGUGGACGUAUCUCGUUUCGAAGAAGUUCACGACUUCGUAAACUGUCGCUGGAACGGCUGCCCGAUCUUAGUAUUUGUCCCAGACGCUGAACUGAGAGUAGCCGUACGCGGCGAAGCAAUGGACUUUAUAGCUCAUUUCUUAGCUAUUCGUUGCUAAUAAUAUUAGGUGGUAUUUACCAAUUGAUAGGUUGGUAAUGAAAAAUUUCUAAUAAUAGUGGACCAACAAACUCUAAUAAUAGAAGUCAGUGAUGGCGGAAGAGCAGUAGGCUUUAACUGCUUUAACUGCGGCUAAGAAGUCAAUAAAGGAGGAGGUAUCGAAAGCUUAAUAGAGGCGGCGAAGGACGACUGAACUAGAGUCGGAAAUAGACAAGCAGCACGUAACUGAGCGGUAGCAGCCUGCUAAGCGAGAGAUGAAAUCCUCGAAGUAACAGCACCGAGCAUCGCUCAAGUGAGACAACCGAUAAGUGAAGUAGGAGUUGUUAGAGGAACAGCGUAAGAACUAGUAAAGGGCUGCUUUGGCACAGCCUCAUGAGAACCGGAAGCGAGUCGAACCUAAGCGAGAAGAGCGACUUAAGAGAGAGAUUUAGUCGCUUUAACCAGAGGAGCCACAAGAGAAAGAGCCGUUGCUUUAUUCCAGACUUAGAGCUUCCGGAAUUCAGAACAAAGUUCAGGGGCUCUUUACUGAGCGGAUAACACUUCGAGAGUACGGAAGAUAUAUUGUUUAGGGAGCCGCCUUCACCUUGUUUUGGGACUACCCAUCUUAACAAUAACAAUGACAACAACAACAAUAAUAAUAAUAGUAGUAGAAAGGGACGUCCCAAUAAUGAGAGUAGACGAACAAGUAUUCCUUCUAGUUUUCCUAAAGACGAACCAUUCUCCUGGCUUCCUCGGCUUGGGCCUUAACACAGUAGACUUAGCUUUCCUUCUAGUUUUCCCAAAGAAGAGCCUCGCUUUUGGACUCCUUAAACCUGAACUUUAAAACUAUUAAGGAGAUACCAUCCGUUUCUAAGUAAUGGUAGGUUUAGUUAGUUUAAGAAAAGGUAAAGGCUAGAGUGCUUGAAGGAACGGGAGGAGGACCGUUAAUUUAAAAGGUUAGAGACUAAGGAGAGCUAGAGUCUUCUGGGCUGCGAGUACUCUAAGAAAACUAGUAGGCGGCAGGUAAGGUGCUGAAAUCGUACUAGUAGUAGGAAGAGAAGAACACGAGGAAGGAGAAGAAGAAGCAGGAGCAGAAGGAGUAGUAGCAGAAGAACUAAAAGUCAAAGAAGGAGCUACGAUAAUGGCAGAAGGCUAAGCGCUAGUACUCUGCUAACACAACUGCGGCGUAGUCUCGGCAGGAAGCUACGACGACUGCCGACUCCUCGGAGUCUUAGGUUGUCUCCCACCUCGAGCAGUUCGUAGCCCUACUAGAGUCUCCGCAGCCUACUCCUAUAGAGGCUGACUAGUCCGAGUGUUAGUCUUCGUCGAAGCGCUACUAGUUGUACUAGUUAGAGAUGGAGAUGGAAUCCGAAAGGUGAAAAGAAAACUAGGAGGGGUUAGAGUGAACCAUAUAAAAGCAAGAAAGCUCUUUUUGGCACUAGUAGAAAGAGAGAUUGGCUAAAAAAGAGCGAUGCCGAGCGUUGAUUUCGAGGAAGUACUACGAAAGAGUGUUCUCUUCGUAGGAAACGAAGUGGUAAAUGUUCGGAAAAUGGGAGGAGAAAUCAAAGUCCGUGUAAACCAAGUGGUAUUGAAUUCUCCUCAGGCUCUUCUUGGCGCCACGUAUCUUAACAUCCUUUACUUCGGUUGUCUUCUCGCUUUUAGCUUCCUUUUAUGGACAUAUAAUACUCCUCUUUUGUGUGUUAUGUUUCUUACUUUCCUACUAGGGCUUGUGUAGGCGCUGAUCGGGAAGCGUAUACUUAACCUUAAAAGAACUACAUAGGGUGAUAAAGGAAGCUUGGCUAGCGGUAACGGCAGAUAAUUCGACAGGUUAGAUGUAAUGUAUUGGACUCUAUAACCUUUGUUUUCUUCCUUAUUACUCUGAUUAAGAUGUAUUAUAUAUAUGUGUAAUGUGAUAAGUUAAGCAACACGCUUUUAUUGCUUUUAUUCCAAACGAAGUUCAUUAUGAUUCAAGUACAACUUAUCGACAUCUUUUUAUUAAGUACUCCUAGGUUCACUUGAUAAUAAUCCUUGGUGAUAAAGUGAUAUAUAACCUUGUUUGUAGAAAUCCUAGGUUGCCCUACUUGGUUUACAUCUUGUGUUUGAAUGUAAGCAUUGUAUUUAUAUUUUUGUGUUUGUUAUGAAGCUAUAUUCGCAUCAAAAUAAUAAGACUAAAUCGAGCAAUGUUAACGUUGUAUGUUGGAGUGUUUUACUUUCGUGAAUCUUGAUUAUUAAUGGACUAUAUAAUAGCUGUAAUCAAUUUAUUUUCAGCUUUAUUUUGUAAUGUAUACCUAAUGUUUAAACAUGUUUUAAAAAAAUUUUUUUCGAAAUGCCUAAAAUUUAGACAUGGAGUCUUAGCACGUAACUUUUACUAUAACUAUCAACACUCUCUUCUUUAAUUUACAUAGUAUAACGCUGAGAAAACUUAGCUUAAAAUUAGGAGUUUGAUUAUUCUUUAUAUAUUAUAACUAAUUUAUUCUUCUAAGUAUAUGGUUUUUAAUCCUCUUCCACAAAGUUUCGGUUCUUUUAAACUCUUUUCGCUUACUUCCUUUCCUUAUUAAUGGGUAGUAGGAGAAGUAGUAGUAAAAUGUGGUUUUUUUUUUUUUUCUUAAAAGUGUAGUAGUAUAAAUAAUCUUUAUUUAAAAAAAAAAAAAUUUUUCUUCGCUCUCUUCUCCUAUACUAAUGGGUUUCGUAGGUGACCUUAAAAUAACCUUACCUAGUAUUCGUAUAUAGUCUAAUUUUAUUAUUAUUUUCUUUUAAGACUCUAGAGGAGGAUUGGAGAGAAAGAGAGAGAGAGAAAGAGAGAGUCUUUGUUUUUACUCGUGCUUAAUACCCCGCCUUGGUGCCGAUCUAAACCCGGGUGGUCCGUCGGUGCACAGUAGUGCAGUGUCCGACCCUAACAAUACGCACCGGUAAAACGUUUGUUCCAGGAGGAGAGAAAGAUUAAACGUUGCGUACCAGAGCUAAAACCUAAAAAAAAAAAGAAAAGACCUUAAACUCGGGCUUAAAGACGACUUUCCACUAAAAAAAAAAAAAAAAAAACCCCCAAUUCUUUUGGAAAGAGUUUUGACGUUUUUGUCUUUUCUUUUUACUAGGAUAUAACGCUUUAAUUUUAUUAUCACAUAAAGAGAAGAGUAACCGUAAAUUAAUAAGAUUAAAAACAAAAGAAAAAAAGAAAACUUAAAUUAUCAAAGAGCUGUAUAAAACAAGUUUACUUCCUAUUAUUAUACUUACUUUAAAGUAUAUCCUUUGAACAAUGACCCAAACAAAGAAAUUUGUAAUGUCGACUAGUGAAGCAACGUAAUAAUCUUUUUCGUGGUUUACUAGUUAAUUUGUAUAGCUGUAAUUAGGUCGCAAAAGUAAUUUUAUUUUGUAAGUCUAUCUUCCUUUUUUUCUUCUUCUCUCAAGACUAGGAGCGAUUUGUCACAAAUCUAUAUUAAAACAUAGAGGUUAAUUGGUUAUUUAUGGUGAAUACUUGUGUUUUAAAAUAGCCCGAUUUUCUUUGAUCGUGAGAUUUCAAUGUUUCAUUACAAACCGGUGGUCUUAUAACAAGUACAUGUCGAAGUCGUCGUCGUAGGAGAAGAGACAACUAGUAAAGAAGGUUAUUCUUCGGGACUUUAGACUUUGUGAGCCUACAAAAGCCUAGAAUUUCGCUAAUACAUAUGAAAGGUUAGAGGUAGAAGAAGAACUAGCGGGCGACAGGUACCAUAUAUUUGCGUAGCUAUUAAGGUCUUUGACACUUCUGUGGACCUGUAACAAGUAUUCAUUGGUUUUUAAGCCCAAUUAUUGAAAUACUCGUUAGCAUUCAUAAGCCAUUUUGACAUGAUUAGGUAUUUAGUCCAGCUUGGAGGUUGUUACCGUGUGUUCAAUCAGUCUAUCACUUCUUUCCUAGCCAAAAGAAGGCACUUCUAGUGGACGUUGUAUCCAAGGUCAUUUGGAAACAGGUCUAUAAAAUUUUUUAUCUUUGCGUUUAUUUACUCCAACCCUAGUGUCACAUAACCCUAAUAAGUGCGUGCGUCUGAUUAAUCGACGUUAUAUUGUCGUGGUUAGGUUCGUGGGGGCGCGCGCGUUUUUGUUGUGUGUGUGUGUGUGUGUUUUAUUUUCUUUUUCUUUUUUUUUUUUGGAUUCCUAUUAAGAAAACGUAAUAUCUACAAUUUAUAUUUUAUAAAAAGAUGAGUAUAGAUCGCUAAGAAGUGAAGAUCAGAGAUGGUCUGUGUAGUGUAUUGUGGUAUUCUCUUCAUCUACCCUGAAUUUUAAUAGUAUAACUCUUGUCUAUUUGGUUUGAUCGACACGUAGUUCAGUCAUUUUAUAGUUCUUUAAGUAAGGUGGAGAUUGUUUAUAUAUCCGCAUGCAAUCUCCCCGACUAAAUUUUCUCAUUAAGACUUCUAAACUAUACCCACUAAGAGUAUAAUCAGUAUUAUGGAAGCUGUUAAAUCCUGUGAUACGGUUAACUUUUCUAAACUUCUCGCCAUAAUUGUAAUUCCUAUAAAAAUAAGUGGAAUUAACCACUCUUCAGUAUUUUCUUCUUAUGCGGUCCUUGCCCGAAUCCUAUUUGUAAAGGUAGAGACUUCACGAGACAGUGACUCUUGACACCCAACUUUUUUUUAUCUCCUUUCUUUCUUUCCUUUUACUCCGUAGUAUUACACAUGUUUUCCAUUCUAUAUAUUGUCCGUGGUUUCUCUCUCUCUCUCUCUCUCUCUCUCUCUCUCUCUCUCUCUCUCUCUCUGAUUGAAAUGGACCAACCUCACCUAAAACACGGGGGAAUACAGUCACAUUUAACACCCCUGUUGGACUCUUUCAUUUCUUCUAGGAAGUUCUACGUGAGCGUACAUUAUAGUCUCGUAUUUGUCGGAUGGUCAGGCUAGUAUAUUCUACGUUAUAGGUCUAUUGUACUAUAGCUGGUUCGUACCUCUUUUCUCGUAAUAGCAGGGGUCGGAAAAUGUUCUAAAUUGUAAAAGUUAACAAUGAUAAAGCAAGUAUUUUAAACAGGAAAAAAGAAAAAGAAAAAAAAAAAGUGUUGGUACGGGAAAUCCCAUUUUGUAUAUAAGUAGGGGUUUUUACCUAACUUUUGUAGCAGUAUUAACGGUACAUAUACGAGUGCAUCGACGGUAAAAAGAUGUACCGUUAAUACUUGUAAAGUAGGAAAAAGUUACAUUACUUUUACAUGUUAUCUACGUUUCCAACUCCUAGUUAGACAUCGGCACGAUUUUAUAACUCCUGGCGGUUACCUUAGAUGGGUCUUAUUUUCCUGAUCGUAUUGUCAUUCCGGUUGUUAAUGAGUGGAACUAUUUCAUGACUAUACGGGGUCUACUACGAACGACACAGGUCACGCGUGACUAUACAAGUAACUUGACUAAUCUUAAUACUUAUUUUCUUUGUUUUUUUUUCCUUGACAUCUAAGGUUGAAUGGGUAGUUCUCCUAAAUGUCGUGGACCCUUGAGGAAAGGCUUCCUGUCGAACAAAUAAAACACUCAUUAGACCAUAAAAAGUUUAUUUUCUCAGUAAAAUAUAGAAGUUAAAUAGGUUGUUCAGUUUACUCAAGUACUUACGUUGAGUGUAACAUUAAAAGACGAACUUUCCGGUUGUUUAGUACGUGUACCUGUAAACUAACUACCUUCGAAAAAGGUCGCCGUUUUACCUUUAAAGGUCGAUGAAAUGGUUGUAGGUUCUUGGGUACCUACAACGUAGGAAGGGGAACAAGGAGAAAUUAGAAAAGUUAAUUCGGGAGGGAGCACGUGAUUGUAUUUUGUUUCUGGUGUUCUAGUUUUAGUUUGUUUUCCCUCUAAAAGAUUACAAAAUACCUGCUUGUUUAAUAUUUUCCCCCGCCAGUCGUACUCUAACUCUAACCCAUCCCAAAAACAUUCAUGUUAUGAUUUCACGUAUUAUCUUAUUUAAGUCUCCCCAAUAGACGUUAAUCGCAUUUAUAUAUAUAUCUAGUUAUUUUCGAAGGUCUCUUUGUUAAUAUUUAAUGAUACCGGUUUGAACUAUUAAAUAUCGUUAGUUUUCGAAUUUAACAGGUUAUAACUAUCAAUAUGGACCAGCUAAUUAAGACCUAAACUGUUUGGGGUAGGAAAUAAAGAUAUACGAAGUGCUUGAAGAAGUGUACUUAAUGUCGUAACUAGUAGGUUGACGUAAAUCUUUUUGUUAAUAAAAACUCAAAUGUCUUUUAGUUUGUCGGUUGCCGGUUCGUGUUUUCUUUGAUAAUUUUUUUUUGAUUUGUGUCCUUUUUGUGUCACUUAUUGAUCCAUAGUACUAAAGGAUAAACGGUGGGACUUUAUAACUUAGAUUGUGUCGUUGAGGAGUUUGGUAUAUAAAAGUAUGAAAACGGAACAAGGUCGUCACAACGAAGUGGUUAUAUUUAGUGAAACGAUUAUACGGUCGUUCCAUUUUUGAUUUUUGUCCAAAAUUAUAAAGUUCCCCCGUUAUAAUUAUCCUCCCAUAGUAUACCAAUUCGGUUUUUCCUUGUUAAUUCGUGGAUUUCUCUGCCGUAAUUAUAAAUUUUUUUUUUUUGUUGACGUUGGUAUAAAGGUAUGGCAAAGUCGUGGUAUCGUCCUUGGUGUCAUGCAGAGCAAUACGAGUUCGGAGGGGGGUACAGAGACAUCUCCGGAGAGUUAGAUGUAUUCUUUUUUUCCCAUUCUUUAAUAUUAAAAUUUGUUCCUUAAAGUUGGAGAAUUACAGUAUCAAUGGUUCUUUAAUCUUUAUCACCGACUAUAAAACGAAUUUAAAAAAAAAGACCGUGAGACGUCCAAAAAUAACGGGUUCAGUAAUCCGUUAAUUGUAUUCGAGGAUAUUCCACGGAUUCGCAAAGUUCCUCUCGUUUUGAAAAGUCUUCGAUAUGUUUUUCCGGUUUAAGUUUGUAACUACGGAUGUAAGUAUAUUGGACGUAUCACCGGUUUUUGUCCCUUUUUUUUUUCUCCUCCUUAAGAGUUCAUAUCUAAUGUACGAAUGUACGAUUAGUAUUCAUGUUUUCAAUGAUUGGAAACCCCGUGGUUGUGGUGGAACAGAACUGGGUUAUUGUAAAGGUUCUACCAGGUUGGAAAAGAAAUCUUACAGUACGGAGAUGUUCACCUGUCUAUAUUAUGUACAUCAUAUAAGAAACUUCAACGCCGAUAUAUUUAGAUGUCGUGAUAUAUUAGUUAAUUUCUGUUGUUUUCUCUUCCCACACUUGUAUGAUACAGGGUCACAACGAGGGGCGAUUAUAGGUAACAUAGUUGUGAGUUUUCACUCGUUCGUUAUCGACCUUUUCAUUAUAGUUUGACGCCCUCUUGUUUUUCAGUAGUUAUGAGCACCGUUUUUCUUACUUGUAAACUAUACACGACUUUUUAAAAGUAGUAUUCGGAGAUAUACUUACAGAGACUAUAUUUCCAUACAGGUCAUUUAUAUAUAUCUUAUCAACGUUAAAGUUGGAUUUACAUCGUGAGUGUUCCGUUCACUUUGAUAUUGUUUGGAUAAUCAUAGUAGAUGAGUAGUAUUCUCAUCAAUAUUAAGCAAUAAUUUUAAUCGUCCACUUUUCGUACUAUAGUUCCUGAAGAUGUAUAAGAAUGCUCAAACUUUGCCUCUAUCUUUUCAAUUCUGUUAGGUUUACAUGAAGUUAUUAAUUAGUCGGGAUUUUGGUUCGGUCGUUAAAGUUAAAAUUGACUAUCUUUCUUUCACUUCAUGAUUGUAACUGUGCAUCAGAAAGCGGAGCACUACACAGUUGGUGGUUGAAUCAGAGUCAACGACUCAUUUUUUUAUCAGGACCUUUUUUUCCUACUUUAACUCUUUACUACUAAUCUAAGUGUGAUAUGUUCGUACAUCCUAUGUAGGUCCUUCCGCUGUUCUUGUGUUCAUACGUAACUAUACAUCCAUACGUUCUUCCAUACGUUCUGAGUGGUCAAAGGUUCAUACCGGAUUAUAAAUUAAUUCUCUGUGUUUCUCCUUAGGGUUUUACAGUCUAGUUCGAAUAUAGUAUAAGUAGUUGGUAAUCUAUACUAGUGUCAUGAAGUGAUAGACCCUAAUAUGGUAUAUUACGGCGAGUACGUUUUGAUAAAAGGGAUUAACGUUAUUUUGUGUUCGUGUGGUUUACGGAAGAUGUACUGGUGAUUUAGGCUAAUAUUUUAUUCAACUAUUUAGUUGUUUUUGUUAAGUUUUAGGUUAAAAAUUAUCUUGGGUGUUUCGUGGUUUUGGUUUUAGAAGCUUUUUAGGAUGAUAUGUGUUGAGUUAGUUGGUAUGCUUCCUCGUUAUGUGAUGUAUUACUCUACUUUUUUCCUCCUUUUUUCAAUUUAGGGUUUGGUUUUUCGCAGAGUGAGCAGAGCUACCACUUCUCCUUUGUCAUUUAGUUGUUUUUAGGUUAAAAAUUCUGUUGGUUGUUGGGUUACCGGAGUUUUGGAGGCCCUUUAAGAUGAUGUCUCGCAGGUUACUUGGUAGGUUUCGUCGUUUGUGCGUUGUAUCGCUCUAGUCUUCUCCGCUCCUUCGCAGAGUGAGCAGAGUCUCUACUUCUCCUUCUCGUACUGCUCUCGCCUCUGCUAUCACUGCUACGGGGGCCUCUCGCACGCCGACAUCUUCAGGAGCAACUAGAAGCCCAUGCGCAGCUCCAAGAAUUCGAACAACUCCUAGAGGUAGAGGUUUGUGAUUAGGUUAGGUUAGCCCCUUUGUUUGGGAUCGGCUUCGUUAGUUUGGGAUCGUGGCGGGAGAGAGAGAGAGAGAGGGGUUUCUCCUUUAGAUCCCAAAGGCCCCGCCUUUGUCACGAGGCUAGAGUCGCGCCGCCUCAGCGUCUCCUCCGCUGCGCAGCUGUGCGUUGCUCUCUCAGGAAACCGGGAAACUGGUGGCAGCAUACUAUAAUUAAUUAAUAAAGAUAUUAUUACUAAUUUUAUAUUCCGUUUACGAUGUAACGAUACGAAUGUAUGUUACAUAGGCUAUUACGUCGCCUACUCGUUAUAACGCAUUUUAACGCAUGCACCGUCUAUUAGUCACCUAGCCAUAACAUAUGAAACAGGUGCAGCCUAAGGUGGCUUCGUAGCCGAACUCCAGUCCAUGUAAUACUGCAUGGGUAUCAUAAUCAGAAGCAUAACUAACUCGCACAUCGCGCCCCUCUAAAUGACGACGGGAAAACAUCCGACGAUUACCGUAAAAGGGGAAAAAAUUGGAAAAAAAAAAAGGGAGAGUAAGUGGAAAAAAAAAAAAUUAAAUAAUAGUAAAACAAAUAAAUAAAUAAAACUUCUUCGUGAGUCUUAUUAUUAGAGCAAAAGCCUACAGAACCUAUAGUAAUUUUGUUAAACUUGGUAGAAUUUUAGUGCCAUAAUAACGUGAUCUUAGAAUUUAAAAUUCAUAAUCCCCUAAAAAUAAAAAACCCAAUGAAACCUACGUGAAAAACCUAUAAAAUAACCCCUAUUAAAACCCCAUUUGACCUAUUACUAGAUCUUUUCAACGUUUCGAGUUGAACACUCUUGUCUUAGUUUAUUAUGAUAGGAUAUUUUGAUAAAGUGUUUAUUAGGUUUACCUCGCAUCAUUAACCUAAUGUACUCGAGUGAUAAAGGAAAAAACCUUUGAGAAAUGUAUAUUGAACCUCCUAAAAUGUGCGCGUUAAUUAACGUCGUAUACGCAGCCUGGUAAAUCAUGCUUUUACCACGAUACCUAUAUAUCUUUAUGUAUUAAUUUUUUCUUUUUCUAUAUAAAAUGUCAUUGAUCAUAAAAUUUUACGGUAAAUGUUCGUUCGUUUAUCUUCCCGUUUUUCGUAAAAUGAGAUAGUUUUAUUAUUACUGAACAGAAUAAAUGAAUCGUAGUGUCACGUACAGAGGUAAGUGGUGAUUACCUCUUUAAUUUGGACGUCCAAAUUAUUUUAUAAUUACUUUAAAUUUGGACGCUCUUUAAGAGUAGACGAACCUCUUUCUGUUGAUAAAGAAAGGAGAAACUCUAUUAGUAAAUAUGAGACAAACCUACCUCUCUUAUUUUCCUUUUUUUUUUAUUUCUUUUUUUUCUCUCUCUUUGCAAAAAUGGACACUUUUCUCCCUUUCUUUUUCUUUUUCUUUGAUUUUUAUGUGAUGAUGGUAUAUUUCAAAAUGUAUAAAUCUUGCCUUUUCUCUUUAGGUAUGUACUAUGUGUUCGGUGUUUAAAACGAUUUGAUACUUUCAAACCUAGUGGAUGUACCUUGACUUUCUUUGUUUUUUUGUGUUUACUUUUCGAUGUUGUCCUUAAUGUACUUUGGAUUUCGUGUUGUACGGGGCUUAAAACAGCUUUUCGGGAUUACCAAAAGUGGUUAAAUUGAUGUUCAGUGGUAUAUUAAAUUCCUUAUGGACGUACCAAGCCUGUAAGAUGUCAGGAUUUCAAUCCUAGAUAAUCGCUUUAAAAUCAAACUAAGAGUUGUAAAGUUCAAAACGUUAAACGUAGGGAAUAGAAGCUCAAGAAAACGUUAGAAUCAUGAGGAUAUUUAAACGAACAAUAUUACUUACCUUUAAAAGGUCAAUUGACGGUGUAUUAGUGGUGAACCUACCUCAAUGUACCACAAAUACCUCUAUGAUGGUGGGUAAAAUUGUUUCUAUAAAUUUCCUGAUUCUGACUAUAUCUUUUGUUUUAAAGCCCUGGGUUAACAUUAUGAACUUUCGAGCUCAUGUUGUUCACGUUAGAUGGUUAUUGAACUAUAGGUCACAACGUUUACUAAUACGCGGUAGAGUGACAAGAACAGUGGUAUGUUUAGUGUUGGGGCAGCAAAGUCCUUCCGUUUCAUUAGACCAUCUCUUUUUUUUAGGUUUUAAUCAUUCUGUUAAUAUUAAUUUGACAGUUCAUACGUAGAGAACAGCAAUAAUUGUGAGUUUUUUCGCUCUGUGUAUUUCGCGAACUAUAGGAUGCGUGUUUUUAUUAGUAAAAUUAAAAGAUUCGGCAGUAUCUCAUUUAUACAACAAAACGUUUCUCCGUCUACUGUUCAUAUAUAUUAAUGGUGAUCGUGUCUUUUUUCUCUACUUUAGGCCCCUCUUUAUACGAUAAGUUCUAAUCGAUCGUAUACGUGUGUGUUAAGUUAAUGUUUAACGGCUACAAACAUAGACUUUCUUCUGAGACCGUGUUUUACGCCACUAUCUUCUCUAAAGAGGUUUAUAUACUUAUAACCUCUUAUAGGAGAACAAAUAUGUACAAAUAUUCUAUAAUGAAGGCUUCAUUGAUAAGGCUCACGAGUUUACGAGAGUGUUUGAAUGGUUUAGUCUCUUCGAAUGAAAUGAUCUGAAAAAUGGUAUUUGUCAAUUCUGGCUGGAUUUUGCCCUUACUAAUAAAAAGUAAAACCUCAUAGUUUCAUGUCAUCCGGGCCAAAUUCGAAGUUCCUACUUCUCUAACUUGCCAUUUUCACUUACCAAUACAUGUGCUAUAGCGUCUUAACUUAAGAAAGACGCUUUAAUUAACUAGGUCUGAUUGUAACUUAGUCUGAUUGGUUUUCUCCAGUGCUUGAUCUUUUUUAAAUUCUAACGAACUAAUAACCAUAGUGAAUCUUUAUUGAUGAUCUUGUACUUUUUUUUCAUUCAUAACGAACCAAUUGUUCUUUGGUUUACCCAACUUGAUGUCUUUAUCUUCCUUCGUUCUUGUCACGAUGUAUUAUCAUAAUAGAUAGUUCGGCACUUUUUCUAAGUUGUUUUCUGUUCGUUUAUGUGAUAGAUAAAAUGCAGUUCGUUAUUUUUCUUGAUUUAAAGAUCUUUUUAAGAUUUCCUAGUUAUCGUUAUCGAAAUCCUUGACAUGCCGAAUAUUAGAUGUCUAUCUUUCAAGUUCCGUAUCUUCUAGUAAUAAACAUUGUUGUAAUGGUCUUUUUUCUUCAUUUUCUUUAUGGUCUAUAUUCAAUUACGUGUUUAAUAUCAGCAGUUAGGACACUUUCCUAAUUGGCUUUUUAGGCGCUGUUAAACCACUACGUGUAUUCGUGAAGAAUCGAGACGCCCUCGGUUUUGGUGGAUAAGAGAGUAGUAAUGACGGUGAGUGUGGUAUUAGCAUUCAGUUAAGCCAGUACCCUCCUUACACGAACUCGCGUUUCUUGUAAUAUACACGUACGGGAAGUAGUGGUACUAGUACAUUAUGGCCGACGGUAUUGUGUAAUCCACUCGUUGAUACCAAGUAUUUUGCACGCUAUAACGGGUAUGAAAAACGUCAAUACCAUUACCCAUUGUUUAAGACCCGAAGGCAACUAAGUAAGCAUGAACCAAGUGGGUUAUUGAGCCAGGGUGCUAAGGUAGAACUUCAGAAAAGCGGUUCUAUACGACAAACUUUCUAUAUUAGUAGAAGGAGUAGCAAGUACAGGUGAGAUUGGAGUAGUUAUUCAAGCGGGCAUAUAAGUGUUUAUUUACAUGGCCGGGCCUAGCCCAGGGUGCUUGCAUCCGGGGUUGGCGCUAGGGCGCAGAAUUUUUGGAGUUUCACUUCGGAUUAAGGGAAAACCCAGUGAGAUAAAGCUGUUAAUUUUCUCGUAACUGUUCUUCUUGGUGUAAGUCGUUAUUCUCCGAAAGCCGAGUGUUCGUUGGGAUCUCUUGAUAUCCCUUCCAGCGGAAGUAAAACAACGCGCGUGCUCGUUAAUUACAGUGGUCCCUCUGUCUGCGAAACCGUGAACGUUGGAACAUUACCAAAGUAAUUCGACUAACCAAAAUUUAUAAAUUGGAAUCACUAUAUACACUUUACUCACCCAGGAAAGAGUAACAGUUGUAGUAAUUGUUCCGUUUGUCCAUAUAAGAGUCACGGUCUCCUAUUUAGUCUAUCAUAUUGAGAGGGGGAGGGGCUGCCCAAGAGAAAGGUAAAAACUCAGUAGAAGGUUUGGCGUUCUGGGAGCCCAACGGGACCGAGAGAGUCGUUAAACAUGAACUUUUGUAACUAUGGUCUGAAGCGAAAGAGGAAGGUGCUCAAGACUUAGAACAUCUCGGGUAGUAUCAUUAUCUAAAAGGGCCAAACCGUCAACCCCAGAAAGCGCGAGGCGUGUUGGGAUUAAACCAAGAAAGCCAUGUUCGAAGAAAGGUUUCGUUCUAAAGGGGAAAGUUCGAAAACCAGGAGCAAGAACCACGAUGGAGGAACUGGUCACAUUUAGUUCUUUAGCUGUAGCAGAAGGAGUAAGAGCAUUGGCGGCCUCCUUUGUUAUGUAUAACGGUGCCCUAGUAGAACUAAUAGCUUAAACCGCCAGUACAUCAGUUAUGGACGGUACGAUCCCCGCACAUUUGGUUACUACGUGUAGAGGUAGGAUUUUAUCUUUUAUAGGGGAUGAAGUUGCGGUCCAUGACCCGGUUAGGAGAAGGGACGUAAUCGGAACUCUAGCAAUCGGUUGUACUAACGGGGCCGGAAAUUUAGGACCGCGGGCAAGUCCAAGCUGCUGAGCAGGUUGACGUCUUCGGCGGCGGAGUCACGUAGUUUUUAGUAGUACUAGCGGAGGUGUAAGAGGGAUCCCAGUAAUAUGCUUUGGGACUCCCGGCGAUAGAGUAAAAGGCCAUGGAAGGAAUGACCGAAUUCUCCGAACUGGAAGAACUGAAAACGGCUUAGCCUCGCGAGGCGUCUCGACGAGGGAUCCGCCCUGCCGGAAAACUAAAAGGCCGGAGAUCUUCUCCAGAGGCAUUGCUUUUACCUGAGUAGGAGGAGCAGGUAAAGUCACUUCGAGCCGCCCCACACUUUGCGUCUCUAACCGCACCGAAACUACCCCGGCAAUCUAGGUAAUGAUCGUUAAAAGCCUCCGGCAGGAGAACCAGAAAAGUGGCCUCAGUGAACUCCAACACGUCGCCGUUUUCUGCCUUGCCCGCCCCUUUUCAAUCUUCCUUAACCUCUAGGUUUUAGCGGGCUUCUCCCUGGUUUCCCCCAAUACGUUUGAUCACCACCUAACGAACUAACCAAUUUCAACAGCUUGUGGUUUACCCGCCCCUUUUUACCUCGGUCUCAAGAAUUCCCGAAAUGUAGGUUUCGUAGGACCAAACUUGGAACGCCCAAGAAGCCCACGGAGGGGUAUCGUUUGGUUUCAUGGACAUCUUGUUUUUCUAGUGAUAUAUCAAGAGUCGUUGAUAUUUUUUGCAUUAAACUUGUAUAUUAAUUAUAGAUUCGCACUUUUUAUAUAUGUAUGUUUCUCCUUCGUCAUUGUUGUUAUCAUUUCUUUAAUACUAAUUGACAUCUUUACUUUUCUUGUUUCACUGGUAUAUUUUAUCAAAUUUUAGUAGUCCUUUUUUUUCUUUUUUUUGUCUCUCUUUUAAAGAGUUACUUUGAUGUUUUAUUCUCUAUUUUCUUUUUUGCUUCUUGUUUGGAUCUUUUUCAAGGAUUCCGUGUUUUCACUCCUAAAUGUGUAUGUCACUUUGGGAUCUUUUCUCGAUUCCUUAUAUAAGCUGCUUUGUAUGUUUUUGGUUGGUUUGGGAUCGUUUGAUUUUUGGUCUUUUUUGGCCGCUUGCAUCGUCUCUAGGUCUUUUUAACCUUCGAGCACUCGUUUUUUUUAGCCUAAAAGCUUCACCCAGCUUCUCUAACUUCGUUAAGCUGCUUUUUUUAUCGAAGCCUCUAGUUUAAUCACCUAUUUAAUCCGCUCAUUUAGUGUCCUUUAAACCCCUUUCCCUCCCCUAAUGGAGCUCCUCGGCCUUUGGGAUCUUUAAACGUUAAAAAACGAGCAUAAAUCUAGCCACUUUUGGGAUCUUUUCUUAGGCUCUUAACCUAGGAGCUAGAUAAAAUCUUCGGAGUGGUCGCAAGCCCAAGGGAAGUUACCUAAACAAAAAUCCCUGUCUCCGGGACCGAAACUGCCCCUCUGUGCUCAAAACAUGCCUGCCGCAGGCGUACGCCUCCCCCUUAUACGCCACCUCUAACUUCUUACUCACUAACCUGCCAGCUAACGUGCCCAGGCGUACACCGCAUCAAGCAUGUUACUCGAGACGGUAAACUACCCAACCCUCGGCAACCUAACAAACCUCUAAGCACCACGGGUUAUAGACAGCUGGCGAACAACUGCUAUCAAUCUUCGAUCUAAUGCGAACAGGAGACGACUGAAACGUUGCCACGUUUUACAUGAAGUUUUACAUUAACCAAAGAAAGAAGAAAAAAAAAAAGGAAAAAGAUUAUAUAUGUGUUAUUUUGAUAAAUGGAUAGAUUGGAGAAAUAUUUUUUUAUAAAGGAUAGAUCGGAGGAAAACUUUUUAUAAGAGGUAGAUCGGAGUAAAAGUUUCUAAUCUCUUUUUUUUUUUUUAAAAAAAUUAUAUAUAAUUCCCCAAUUCACUUCCUCUAAUAGAAAAAGAGAGAGUAGAGGAUAAUUAAAAAUAUAGUUUUAUUAAAAUUAGGGUAAGCCGGAUAUUUAAAGUACAAAAUUACAUAAUUUUGGAUUUUAUGCUCUUUAGGUUUAUCAAAAACCUAGUUCUAGUAAUAUUAGUUGAGGAAAGCUUGGUACGUAUUAUAAAAGUAGUUUUAUAUUUUUCUAAUCUUAACCAACUACGCGGUACACUUUUAAAAGAUAAAACUUUAUUUAACUAUACUCUAUUUAAUAUGUGUUUUUAAUCCCUCACUCUUCCCUAGAGCCCCUUCCUCUCUCUUUUUUUAUUAAAGGAGGUGAAUUGGGAAAUUAUAUAUAAUUUCCAUAAUUAAAGAGAAAAAAAGAAAUUAGAAACUUUUACUCCGAUCUACGCCUUAUAAAAAGUUUUCUUCCGAUCUAUCCUUUAUAAAAAAACAUUUCUCCGAUCUAUCCAUUUAUCAAGAUGUGUUAUAUCUGUUUGUAAUUGGCAUGUGCAAACUUCGCACUGUAUUUGAGGUUUAUACAAAAAAAAAAAAAAAACUCUUUAUCCAUCGAACGAUGGACGAAGUAAGUAAUUCGUUUUACUUAAUCCGAAUGUAUAACCUCCGUCGGUCCCGGAGGCUCCGCUUUGGUUGCUAAUGUUUUUGUCUUUUCUUUUUGAUCUGAUGGAAUAUCGAUGGGAAUGUUGAUUCUAUGUUUUCCCGGGAUAUCGUUGGGUAAGUUUAUUCUAUGCUCUCCCUCUUUGAGGAGUCAGGCUUCUUUGACCAAUGGACCGGAGUUAGGUUAGACACUAGUUUCUUCACUGAGCAAGUUCUUGGGCCUAUCGUAAUUCUGAGGGGAGCGUCUUCUAGGACAACAAAGCGAGACAGGUUUGGUGGGUGGUCUAACGGCGGUUAGGCCAAUCUGAAAAACGAGAGUUGAGCCGUAACACAUACAAUGGAUUAAGUCGGGUUUAGGAGGACCGUGGGGGAUGAAGGCUAGGCGAAUACAGACGUUGAGGGCAUGUUUCAUCUUCCAUAGACUGCUUAUGUGUGAGGGCUUUUUCCACUAGUGACCAAAGACGAUUGUAUCGCGUUUUUUACGUCAUACCUAGCUGUACCGGGGGAGAAGCCUAUUAAGACAGACGCCAUUCGUUAGAGAGCGCCUCUUCAUAGGUUUACUUUUAAAACUAAAACUGGCCUUAAGACUCGGAGGUCUCUACUUGCAUCUGCCUCAGAGAGUCGGGACGUAGUCACUACUUGAGCAUUUCGCUAAACUGGCAUUUCUAAACUAAGCUUCAGGUAGAGGUGAAUUAACAUAGACCACGUAGGCUACCUGAUAUGACUCGUUAGUCUAAAAACUCGUUUCAGGAGACGGCCGCCCGCAGCGACAGUCAUAAGCGUUAUUCCCGAGACCAAUAUUUUGCGGUAGAGGUGGGAAAUAGUAAGGUCGUAAAACUUUGACACCGGAGGAACAACCGUUGCGACCUUACUUAUGGACCUUUAGAUCAUGACUCUCCCCAAAGAAGUUAGGUUUAUAGUCUGGUGUCGGAUUAUAAAAAGGGCAACGGCUCGUGCAUGCUUUGUGGUGUAGACUUGUGAAGAGCUGUAGAGUGGUGUGAAGAGGUGGUGACCCUCACCCCAGCCUUCCGAGAAGGGAGUAUAUUGCCGGAAGAAGACCAUAUUAUAUUUCUAAAUUAGUUGGAGGGGGUAUCGACUAAGCCGAGAAACUUCUUCGCGGUGGUGGUAAACCAAUCAUCUCGGCAUAAGCGACGAAGGUACAGAAACUGAGGAUCGGGGGGAAGAAAAAACGAAGAUGUUUAAUCAAAGGUUGAGUGGUCUGUACUCGGAGGGCAUUAAAAGCUCGAUGGANNNNNNNNNNNNNNNNNNNNNNNNNAGGGUUGAGUGAGUUAUUGGUUUAAUGUUGAAUAUAUAUAUAUAUAUAUAUAUAUAUAUAAUUAGGCUGAAAUACUAUUAAUAGCACUAAGCUAUUGGUGCUAUUAGGUUUUCAGCCCUUGGAUGAAAAUAUGUACGAGAUGUGGGCUCCCUAGGGUUGAGUGAGUUAUUGGUUUAAUAGUAUAAUCUAAUGAGUAAAAAUAGUUAAAAAGUUAAAUCUAACGGUAGAAAAUUUGAUAGCACCAAACGCUUGGUACUAUUGAUAAUAUUCCAGCCGAACUAUAUAUAUAUAUAUAUAUAUAGUCAUUGGAUUUUAGUGGCCACUAAUAAUAAUAAUAAUAAUAUAAAAAUAAUAAAGUUUGGCCCAACAACCUUAAAUACAUAUCACUUAAUCAUGUCGAGAAAGAUACAGUUACAGCCGUCCAGUUAGUUGGCCAAUCCACGCCUACCAACUAACCACAUAUCCAACCCGACCUACCAAUUAACUUAUUCUCACCACUAUUUUGAUACUACAAAUAUCUAGAAUCUAUUGCCAUUUUAAUAUUUAGUUCAAAUUUUUAUAUAUAAAAAGAUCUUUUGCUUAUUUAUUUAUUAUUAUUAUUAUUCAAAAUUUUUAAAGUUUUUCUAAAAUUAUUAAAAUACUUUUCUAAAAUCCAGUCUAUUAGUAAAUCCUAGAAAAAAUAGAAAUUUGAAAAAAAAAAAAUUUAAAAUUAAUAAAAGUACUUUGGUUCUUCAAAAAUAAAUAAAAUAUUUUUAAAUUUUUAAAUGAUAUAUUAGAUAUUAUUUCUUUAUAAGAAAAAUAUUACUUAUAUACUCUGAAAGAGUGUAUGCAGGUACACCUCAUCAUCCUACGAUUUAAAAAAAAAAAAAACAACUUAACAAUUGGGGGUGUUAAAUAUAUAUACACUAUCUUUGGGGUGUAAAGAUAGUAGUGCUCAAANUGUAGAAACAGAAUCCUAAGGCCUAGUUUUGUAUUGUUGUCAUUUUUUUUUUUUUACUUUUUUAAACACUAAUUUUGUAUAAUUUGAUGUGUUAGAGAAUUUUUUCUUUUUUUAAAUGUUUUUGUUAUAGUUGAUUAGAUUACCAUGUGUAUCAGGCUAAGUGAUAAAUACAAUUUAUCUAAAAAGAUUUGAAAAUAGAAAAAAGUUAUUUUUAAUAUUUUGUUUUUUGUCCUCGAGUAACACUUUAGAUGAAAAGAUGGUAAGCAAUUUAUUGUCCUCGACAACUCUUUUUUAUAUGGGAAAUUUUAUUUUAAAAGUAGGGUCAAAUGCAUACAGCUCCCUACAAACAUAGCCAAUUGCGGAUAUAUCCCUGCAAAAUCGAAACUCCAUAAUUGUUCCUACAAAAGUCCCAAGUUAUGCAGAUAUGUCCCUGCAGUUAUCAUCUGUUAGUGAGCUGUUUGUUUUUUAACAGUGAAGUCGUGAAAUGACCAUUUUAUCCUCACAAAUAUAUCCCUCCAAAAGUUUUCCUCUUCCCCUUCUCUUUCUUUUCCUUUUCGGACCGUCGAAAAAGACGACGGCGGCGGCGGCGCGGGGUCAGGUUCGCCGACGACGAAGAAAAGGCAAGAACGCCGAGCACCGGAGCUCUACCCGGAGCUCGUCGCCCUCAACGUCGUCCCCUCCCUCGUCGGCACCGACGCCAACGUCCUCGGUGACCACGACGACCCCGCACACGCCCUCGUCGCCGCCCUCGUCGCCAACAACGCCCUCGAGCUUCUCGUCUAGAAACUCGCCCGCCUUUCCUUCGAGAUCGACCCCGACGAGAUUCUUCUCCCUCGCCGGUGACGAAGAAGAGGGAAGAGGAAGAAGGAAGAAGGAAGAAGAAAGAAGGGAGAAAAAGGGAGAAGAGGAAGAGGGAAGAGGAAAAGGAAGAGGGUUCGCCACCGUCGCCGUCAUAUCUCCUCGCCGGCGACGAAGUAGAAGGAAGAGGAAGAGGAGGAAGAGGAAGAGGGGUAAAUACGUCAAUUCACACUAUAAUUAAUCAUGGUUAAGUAUUUUAAGCAUGGUUAACGAAAAUUUUCUAACAGAUCUGGACGGUAGGGAUAUAUCUGCAUAACUUAGGACUUUUGCGGGAAUAACUUAUGGAGUUUCUAAUUUGCAGGGAUAUAUCCGCAAUUUACUAUGUUUAAAGGAACGUGUAUACAAAUAACCCUUAAAAGUAAUAUAGACGAUAUCUAAAUUUUUAUUUUGACAAUUAGACCAUCUAAAUUAACUUUAUGAAAACCUCUAUACCUGUAAAUUUAUUCCCACCACCAUUUCGAGUGCUACUAUAAAUAUCUAAAUACUAUUGAUAUAUUAAUAUAUAUUUACAAUAUACAAAAAAAAUGUGUAAAAAUUCAUGAAUUCUAAAAUUUUAAUUUUGACAAUUAGACAUCCUAAAUUUUAUGAAAUAGUUUAAUUGUCCUUCUGAUCAAGCAAAAUUUUGCAUAUAGUUUUUCUAUAAUUUAAAAAAAAAAUUAAUUUUUUUUGUCUUUCUUGUUUUUAUAGGUAAGUAUGGUGAUGAAAAUAUAAAGUGAAUCUACCUUUAAUUUUAUUACUUUUCUGAUAUGUUAGAAUGGAGAAAAAUAGAUUUUUUUUAUAUUUUUAAAUAUUUACAAAAUGGAUAUAAUUAUUACUGUCAUAUUUUUAACUACAUACAUCUUUAAUUAUAUAUUUUUUUUUUUGUUACAUCCAAUCUUAAUAUUUUUUUAAAAAAAAAUAUUUAUUCUCGAAAUAUGAAAAUUUUUGAUUAAAAUUUAUUUAAUUCAUUCCACAUAAAAAAACUGCGGCGGGAGCGAUUUUCUCGGGUGGAGUUUGAAACGCGGCACACCCGUUGGUGGGCCCCACGGGCCGUCCCCAUCUCUCCACCGUACGAUCUCCGAAUCGAUGUAUCUUAAUAUGUGCGAUGACGUGUCGCUGUACACCGACGCACGGAAAAGGAGGAUUUCGCCACGUGUACGCCUAAGCGUCGGGCCCGAUCCACGUCACUCGACCGUUUUUGACCGGCACGUGUCCCUCUCCGGUUGGUUUAACCGGGUCGGUGACCGGGAGGGGCAUUUAAGUAAGGAAAAUAGUAAACACACUGCCCAUGUUGUUGUUGUUGUUACUUAUACUCGCUCCUCGGCGGCGAUUUACUCUCCUCUCCUCGGCGGCGAUGGUAAUGGGGUGGUGGGACCGCAUCGUGUUCCCGAUGCGGAGGGUCUGGAUCGGCGUCGCCUCCCGCCUCGGGAUGCGCAAGUCCGGUAAGAUGGACGGCCGCGAUCGAUUCUCGCCUUCGCCGGAAUUUUCCUUNCUAUUCUUUUUUUUUUCCUUCUUCUUUCUUCUGUUUUUUCAUUUCUGGCCUGACAAUGGCGGUGGCAGUUUGGAUUGUUGAGCAGCGGCGGCGGCGGUCUCGACGGCGUCGGCGUUUGUGCACAACAGCAUCGGCGGCAGUCACUACAGCAACGACGGCAGUCACUACAGCAACGGCGACUUUUCUCCUUUUCGUUUUCUCUUUUUUUUUAAAAAAAAACUCUUCUCCUCAUUCUUUUUUUUAUUCUUCUUCUUUUUUUUCUUUACUUCUUGCCUGACAACAUCGAAUGGCAGCUUAGGCGGUGCCAGCGGCGGCUUGGGCGGCGUCGGCAGUACGCACGACAGUGGGAAGCAGCGUCAGCGGUCAUGGUGGCAGUGGCGGCCGCGGGGACAAUGGCGGUCGCUACAACAACAUCAGCAGCGGUCACGACGGCAACAGCCACCGUUUUCCUUUUCUUUUUUUUUUUCUUUUUUUUUGUUUCUCUUCCACUUAUUCUCUGUAACUCGCUCUUCUUCUUUUUCUUCUUUUUUUUUUUAUCUCUUCUUCCUCCUCUUCCUUCUUCUUCUUCUUCCUCUUCUUCUAUUUGAAAGAUAAUUGAAAAUUUAAUGUCACUAUAAUUUUUUUUCCCUAAAAACACCUCCUUAAAUAUAUUUUUUUAAAAAUUAAUUAUUUUUUCGCAUAUUUUUUUAUUUUUAUUUAAUUAUUUUUUUUAAAUAUUAUAUUUAUAUUAUCUAUCCACAGCGAAGCGCGGAUCCUACACUAGUUAUAUUUUAUAACACAUCACUAUUACUCAGGAGGAGGAUCAAACAAACUCUCAUGUUAUUUUAUUCAUUACCGGUUAUUACAGGAUCGGAUGUGCUGCUCUAAUCACUCCAAACAUGUUCGUCGACUUAAUUUAGUAAUGCACACAACACUCCCAACUUAAACAAAAUUAUACCAUACAAAACAAAAUUUCAAAUUUGAAGAGGGAGACCGACCGUCCCUACGGCAAGUGGCAAAAUAUUUGGUGGUUGAUAUCCAAGGUCCCAAGUUCGAGUACUAAUUGAUUUACAUUUUCAGCUAAAUUUAUUUUUAAAUAAAAUAAACGAAGCGGGUAGCGUGCUAUCUAUCUCUCCAAAAAAAAAAAAAAUUGAAGAAGGAGAGAUUUAAGUAACCGUAUACAACAAGAAGGGAGGAUUCUAAUCGACUCUAACACUUUACUGUGGAGAUAUAUAAUCAAUAACCAUCUCAUUUUCUUUACGGAAAAAGGCUCAUUCAAUACUUGCCGAUCACUGCAUCUGCAUUCAUGGGACAUACAAAAAGCCCAAACCACAAAGCAAAAGAGUAGGCCGCUCUGAUCCAGUCAGUUUCAGCAACAAUCAUAGAUGGUCCCUCAUCUACUGACUUUUAUCUUACACGUCCACUCUGUAACUGACCUCAUUUUAAUUCAGCAAUGUCUGGGUCAACCUUUUCCGUUGACCAACCCUUAAAAAAAAAAAUUCAAAUACCACCCCUAUUAUUUUGCUUUUUUUUUUUUAUUUUAGUACUAUACGGUUUAAAGUNUCUCUGUGUAUCGCGUUUUCACCCUUUUUUUUUUUUUACCAUACUUGUUUGUUGCGUUGUACGUAUUAUUAUUAUUAUUGUUAGUACUCUAAAUUAGAAUUAGUAGUGUAUGAUUACUUUUAAUGAGUAUCAUUAUUAGGGAUAAUUUUAUUUUAACUCGUUCUAGAAUUAGUAGUGUAUGAGCAUUGCUUCGAUUUUUUUUUUUUCUUGGGAAUUAAUGUUCAGGAGGAGGAAAAAUGAAAAAUCGAAAUUUUAUGGCCCGGAAUGCAUAUAGUGGGAUUUUUUUGUUUGUUUUUUUAUGCUGCCUCUCAAUAUUUAUUUAUUUAUUUAUCUAUUUUUCUCAAUUUGGAUUUUUUUAAAAAAAAAUAUUUCAUGAAAUUAAGCAAAAUUUAAUAUAAAGUAGAAAAUGAGACAUAUAAUUUAUUUUGCGCUCGAAUUUUAGAAAAUUUAGAGAAAGUAAUGAAACUAUUAUUAAUUUUUAUUUUAUUAAAAUUAUUAUUAUUAUUAUUAUUAAUGUUGGGCUUAAGAUGGGUCCAUAAGGUGGUUGGCUAUACUUAUUUGAGGUGGACGGUGUUAAUAAAUAAUAAAUAAUAAAUAAUAAAUAAUAAUUAUUAUUAAGGGGAAAGAAACAGAAGAUACUAUGCCUUGGAUAUUGUAAUCAGAAUAUUCCCGAAGAAUAUUCCCUCUAUGUAUGUGUGUUUUUUUAAAAAUUUUUAAUUAAUGCUAAGCACGAGAUUUGUGGUGAGUGACCACCAAAAUAAGAAUCGGCACUGUAUAUAUUCUUUUAUUUUAUCUUAAAAUAAUAUGAUAAUAUAUAUAUGUUAAUAAUAAUAUGUAUGCUCCUACCACGUUCUUUGUGGGGUCUUUUUAUCACAGCAAUUUGUUUGUUUAUAUAUAUGUAUGCUAGUGAAAUGCGCUCGCUGCGGCGGAUCGAUUUUAUAAAAAUAAAUAAAAUUAAAAUAAUAAAAUAUAAAUAAAAGAAAUUAAAGAAAAACAAUAGCUGCUAUAAUAAAAGCAUAAGAAUAAAAAUAUACAAAGAAAAAAAAUAUAAAAAUUAUAAAUUAUAUUUAUAAUAGCAAUAACAGUUGAGAAUUAAAAUAUCAUAUAUCUAAUUAAAAUAUGAGUUUGAAAGCGUCACAUACUUUAUAAUUUGAGCAAGAAAAUAUUGCCCAUUAAAUUUGAGGACUAAAUUAUCACGCGUCUUAUAAUUUUAGGAUCAAUAGUGUAAUUUAUUCUUUUUAUAUUUUAAUUUUAUUCUAAAUGAAGACCGUUGGUCUGUUUUGUUCAAUCAGUAAUUUUAUCAAAAAAAAAAAAAUUGUUAAGCCAUCUAAUAAAUUUUAAUAUUAGAUUUGAGUCAAUUACUAAUGCUUUUACUUUAAAAUUUGAAUGCUUCUUUUAGCUUUAUAGAUUUAGUUACUAUACUUUAUGUAAUCUUUGUAACUAAAUUUAUUAAAAUAAAUAAUUAAUUUAAACCUCAUCAAAUUUUUUUUUAUUUAUUUUUGAGUAUAUAAUCUAUAUGUAAUUGAUUAAUAUUAUAAAACUAAAUUUUUUAUUUAAUAAUGUAAUCUAAACUAUUUAAAAGUAUAUAUAAAUAAAGUCUGGUUGGGAUUCUAUCGAUAACACCAAACGUUGGGUGCUAUUAAGUUUUUCACCGUUAGAAUUAAGUCUGUGACUAUUUUUAUCCGUUAGAUUAUACUAUUAAAUCAAUAACUUACUCAACCCUAAAGGGCUCACAUCAUCUUAACCAUAUAUUUUUUCAUCCAAGGGCCGAAAAUCUAAUAGCACAAAUAAUUUGAUACUAUUAGUAGCAUUCCAGCAUAGUUCGUAUGAAUAUUUAUAUAUUUUAUUUUUCUAUAAUAAAAGAGAAAAAAAUUAAAUUGAAUUAAAAAAUAAAGUCUAACUUUAUAAUGAAAGAAGAAAAUUAAAUUAAAAAAUUUUAAAAAAACCAUUUCUAGUGGGCCCUACACACUCCCAAACCCACCGUCCCACUCCCCCUCCUCCUGCACGAAAAAUUCUAAAAUGCAACAGGUGUAUUAGUGAUGUGGCGUAAUAAACCAAUCAAAUGUAUCAUUUUAAGAGUAUCUGUCCAAUCAUGAUUCAUGAUUGUAAAAAAAUAUUUUUAUUGUACUCUUUGUUUGAAAAGAAGGAAUGUGAUUGGCUUGUUAUUGAUGACAUUGUGCAAGUGUGACAGUGUAGAAUUCCUCCUGCACGCGCUCCCCCGCCACGUGGCAUCCGACUCUCAAUUCAUGAUAUUUAAUUUAAUAGAUAGAGAGAGAGAGAGUUGAGCUGAAAUAUUAUUAAUAAUAUUUAAACUGUUUUGUUAUAAAUUUUUUAGCUGUUAGAUCUAUACUUUAAUCAAUUUUAUCUUUUAAAUCAUACUAUUCAACCAGCUAUCCACUUAAAUCUUAGGGGGACCACUACUAAACCCUAGGGAUCACUAUUAUUCUAAUCUUAUUAUUUUUAAUCUGAUAAUUAAAAAUUCGAUAGCAAAAGAGUCUAAAUACUUUUAAUAGUAUUUCAGCCUAAUUUUCUCUCUCUCUCCUCUCUCUCUUCUCUCUAUAUUAUAUAUAUAUAUAUAUAUAUAUGGGUCCGGCUACUAUACUAUUAUGAGUACGAUCGCCUUCGUACUCAUAAGUUGUUUUCGAUGAUAGAUCUUCCGAAUCGACGAUCCACACCGUUAAACGUCAUUUUACAGCAUUUAAAACUUCCUAGAAAUCAAUUUAUAAUUUUCGACGUCAUUUACCUUACCAAACGAUCAAGAGGUCACAAAUUUGACAAUUUUUAACGGCCGGUAUGGGAUACUUGCUAGUUUAACGGUGUAAAAGAAUCGAAAUUUGUUGAAUAUUUGAUAAAAAAUUUUAUUCAAUACAUAUAUAAAGAUCAAUAACUCCGAUCUUGAAUUGAAGGAUCCGAUCAUCCUUUUUAGGACGUCGUUCGAUUUUGACCGUUCAUUUUAUACCCACUUGAUGGACUUUAUUAUAAUUUCGAAAAUUUACGAAAUUUAUUUUCUAGAAGUUUCAAAUACUCUAGAUCAUAUUUAACGGAGUGGAUCGUCGAUUUGGAAGCUCCAUCAUUGAAAACAACUUAUGAGUAUGAGGGCUCCAAUACUCAUAAUAGUAUAGUAGCCAUGGCCUAUAUAUAUAUAUACACAUAUAUAUAUAUAUGCUAAAUUAUGAGCCGUUACUAAUUGGAUAGCAUAGUUUUUCCUUUUUUUUAAUUAGUGGCGGAUUUCUUUUUCUAAAAAGAAGGAUAAACUUUAAUUUGCCUCGGUGUAAUGUUUUUCUUUUUAGAGAAACAGAUGGUUCAAAAGAUCUUCUGUUCGCUUUAUUUAUUAAGCAAAUAAAUUAGGCAAUAGAAACUGAGUCAACUAGGCUUCCGCAUAGUUGAUUUUACUUUAAAAAGUUAAAAUUAACUAUCCUAUUAUUUAGUGUGUUUUUUUACUUUACUAUCUUGUUAUUAAAAGAGUUACAAUAAAUUAUCCAGUAAUUUUAUUUUUAUUUUAGUGUAAGGACCCGAGGUUAAACUAUUCUGUAGUUUUUUUUUUCAGUGAAUAAAGUAUAGAAUAGUUAAACACAACUUUUUGAAUCAAAGACCGACUAUCUCUAAAGCAAGUGGCAAAAGGCUUGGUGAUUGGUACCCGAGAUCCAAGUUCGAAUCCUAGUUGAUUUACAUUUUUAGCUAAAUUUAUUUCUAAAUGAAAUAAAUGAAGCGAGUAGCGUGCUACCUAUUUCUCAAAAAAAAAACCUUUUUGAAUCAAAGCGGCUAAAAAUUCUUACCCAAACAGAGCUUUGGAUUUUAGUUCUUCUUUGGGCUGCAUGUUCACUUGCUCUGGGCUCUUAUGGGGGGACCAAUUUCUCUUUAAAUUGUUGAAUUUACAUGGGCUUGGUAUAAUGUAGCCUCUAUAUUAGUAGAGGUUUGGUUAGGUUACUGGGGUUGUCAAUUUUUGUAUUUUCAAAUUUUCAAAACGUUUUUGGUGUCACAUUGAAGGAGAGAUUCAUUAGUUAAUUUGCUAAGAGCCUGUUUAGAUGUUUCUUUUUUUUUUACCCUUUGCAGGAUGUCAACAGAUCGGAUUCGGGACGGAUUUUUACAAAUCCGAACCUAACUCCAAACCCGAAACUCGAACCCGAUGAAUUUUAAAAAUUCAUAUCCAAAUCUGAACCCGACCAACAAUCCUACACCCGAACCCGAAAAUUCGAAUCCGAAACAAUUAUUUCUCUUUUCAAUAUUUCAAAAUAUAUUACAUUAAAUCUAAAAUUUGAAAAUACAAAUUCAAAUAUAACAUUAAAUUUUUAUAUAUAUAUAUAUAUGUAUAUAUAAUGUAAAAUAAAUACGGGUUCGGAUCCAGUACAAUCAAAAUCCAUAUCCGAAUUCAUAUCCGUUGGAUUUUUGUUUUUGAUAUCCAUAUUCGAAACCAUAUUCGUCUAGUAUCGGAUAAAUCCGUUCUGUUCGGAUUCAAGUUCGGAUAAAAUUUCGAGUGACACUCCUAUUUGCGCCGGUAGGAGAAUGAAGUAACCAUCACUCUUGUUUCAGAGUAUGUUCCUUCUUUGAGUUUCAUCUGCAAGACUGCAGCUUACUCUUAUCCAAACAAGUCUUAUUAGGGAAAAAAAAGUUAUUCCCAUGUCACUACUUAAAAUGGAAAUUUAAGAUGCAAUUAGCUAUAUGUUUGAGAUAGCUAUUUGAUGCUUCAUUAGGUGAUAAAUAAAAAGAAUAAAGGCACAUAAAAACAAAGGAAAUGUCAUAGUUAAAAAUUAGUAGAACUAAAGAGUAGAUAUGCACAGAGAGAGAGAGAGAGAGAGAGAGAGAGAGAGAGUACCCAAUAAGGAAAUGAUAUAAUAAGCCCAGAAAAAACUGAUGAAAAAGAUUUAUUGGGAAUAAUUCCAAACGUAAGACCGUUCUAUCCGUCAUUCGUACAAUUUUAAAUUUUCUGUUGUCCAUACGACGGACGGUGGAUGAAAUAGUCUCACAUUCGAGAUUUGUCUGCACUAAAUAUUUAUUUCAAAAUGUAGAUUAAGAUUAAAUAGCUCAUGUAAUACAUGCUUUAUUUGAACGAAAUAAUUUUCCUGUUUUUUUUUUUGUAUCAAAUACAAUUUUUGUUUUGGUUCAAAUUAACCUGACCUUUUAAUCAUCUUUUGCGUACAUAACCGAUGAAAUAUGAAUAAUAAUUUAGUAAUAAAACAACAAGUUUGAUAUUUUCCUGAUAAGAAACAGAGUUUGUAGUGCAAUUUGACCUCUUCUCUAUAAAAAACCUUUUCUACAAAUUUACCUCAAAAAAAAAAACUAUUUUUUCAUUCUAGUCCCUAAUCUUCUUUUUCACCAUUUAAGUUUCUAAUCUUUAGUGUAAUUUUAAUUUAACUCAUUGUCUUUAUAAUACCACUAGUUUUGAUGAAAAAUUGCCAUGUAGCGAGAUUCAAUUCUUAUAUAUUGUGCUCUGGAGCUCAACUGGACUGAUCGAUUGGACUAAAAUAAUUAUAGUUUAAUUUGAAAAAUAUCAUACUAAAAAAAUAGUCAAGUAAUUAAUCAGUAGAGCCAACAAGUGAUUCUGAUUAUAGAAGAAAAGUUAUUAUUAUUAUUAUUAUAUUAUUAUUAUUUUUAUAUAUGACUAAAAUAAAUUGUCUAUAAUUUUUUAAAAAUAUAUAUAUAUUUAAUAUACAUUAAUAAUUCGACUUCAAUCAAAAUUUAGGUGAAUUUCUAGAUCAUAAGCCUUUUUUAUUAUUGUUCUUUUGUCAAAAAAUUAUUAAUAUAAAUAUUAAUGUAAUAAAUAUUUGUCAUAUUUAUGGUAUUUCUUUUUAGAGUUAACUAGUAUAUGACUCGUGCGAUGCACAGCUAAUGUAAUAAUAUAAAAUAACAAAAGUUAUUAUAGGAUGAUAAAAGAAAAAUAUUUUAAUUAAUAUUAUAUUUUUUUUAACAAAUAAAGAAAUAUACUAUCAAUCUUAAUUAUAAUACAUAUUAAAUUACGAAAGCUAGAGAAACAAAAUUAUGGACCAAAAUAAAUACUCAGGUAAAGAGCAAAAUUAAACCAUGCUCUAUUAUCUAUGAAUUGGUGUGCAAAAUAAUUUGUUUAAUAGUAUUAUUAAUUAAGAUUGAUAGUAUAUUUGACAUUAAUAAUUAAGUAUAAUUUGAUUUAAUAAUGUUUCCUAAUAAAAUUCUAUUUUUAACCAUCUAAUUGCUAUAUUUGAGUUUGACAUGUGGCAAGUAUAUAGAAAGAUGCAUGAUAAACAUUUAAUUUGAUUUAAUUGUAUAUAUAAUUAUAAUUUAAUUUAACGGUGUUUAAUAGUGUUUACUAAUAAUAUUCUAGUUAAUUGUAUAUAUAAUUAUAUUUAAUUGGUAUAAUUUGAUUUAAUAGUGUUUCCUAAUAAAUAACCUAUUCUAUAUUUGUAGUGUUUCCUAGUAAAAUUCUAAUUUGUAUAAUUUAAUUUAAUUUGAUUUAAUAGUAUUUUCUAAUAAAAUUUUAUUUUUAAUCAUCUAAUUGCUAUAUUUGUGUUUGAUAUGUGGCAAGUAUAUAGAAAGAUGCAUGAUAAACAUUUAAUUUAAUUUAAUUUGAUUUAAUUGUAUAUAUAAUUAUAAUUUGAUUUAAUAGUGUUUAAUUGUGCUUUAUAAUAAAAUUCUAGUUAAUUGUAUAUAUAAUUAUAUUUAAUUGGUAUAAUUUGAUUUAAUUUGAUUUAAUAGUCUUUCCUAAUAAAAUUGAUAUUCUAUUUAUAGUGUUUCAUAAUAAAAUUCUAGUUAAUUGUAUAUAUAAUUAUAUUUAAUUGGUAUAAUUUGAUUUAAUAGUGUUUACUAAUAAAAUUGCUUUUCUAUAUUUAAGUUUGACGCGUGGCAAUCAUAUAAAAAGAUACGUAUCAGUUUUACAUCAAGAGUUCUACUUUAGUAUAUAGUAAAAUUGAGUUUGACACGUGGCAAGUAUAUAGAAAGAUACGUGUCAGUUUUACACCAAGAGUUCUACUUUAGUAUAUAGUAAAUAUAGUAAAUAAAUAGUUUUUUCAACGACCUAUACUGAUAUACAUUAUCUAAUAAAUAAAUACUAAAAAUUAAGGACCGGAUUGCAAAAAAAAAAAAAAAAAAAAUGAAUCGAGGACCCAAAAAAACACGAAUGAAGGUUAGGGACCAACAAGGCAAUUAACCCUUUAAAAUCCGUCGCUUCUCUUCUUCCUUCCUCGCUUCUUUCGCAGCGCAAACGAUGUCGGAGAACCCCUUGGAGCCCCUCCUCAAAACCCUAGACUCAAUCUCGCGCUGCGUCCAAACUCACCUCUCCCGCGUCUUCGUCGCCCCCCAAAACGCUUCUCCAAAACCCACGCUGCUUCGUCCCCUCUUAUCCUUCUCGCCGACUCCCGUGGCUCCGGAUUCUACCACUUCACCCAUAAAGGUGCGCCCUUUGCUUCUCUUUUGCGUCCAAAGAAGAGGUGUUGAGCGCUUAUGGAUUUGGGUUUUACGAGGUCUGUGUGUUUGGGGCUUUGUUUAGGAGAAAAAGGCGGCGCCUUUAACGAAGGAGGAGCUCGGGAGGGCGACGUGGACUCUGCUCCACAGCAUUGCGGCCCAGGUGUUUGGUUUUUUGCCUCUGUGAUGAUCUUGUGCUUUCUCAUGUUUUUUCCCUGAAAGUUACCUUGUCAUUUCGUAGUGAGUUCCUUUUUGUUGGUGAAAGAGGAGUAACUUUGUCUGAUAUUAGCCUUUGGAGGUAGAAAUGACGUAACCUUGUGUCAAUUUAAUCUUUGUAUUGUUUAAAAUGCUGUUGGAAAUGUUGAUUAUAAGAAACUGAGUGUCAAACAAGUGAUUAAUCUAAAAGUACAAGCUCUUAGCGAGUGGUGUUUUAAUAAUUUAUAUUCAACACUUCUCAUUGUAUCUAGGCUCAAGACAUUUUGAUAGGCCAAGAUGCAGGCUACAAUUAAAUGGAGGGAAAGUAAUUGCGACCUGCUCUGAUACCAUAUAAGACAACCAAUUACUCUAAAAAGUUAAGCUAUCAGAUAACAUUGUUUUAAUAUUUUAUGUUCAACACUGAGCUGGCCCAUUGAUACUUUUUUUGGCUUGCUUUCGAAUAGGUAUUAGCAAUAGAUACUUAAUUAGGAUGUUUUCCUUUAUUAUCUUCUCGUGCAUGAUGGGGAUGUUAUGAUUGUUAAGAAUGUUAGUCCCAGAGUGUGAGACUUGAAGAUUUGAAAUAGUUCUAUAUAUAAGAUAUAAUAGAACUAAAUUUUUUAAUCCGGAUAUAGCAUUUUGGACUGUGGCUAGGUUCAAAAGAUUAAAGGAGUCAAGCGUGCUAGGGUUAGAGUAGUCUUAAGAUGCGUGACCCCCUGAGAAGUGGGGCGUCAUAGUUGGUAUAAGAACUAACUACCAGCCGGAAGUAUGAGAUGAGUCUCGGUUGAGCCAAGUUAUACAGUGGACAGAAUGAGACUCUCUGGCCGAUGACUGUUGUGCGUGGAGCGCGGCUUCUUAUAAGGUCGACUAAGGCUAGCGAGAUGAGUCUCACAUUGUCUGGUACUUGUGAGUGUGCUUAAGCCUGAUGAGGACGUCAGAGUUUAAAAGAGAGAAGAAUGUGAGACCCCAGGAUUUGGAAUAAGACUAAAUUUCUUAACCCGGCUGUAGCAUUUUGGACGGUGGCUAAGCCCAAAAGGUUAAGAGAGUUAAGAGUGCUAGGAUUAGAGUAGUUCUAUAAUGGGUGAUCCCCUGGGAAGUGGGACGUCACACAGAGGGCAUCCAGUGUGAACGACAGCCCCAGAAUCUAGUCCCAAAGAGGGCUUUGACAUGGUGCCAGAGUCAGCUUAAGUAUGAAAGGCACCUAGUAAUUGUUGGUUGAAUAAUUAAGUUUCUUAAAUUAAGGCUGAAAUUCAUUAUUCUGAUCUGUUUAACCAAAUCUAAAUUUCGACUAGGUUGCGGGCAUGCAACAAGCACCUAUGUUUGGCUUCGGGAGUUGACUAAACUUGGUUUAUUAUAUUUAUUUUGACCCAUGUGUCACACAUUUAUUGGCUAGAAGAAAUGAUUUUGCUUUCUUCUAGCUGGAAACAGCAUUUAUUAGCCAUAUGUAGUGUGAGCAGCUUUAUGGAGUUGAGAUUUCUGCUGAAACCAACGAUAAUAGACAGAAUAUUCUUGUAAGUUAAGUUUUCAUACUAGAUUUUUUUCUGUUGAACUACUUUCACAAGUCUGCUACUUGUUCUGCUAGCUAUCAAAUUAAGGGCUUACCUUGGUGUAUAUCAUUCUCCUUUGGACACAGCACAUUGAUUUUCUGUAUCUUGUUUAAUACUUUUUCAGUAUCCUGAUCACCCAACAAGGCAGCAGAAAAGAGACGUGAAAGAAUUGGUAUGCAGCAAUGUCAUUUUCAUUUGCUAAAUUAUAUUGUUUAAUACCCGAUUGCAGCCAAUGGUGUCCAUUUCGUUUUGAUUAGAUUUUUCCAUGUUGGGACCAUGCACUAUGCAACAAUUGUACCCUAGGGCGUUGAAGACUUGAAGUUGAUUUUGUAGUUGCUCCAUGUAAAUUGCUAGAUUUAAUGAAAUAUGAUGAUAAGGUAGUGGUAGAUUUCUGCAGAAACAUUGGAAAUCUCUUUUGCUGCGAUAGCUAUUAAUGGAUAAUAUAUUACAUGUUUUGUAAAUCGAAAUAUGAUAAAUAUGUUUCUUUUUUAAGUAUUGUUGCUCAGUUCUUUGAUUUUUUGUAUUAUUGUCUCUCACUAUAUUAAUUCGUAAUAUGUGACAAUUUUUUUUUUUUUGGGUAUAUAUUGUCGCUAAUCAGAUCGUUUUUUAGAUCUAAAAAAGACAAGCUUGAUUUCUACUUCAUGUUUUUUUUCUCUUCUUGCAAUAGUUCAUUAACCUUUGGUUCAUUCAACAAUGGAGUCUCAUAUUUUGAUCAAAUUAGACAUGAGAAUAACACAGGUCUUGGGUUUGUGCACGCAGAUGGCUAUAAUAUCUCGACUUUACCCUUGUAAAGAAUGUGCCGAUCAUUUUAAGGAAGUGUUGAAGUAAGUAUAUUAAUUACCUUCAUAGGACUUGCUUGCUAAAUUGUUAUCGCAACCCCUGUUCUGUACAAAAAAGUCAAAAUGCCAACAUUAUCAAUGUUUUUGAAGUGCUCUUGGGGUCUCUGAAGUUUCUUGGGUUUGAACCUCCCAAUUACAGUUGUUUGAUUUUGGUCGGGUUCCAUUAGACUUAGUAGUUUCAGUUACUUAAUAUUCGAAAAUAACAGAAUAUUCUGGUAAAUUCCGGAAUAUCCUGUCAAAAAUGUUUUAAGAAAGUUGGUCUCACCAAAGCUGACUAAAACCAUUUAGUAUAGUGGGGCGUUCAAAGCCAAAUAUAUUGAAGUCCAGGGAUCUGCUUUUAGAACACCUAGAGCUAUAGUUGGCUUGUAUUGGCUUAGAGAUUAUUUUUGGUGUGCACGUAUUACAUGAAAGAAUAAAGGGUAAACAUACAGCCAUUUGCUGUGUUGUGUUUUGGCAGAGCGAAUCCCGUACAAGCAGGAUCACAAGCUGAAUUCUCUCAAUGGCUAUGUCAUGUACACAAUGUGGUUAAUCGAAGGUAAAUUUAAUCCUCUCCGACACUGUACCUCUACUGUCCAUCUGUUUUUCAUUUUACUCACAGGAAGCAGAUUGAGUCAUUUUUCAGUAUUAAAAAGAGUUCAUCAUUUUUCUGACAUAUGUUUUUGGGUGAUAUUUAUAGCCUAGGGAAAGUGAUAUUUCCCUGUCAGAGAGUGAACGCUCGAUGGGGUAAGUUGGAUUGUAAGGAUCGGUCCUGUGAUUUGGAAGGCACUGUCGACAUCAAAACUUUAACUUCCCACACCUGAUGUAUCACAAAGGAUCAUUUUGAGUAGUGCGAUAUCUUUCUACAUCAAGGAAGAAAAGGAAAUACUAAAGUUCACUCUCUCUUGUUUUACCAUUUUUGUAGUCAAUUUGAAGUAAAGUUUAGAUGGACAUAAUGAUGCUCAUUGUACAGCAGUGCAAACCAUCGUGAAGGCAAAAAAGUAGUAAAAUGAUUAGAUUUUUAACUAUGGAUGAUUGUCAUUGAACCGUAUGCUAUAUGCAUUUUGAGACUGUGACAUGGCAUGUAUUGACGUAAGCUAUAUUAUGUAUAUUUGUCAAUUAUUGUCCGUUAAAUGAUUAGAAAAAAUUGGUUGGGUCAAUGCAGUUGUUAUGUUCGAACUGAAUCUUCAAUCUUGUGCAUGGCUUGGAUGAAAUCUGGUGAAUAAGGUUAUGCUGUAAUUGUGAAGUAGGUUAUGAGAAUAUGUAGUUGCUUAAGCGUUUUCACAAUGCCCAGAAUUGUAUGACUUGGUUUUCAACUGAAGCUAGUAAGUAACCUGGAAACAUUACUGUUUUUUUUUUCCCUGUCGUUUUGCUUCUAACUUUUUAAGGAACUCAUGAGGUGGAAUUCACAAUCCAGUAUAAAGCCCCCCUUUUUUCUGGCUAAAUUUUGAAAUGCACUUUGCCUACUAGAUAGCAAACCAUGCGUGUAUUGCCUUUUUUUUUUCUCUCUCUCUCUCUUUUUUUUUUUUUUUUUUUUUUUUUUUUUUUAAGGUGCUGUGCUUUUAUGAACAUCCCUUAUGCUCAUGAUAGAACAUUCGUACCGAUGAUUAAUAUCGUAAAAUAUAAUCUAAAAGAUUUAAGAUACAAACUAACUAAAAUUUGUCUUUUUGACAUUGUCUACAUUAUGAAAUGCACCUUAAAGUCGGUAAUUUUAAUGGCCAAAAUGAAUUAUUUUGGCAUUCAACAGUGUAAAGCAAUUAAAAUCAGUGAAAUUUUAGUCGAUAGUAUUUUUUCAUUGUUUAGAUUUAGAUCAAUAAGCUAACGCUUAUAACUCACUCUUAAGUUGAAAACUAUAUUUUCUACUUCCACAAAGCUGUUCAAUAUUAAACAUUUUAUUCUUUGACCCGUCAUUUUUAAAAUUGAUCAUCCAUAUCAUUAAGAAUAAGUACUUGGAACAUGUAGAAAUUGACUUUUUGCAUUUUUUUUUCCUCUCAAAUUUAUUCUCUGGAGUAGCAAAAGAUCACAGAAUCAAUGGUGAAAAUUAAACAACCUGAAAAACCCUAGCAUUUGUUUGGUUGGGGGUUAGGGGUGGAAUAACCCCUUAAUCCCCCAUAUUAUUUCCAAACAUUCCAAAAAUAGGUGGGGUUAACUAACCCAACCUCAAAUGAGCUAUUCUGGAUUAGCUAAUCCUAUCUAACCUCACCAAAUCCCAACCAAACACUAUUUUCUAUUCAUAAGAACCCACUAUCUUUCUUAUCCCACCUACUCCAACCAAACAUUAUUUUUUACUAUCCUGAACUAACUCCAAUCCUCAACCAAACACAAAAAUACUCUAAUUCCACCUUAACCCUGAAUUUAACUCUAUCUUUGAAAUAACUAAUUUUUCUUAAUUCCGAAUGAAACGGUAGCUUAAGAUCAAGAAAAUAUUGAUUCGAUAUUUAAAAUCAACAAUAUAUUCAUUUUCUUCACCCAUUGUUGCAACAUGAAAGUGCUGUCCUAUGACUCCUAUCAGUCAUACUUUUUUAGGAUAUUAUAUUAACUUACAACAAAAUUUAUCUUAUUUUAAUAAAAUGACUCAGCAAUUUGUAUACAGACAAGACAUGCGUGUACAAUUAAUGUCUCAUCUACCAAUUAUUGUAUCACCCUUGAAAAAAUAAAAAAGAUGUGUCGAUUUAAAUGUUCGUGCAUCCGGACAAGUAAUUUUGUGGCCAAGCAGAGAAGAUCUAAAUCCUUUUUUUGAGUUUUCUCAAAAUGUCUGAUUUUGUCUGAAGAACACAGAACAGAGUUUAAGCUUGUUCCAAAAUAACACCUACAACAAGAAAAGCUAAAAAACCAUGAGCAUUAUAUGAUCUCAUCUUGCUUUACAGCUUAAUAAGCCAAAAGACUUGCUCUAACUCUCACCCCUGUUAAAGAUCGAAAAAUGUACAUCAAUCCAGUUUCCGGUCAAAAGAAAACAUAAGAAAAGAUGGCCGUUAUUUUAAGAUUUUGCAGAGCCACCCUUGUUUUGCAAACUACAUAAUUCAACGCCAUCAAGCGAUCGGAAAGGCGGUCUCUGUCCAAACUUCAACAGAUGCGCGGCUUCAUAAACGGGUUGCAACUGCUGAAUCAACUGAACAUCUAGAUAUGCUUCACAUGCGAAGCACCAGACUGACAAAUCACUGUAAAAGAUCAAUUUAGUUAGAGAAAUAUAUAUGUACUAGUUCAACAAUUAAAAACUAAAAACAAAUUAAUUCUUUUAUAGAAAAGAUUGCACGGUUUGUUGUACCUGAAGCUAAGAGCAAGACAGUGGCCAGUUUCUUGAUGAUGAUUAAGCAUAUGUUUGUUGAUAAAGCGGCUGCAUAGGACCUCUUUGCAGCUCAAGCAUAGCCAGUUCUCAGCAGGAUGGUGGCAUCUGACGAGUACAGAUAUGCUUUCAUGAGAGGAAUAAUAAUAGGGUUUUACAGUCUCAAGGGUCAACCGCAAAUAAAAUUUUCAAUUUUUGAUUAUUUAUAGAAAAUCUGUAUCUUUUAUCCAAAGCUGUAAAUGAAUUAACAGAAUUUUACAAGUGUCACCAGCCCUCUAAAAAUUCGUGUCAUUGCACACGGGAUAAAGUUCUUUAAAGACAGAAUAAUCCAGCCAUAAAUAACAACUCAUCAUUGCAGAAAAGAAAAAUCGAGCAAAUCAAUAUCAAUGCUUAAAGAUGUCUGACAAUUAAAUCAAACCAAAAUUGAACAAUCAAUAUCUCAAAGGGCUUGUUGUGAGAACUUUCGUUAUCAGAUGAACAGCUGAGUAAAAUUCUGACGGCAAAAUACAGAUAUGCUGAAUCAGAGAUGAACUUAAUUAGGUUUAACAUAUAUAAGAAGACAAAGCUGCAAGAUAUUUUGGAAAAUUCAGAUGUAUACAAACAUGUAAGGAUGUCUUAGAAAGUAGAUCAGAAAAGUGAAAACAAAUGAUAAGAUUGGUCUAUUCAACUUUCAAAUUCAUUUCCAAGGCAAUAAAUGACUAAAAGUAGGUUCUUUAUCUUCUGCAAUAGCCAUUGUCAUACGUAGGGAUAUCACUUUGCAGGGUCAGGCGAAACCAGAUUAUGUCCAAUUGAGGCUCAAGGUCUAAUCCGCAGGAUUGAACCCAGACCAGCCCCAACCAAACUCAAAUAGCCUUGACCAUACAUUACUCAGGUCCCCAUUCCUUUUCCCUUCUUAUUUUUUCCAUGAAAUUCCCACCCAGAUUAAGCAUAAAUUUAAACAGAAUGGCAUAAUUUGUGACGCGCCAGUCAAGCUGGUCAGCCCACAAUGGCGGUUGCGUCCUUGGACAACAUCCUUGGUUGCAUGAGCUAACAAGGAGCAGCAUAUAGAAAGGAUAAAUGUUCCUGAAUCAAUAACAAUCUUUCUUCAAAAUAACAGAAUAAGCCACCUUCUUUCCAAAUAUACUAUAUACCAAUUAGAAAUACUUCUAAUACGUGCCAAAGAAAUGUAGAAAGAUGACUUAAUUCUAUGGCUAUUUGUAUAGUACCACGCAAGAAAACAAUAAAGAUAAAAGAAAGAAAUCAUAUUACCUAGUUUUCAUAAAAUGUGGCAGGAUUUUGAUCAAGAAAUGUUGAUGAACUUUGCUUAAAUAGUAUCAUACUUCUUUUAGGAGGAUACAAGUAAAGUCGAUGCUGAGACAUGAUUAGACAAUCCCCAAUCCCCUUUUCACUGGUACUGGACAGGACUUGACACUUCUAUUUCUUCCAAAGAAUUCCACUUUAAAAGACACAAUCUUACACUAUCAUGUCCAUAUCCUCACCAAAACUAUGCACCUUAUACUGUAUCACUUGUCUUUUGGCAUUACUUUGAUAAUGUUAGCUACAAUGCUUAGAAUAACUGCAACAAGAGCACAUGAUCCAGAAUUCUAGCUUUAGCCACCAGCGAGUGGCAACCACUAAUGAGUAAACAAUACAGAAAUUGGACAACACGGCUAUUGAAUCACCAACAUCUAGUUCUCCAACUUUGAACUCAUCUAUAAUUUUUUCCAUGAAGAACAAGGGCAUGGCAGCAUGAAGUUCAGGUAGGGGUUCUUCUCAAAUAGAUUCAAUGGUCAUCACUGAUAUGUUUCUUCACAAAAUGGUUAUUCUGAUAAUUAUAGACCGCCAUCUAAUAUUGCACAAAAACAAUAAAUAAUCACCUUUCUUCCAAUUACACGCAAUGCUUCUGAAUUUCUUUUCCGAUUUCGAUGUACUCCAUUACCAGAUUCAUGAUCUAUACCUCAUCAAAAUAGUGAAAUCGGGAAAAAUUCAAAUUGCCUAACGGUGGCAUGGCGUAUAAUGAAACUUAACCAUGCUGAGGUUGCUAUGUCGAUUGCCUGAUAAGAACUUCUGCUAAAUGCAGUAAAAAUUGAGCAAACGACAAUCACAUAGCCGGUUUAAAACUACAUAAACUAAGUUUUUGUUAUUUAACCUUAUUGAUUCUCAUGAAUCACAUGAUUAAUUAAGCACGUGAUUGUCAUGUGCUCAAUUUUAACCUCAUUUCAGCAACAAGUCCUCACAGGCUACCGAAACAGCAAAUUUGGGCUGGUAAAGUAUUACAGUCUUAACCAUGGCUAUUAAAGUGGCAAUACACACAGAGGUAUCAAACAUUUUCCAUUUCAAGGAAUAAAAUUUACAAAGCUAGAAAUAUAAAGUAGAUACAACAAAGAAUAGGAAUUGCAGAAACUUCUCUCAUGGGCUCAUUAGACGCAAGCAUCCAUCAUAGUAAGUUAGGAUAUUCCAGCUAAAAGAUCGAAAGGGCAAACGAAACACUAGAAAUAACACUCCAAUCUUCACAACGAAUCUUUUGGUCCGCCUUAUUCCGCAUUGUUACUGUUCUUUUUUUUCCCAUUCCAAACAAGAAUUCCAUGUAGUCGAAUGUAUUAAUAGGUGAACUUCUCAACCGAUCUUGCAAUGCAAUCACGCCAAAUACUAAAAGGCAUCUUCUUUAGAAACAUAUAGGCAAAAAAAAAAAGGUUCUCAUUUUUUUUUUUUUUCCUUUUUUCUCCUUCUGUUGCCAAAAAGCAAAUCCACUAUCCACCCUAACACUCUACUGCAUAGAAUUUGCUUUAAAAAAACAUAAAAAAUAAAAGAUGACAACAAUAUUAAACAAGGAUUUACUAUCAUUUUCCCUCUAUUGCGUGACAUCUACUUGGAGAUCCAGUGCUCACAAAACGUCACAAUUACCCAAACAAAUUCGUUCUAAAAGAACAAACAAAAAAGGGGGAAUUGAUUCAUAACCUGAAGCAAGGGGAAUCGGGAGGAGGGAUGUGGACCAGAUCGGAGGCCAAGGAGGCGAGAUGAUCGCACGACGAUCGAGCUUCGACCCAUCCCGAUUCGGCACCAUACAGCUCCCCCAACUCUUCCUCCUCCUCCUCCUGAGAUCGAGAUUUUAGGGUUAGGGUUUCAAAACUGGAGGAGAUGAGAAGUGUUAGGGUUUGAUUACGUACGAAUCGAGACGACGACGUGCCCUCGUUCGCCAUUAACGACAACGAACUGACGAAGUGCGCGGAGCUUCUGGGUUCAGAAAUUAAUAAGGAUUUUUAUUAGGGGUUUAAAAGUAAAGUUGAACAGUAAUUGCACAUAUAUACCUUACAGUUUUAAAAUUAUGAAUUUUUUCGUUGGAGUUACAAUUAUCAAAUACAUUCAUCUAAAAUUUUUUUUAAAAUAAUUUAUUAUUUUGAGCAAACUUGUAAAUUCCACCGUGAGAAUCCUUUUAAACGCAAUAUGCAGAGAAUAGGACUCAACGUUUUUUCGACAAAUCUUUUAAGGAAGCUUCUUAUUCUAGAUAAUCUUGUAAAAAGAUGUUAGACUCGCAACACAACUUGUGUGUUGUGUGGAGUUGAAGAGAAAAAUAUGAACCAUCUAUUUUUACGGUGUGUUUUUAUUUGAUUUCUUAUAGUGAUGUCCGUAGAGAAUGCCAAUAGUAGGGAUUUGGAUGGCGACGUGGUUUCUGUUUGGAAUAGGUGGAUGGUCGGGAAUGGACAACGACCACCUCAUGAUAGUUUGGCUGGUUUAAUAACUUGCUGCUCAGUUAUUUGGCAGGUUAGGAACGAUACGAUCUUUCGCAACAUCCGAUCAAACCCCAUGUUGUUAAUCUCCAAGAUGAAACUGUUGACGAACUCUUGGGAACAAGUCUUCUCUCGGUUAGCCGAGUCUAGUUUUUUAUUUUUGUUGUCAUGUGACUCAUGUCAUGUCGUGUUGUGUCGUAUCUCAUUGGAGGCCAAGAAUAUUUUACCGAUAUAGUUUAAUUCAUAUAUCCAAUGAUCUAAAAGCAAAAAAAAAAAUUUAUCUGACUAAUUAAUACUAGUCAAUUUAUUGCUAAUAUUUAAUAUUUAAUUAUUUAUUUUUAAAAUAUAAUUUUUCAAAUUAUUUUUUAAAAAAAGAUUAACAUUUACUGUUAGAAUAGAGACAAUGAUAAUAAAAAAAAUUAUUAAAAAAUACCUACUGAAAUCCAACUUAACUGAACAGAAAAAAAAUUAUAUAUAUUAUUCAAUUUUCUGCAAAAGUUUCAAAAUAUAUUUAAUAAUUAAAACUUUUGGGGAGUCUCUCUGUAAUUUUGAUAGUUUAGUGAUAUGCGCGCAAUUUACUUCUCAAAAGAGUAAAAACCGGAUCCGAUAUAAAACGGAUCCGUAACGAUGACCCACUCGUCGUUUGGAUCGGGUUAACUCCAAAUUAGGGUUUUUUUUGCUUCGCAUAUAAAUGCGAACCGAACCCUUCCCUCCGCCGCACUUUCCUCAUCCCCGAGAGUUCGAUUCUAGGGUUUUCUCUACGAUCCAGAGCGAGAAUUUAGUGAAAGAUGGGGCACUCUAAUGUAUGGAACUCCCACCCUAAGAACUAUGGCCCAGGAUCUCGAGUUUGGUAAGUGAAUCCUCGUCCCCAAUCUUCUUUUCUAUCGAUUCAUCGCCUAAUUAAUGUUCUUUUUUUCCCUGGAUCUCGAGUUUGGUAAGUGAAUCCUCGUCCCCAAUCUUCUUUUCUAUCGAUUCAUCGCCUAAUUAAUGUUCUUUUUUCUUUUCUUUUUUUUUUUUUUUCCUUUGGUGAUUCUAUAUGAUUUUAGAGUUAGGAAUCAUUGGAAACGCGGUGAAGUUGCGAACUUGGAGAUUUGUUAGGGCUUUGGGGUUGUUUGUGUGCUAUAUAGUUUAUGCCUUUGAAAUGUUUUAUAUUUUGUCUCUCGUGAUGUUAUAUUUAGAUAGAGCCAUAGGUGAUUAAGAACUUGCUUAAAAAAACCCCUUUUUUGGGAUUUUUUUGGUUCCGAUAUCGGGUUCUCCUGCACCUGAUAAUGUUUCCUUAAAUGAGAUAUCUCUUAUUGCAAAGUUUUUUUUUUAAAAAAAACCUUUUGAAAAAAAUCAUCUGGUUCUUUGUUGGAGUUUUUUUUAAAUAUGGAAUCUAAAGUCAUUAAAAAUCUUGUAAAAGGAAAAAGUGAAUUUGAUCAACUGGGAUUUUAUUUAAUAAGGUUUUAGUAUUGAGAAGCUAGCUGAACUAUACAUUUUUUCAGUUGAAUUGUUUGGUUUAGUCUUUUGAUUGUUAGAGUCUGCUUGGAUGCGUGAAUAUCUUGUUUGGCGUAUAUCUUUUGUGUACUCGAGGGUCGUAUGGUAAUAAAGUUGAUUUGGAGUGCAAAUACCUAUAUCUGCAAUUGCAUAGUAUAUAGUGCACUCUUUGAAACCAAUAGAAAGAGGGAAGGAAAAAAGAGAAAAGAAAAGGAGUAAAAGAAACUGAAUUUCUCUUCAGUUGUUUGGAUGCACAUAAAGAAAGAGAUGAUCUUUCUAUAAUUUGUUUUCUCUCUCACAAAGUUAACAGGAAACAUGCAAAAACAUUUCUUUCCUACUUGUCUUUCUCUCCUUUUCUCUCCUUCAAAGAGGGAGCUAGCGAAGGAGGUGAAUUUUGCAUCAAUGACUAUUUUUAACUUUUUCUCUCGUUGAUCUUGCGCCUUUUUUUUUCCUUUUUUUUUUUUUCUAUUCUGCAUGCAGCCGGGUUUGUGGGAACCCCCACGGAAUGAUUCGGAAGUAUGGGCUUAUGUGUUGCAGGCAGUGCUUCCGUAGCCAUGCCAAGGAUAUUGGCUUUAUUAAGGUAAAUAUCUAAUGAACCUUUUUUAUUCUGCUUAUGUGUGGAGGUUACUUCUUUUUUACUGUGUGGAUUAUACGUGGUGGAUAUGAAUCUUUAGCAAGAUCGAGUGCCCUCCGACAGUUGGUAUGAUGUUUUGAACUUGUUAAAUUGUCUGCUGUUAUAAAUGGCCAGAAACCUUGAUAUUUUUGAACCUGACUAAAUCUGAAACUGAACUGUAUCAUCUGGAGUGGUUUUUUAUCAGCUUUUUUAACUAUAUUGGAUUCAAUUUACGCCAAUGAUGUUUAUGGCUUAGCAACCCUGCAAGUUUGUAUGACUACUUGUAGAUGAAUGAUUUUCAGGCAACAAGAUUCUUUUUCACACUGAUUUAUCCAUUUUUCGUGCCGUAAUAGUUAACAUAUGUGGUGUCUAUUAGAGUAAAAGGAGAGUAGCUAGUGCGAAACCGCAGUAUUGUCCCAGUGCAUCGGGUCUGCCCCCAAUCUGGGUUUUGUGGAAUCUCAGAUGCGCAAAAUUUGCUCUUGAACUUCCAUUUUGUUCCUUAGUUAUAAUUGGACCAAAUGAUGAACUACUAACUGAUCAUGUUUUGUAUCUCAAUGGUCACGUGCACCAUUUCAAAAUUUAAUAUAUGCUGUAGCUAUCUCACUGGUGAUAUUAUAGAACAAAGAUAUAAAUGUUACCCUUGAUAAGUAUUGUGGCCUGGGCCAAUUAAUCCUUUUGGAAAUUUUAGAUCAGUGCAAGUAGUAAUCCUGCUGCUUUCAAUCCUAUAUUACUUUUCCACUAUUUUUCUGUCCUUUGCCUUGAAAUUUCCUUUUUAGCAGAGGUAAUGUGAGCAAGAACUGAACUUUUAUGGCUUUUUCUUUUUUAUAGUACCGCUGAGCAUAGUUCGCGGUGAUUACCAUCAACUGGACAUGUGGUUUAAUGGGAAAUCAAGAGUGGAUUCGUCAUCUUUCGGAAGAUUGUCUACAAUAUUUAGCAAUGCCAUGUUAGUUUUCAUUGACGUUUUAUAUUUAAUUAUGUAAUGGAUCAAGUACCUGUAAGAUGUGGUUGCAGAAUCUAAUUUCUUCGUGGUUUAGUGUCAAUUGUGUCAUGGAUGAAAGUUUCACAUGUGCACCUUUCUUUUUCCUAGUGCUACUGCUGCCCGUUCCUUCAUCCUUGAUUUGUUUCGCCAAUACUUUUUAUUUGAUUGUUGUUUAGGUAGUGCGGUCCAAUCGUAUUUAGAUAUCCUGUGUUGGAUUUCAUCAUAUUAAUCUUAGUAACACCAAUAAGUGAUGUUGUUUUAUACAUCAACAUGCCAUUUUGGUGGGCCGCUAUGAACCACACACUGCCCCCCUACUUAGUUGUUUUAUACAUCAACAUGCCAUUUUGGGCUGCUAUGACACCCCCUGGCGAGUCGUAUUUUGCUUGCUUUGAUAUUAAUCACUUCUACUUCUCAUGGUGGUACUAUAUCAUUAUUUCUUAAAUUCUGUUUCUGCUGUUGAUUCAAGUGUUCACGAAUUUUCGAUGCAGCCUCAGUCUUAGUUGUUAUUGCAAACAGAUUUUCAAAACAAAUGCUUGACGUUAGAUUUCAUUGCUGGAGGUGUUGGAAUUCAAAUCAGUCAGUAAUAUAAGGAAAGCUUCAGAUAUGUGAAACAAAGCUAUUAUUUUGCUUUCUUUUCUUAUCUGAAUUAUACAUGAUUGUUAUACGCGAGAGACAGAUACGGAGAAAAGAAAAGAGGAGUUUGAUUGAAGAAAAAAGAAAAGAGAAAGGGAAAAAAGGGAAAGGGAAAGAAACUGUUGAAAUGAGACCAUUUUUUCUAUGGUUUAUUAUUAAGUAAAACUAGGGAGAUUGGAGGACCAAUAAGCGUAAAUGUUGCUGAUGAAUCAAUUUUUAUAUGUUGCUUUUAAUAAUAGGUUUAGCUUUUUAAACUUAAACCAUGAAGCUUGGUAAAACACUAAUUUUGAAAAGCUGAACUGUUCACUAGAUAGUAGAUAUUCCAGGAUAGAGUCUGAUGCAGAUGAAUCAUUGCUUAUCUUGUAAACCUCUAUUUUUUUUUUUUUUUUUUUUUUUUUGUUCUCUUUUCUCUCCUUUGAUUGCUAAACUAUAGUGUGAUUCCCUUUUCUAUGUAUCUAUCCAUCUCUGUUAUUCUCACAUUUUAAUUAACAAAUCAAAUGUACAAAUCUGUCAAUUUGUCAUUCAUCAACAGGUGAUGUUCUGAUUCUCGAAUCUUCUUUCUUUAGCAACACAUCUUGGAUGUAGAUGCUUAAAAAGAUGCUCAAUUAAACGGAUAAAAUAUCGGCAAAAGUCACAAAUUUGACCCAAAAAGAGAGAGGAACUAGUCAAGUGCGUGUUAUUGCUCGUGUGUGGUGUCACUAAAAAGAAAAGGCUAAUGUGAUUAUAGUUUCCGGAUCGCAGAAACCCCCUCCGACCUGUGAUCGGGAUCGCACAUACCAAUUUGUGUUGGGUUCUCGAUUCAGAAUACAAAAAAAUGGCGAAUUGGAAUCAUAGAGAAGCACCUCAAUUUUCUAAAUCUAAAUCAUAUUUCAGAAUAACGUUCCGACUAUUCCAUUCCAAGCAACAUUAAAUGUGAUUAUCUGGAAGGAGACUUGAAACCUACUAAAGAAACACCUAUCAACAACCUCCCUGAGUUAACCUCAUCAUAACAUGUUUUCUUUUCUCUUAAGCUAAUCUCAACAUUGGUGUUGUCGACUCUUUUCCUUCCUUUUCUUUUUACGAUUCUUUUAUAGUAAAUUGCACUACAAGCCCCUUAAACUUUUGCUUUUCGGUUUUUGAUUUUGAAAUCAUGAGCUUUUAAUAUUUUAGUGCUGAACUUUUUAAAAUUAUUUCUUCUUAGUCCGCACAUUAGAAUAAAAACUAUUUUCUGCACGUAGUUCAUCUGACACGGUGGACACCGGAAUUGUCGAUAAAUGUAUAAGUGUAGAUAAUAAUUUAUCGAGUAAGUAACGGUAAACACACAAAAGGACUAAAACAAAACUCUCAUUAGAAGAGUGAGCUAGGGCCUCAAACUUUUGAGCAUAAACUUAGCAGAAAGAAGUUCAGGGACUUAGCAGUACAAUCCAACCCAUUUUUGGUAGAUUGCUGUCCUGCUGAAUGAAGAAGUCAGAAGCACUUUGAGAUGCCACAGCUUUCCUACCAUCCCUUCUGCACACUCUCAUUUCACUAUCAACUAGGGAAGAGUGGAGUGGGGUUUGUAGCCCAUAUCAUAUCUUAUCUUUGUCCAUUGAUUCCUCUUUCCCAUAAUAGUGAAUGGAGUGUGCAGCAAAAAGGGGGUGCUUUCAUAAACAGAGCCCAGGCAAAAUCAUGCUCCUUAAGCUAACACCCACUUUUGAGUGCUGGGCCAUGUAAGGUACUUAGCUAGCAAACCUUCUCAGUGGGACAUGACAUAAUUAGGAUUGAAUAGUAAGUCUCAAGUGAGAAAUUUUCUUUUUCUUUUUAAAGGAUGCAUUUGGAUUCACAAAUCUCUCGAUCCAACGUAACUCAAGUACAGUGAUGUUUGAGUUUUUCUGAAGUGUGAUUAUUUUUUUACUGUUUGGUUUGAUGUGACUUGCACAACCUGAAAGUUGAAUUCAAUCACUUUUUCUGUUUGUUUUGCUGUAACUUGAUACUGGUGAAAUUAGUUUUUUGAGUUUUAUUAUUUAUUUUGAUAUAAGUAAGUGGAUCCUAUUACCUCCUAAGUAUAAUGGUAAACUUAUCCAUAUAAAAUCAAACCUAUUAAAUAAUUAAAUUUCUCAUUAUUGUUUAAAAGUAAUCUUAAAUCCAUUGCAAAGAAAAGUAACUCUAACCCAUUCUAAAGAAAGUAGAGUUUAAGUUUUAAUAUUUAAUAAUUUUUUUAGAGAAAGAUGAGUAUGGUGGAACUUGAGUUCGAUACUUUAGAGGGAGAACUUAAGAGUAGAUAAAGUAGAGGUUGUAGCUUGCGUUAUAUUAUAUUUUUCAACUUACAAUAAAACAAAUAUUAGAAAUGAUGGAACUUGAAUUGCACCCCUUCACUUACACCAAAACAAACAGCUCCUUACCGCUUGGAUUGGGGAUAAGGGGUGGAAUAACCCCUUAUUCCCUCUUUAUACCCAAAUGCUAAUUUUUUAUCCGAAAAUAAUAGUCUCGGGUACCUGAAAUAAACUGGUAUAACUAUUCUCACCAACACCUUCAUUUUCUAUAUAUAACUACUCACUAUUUUUCUUAUUCCAUAUUAUCUAUCCAAACGUUAUUUUUCUUAUUUCCGGAAACAAUCCCAAUUUUCAUCCAAACGCUAUUUUUCUUAUCCCCAUAUUUAUACCUAUCCCUGUAAUAGCUACUUCUUGCAGGAAGAGAGGACCAGCCAUAGAAAAAAUUAGAAGCCAAUACGAUUUAAUGAUUUUCUACUUUCCUGGUUGAUCUUCUUGUUUCUUACAGAUUAAAAGAGGAAAGCAUAAUUUCUAUGACACUUAACAAAAUAUAGUGGGAGAAUAAAUAAAAAAUUCCUAGGUAUAUAUGAUCAAAAUGACAAGUUGGAUUUUCUUUUUCACAUGAAAAAAAAAAGAAAAAAAAAAACCUGCAGCUAUUAUUUGUUGUCCAUAAUUGCUUGCAUGCCUGCCGUGUUCUGAGAAAACUUGUUGUCCAUUAAUUCUCAGAAGCCAUUCAGUGGAAUUAAUUAUAUUUUUUUGUCUGUUGCAGGAAUAUGUUCAAAGUUUCCAUAAAAAAUAUGACCAAAGUGCUUAGUUUCUAUGCAUGUAACUAAAAUACAAAUGUUGAUGCAAUCCAAAUACUAUGAUGAGACCUAGAGAUCUUAAUCUUUCCUUUGGAUUCAUUCAAUUCUGUGAGCUCAACUUCAAUAGAAGUUUUUUGGAUGAUAACUAUAAUGAGUUCUUUAAUUAUAAUUAUAUCCCUAAAAUGCUUGUGAGUGAGGAUUCCAAUGGCAUGCUUUAAAUGCAUGCAUGCUUUGGAUUUUACUGAUUAAUGCUAUACCCAUUUCCAUUGUUUGUAUCACUUUUGUAAUUGUUAUUAGAGAAUUAACAAAAAAAAUGUCACAUCAGUGUAUGUGAAAUGUUAUUAAAAAGAUUGCAUAUGAGCAAAGCAUUUUUCUAUACGUCUAAAUCUGACGCGAGAAAUAAAUGAUAUACUCGUAUUCUUGUAUAGUAUUCUCCUCUAGAUUUCGAAGAAUAGUUUGCUUUUGAGCGCUAGAUUUACUCUACUCAGAAGCUCUAGAUUCAUCAUUUGCGACACUGAACUUUACGAAACUAGGCCAAACAAGCACUUAAUAAGUCGAACGCACACACAUGCGUGACGUUUCGCUUUGCACCAGUAAAGGAAAGGUUCGAAAGAAUAAAAGUAGAUGCGUUGUGCCUAUCUAUAAGAGGUUUCGACUUCGACCCCACAUACAAAAGAAAAAAAGAAAAAUGUAGAAAAGAGAGGAAGAGGAGCAGAACCUCCUUGGAAGCAAAGGGUAAGAGCUUAGCGUGCAAAUAAAAACAGUUUUUUUUCACGCUAAAGCUGAUUAUUUUUUGCACAUUUUUUAUUUUUGCUGAUCGCAGUUAUUCGCGAAUGAAGCAUUAAAUGCAGAUGAUUACGCGCGAAGAACAAGUGUUAAUCGUUAGCUUCGUCGAAAGCUAAGGUACUCGACUAUAAAACUGUAUCUUUUCAUUGUUAAUGCCUAUUCUUAAGUUCAUGCUCUUAUUACUCAUUUUCACUUUGUUUUCUAAACAUGCAACUUAAUUACAUUCUAGUUGAUUAAAUUUGUGAGAUGAAUUAAUGCGCAGUAAUUGAAUAUUUUGUUAUCCAAAUUAAGCGAACUAUUCGUUUACCAAUGUUUUUUUUUUCGAUUUUUUCGCUUUCUAUUCUACAUAAACAAGCAAGAUAUAUAUUCUACUGUUUUGCGGUGCUUUAAUUAGAGAGAUAAUCCAAAAAAUUAACUAAUAAGCAGGAAUUAAUAAGUUUUGUUUAUGCUCCAUCAUCCAUGGUAGUUAUAAUAAUAAGUUUUGAUUUUGAUAAAAAUUUCUUUUCAAAAGUGAUUAGGAAACAAAUAGGUUACAGUUAAUUUAAUUUGGACCAAAUGGAAUAAAGCUUAAUAAUUGCUUCGCACUUUAUUAAUUCAAUUUAUCUUAUACUGUUAAUUAUCUAGGCCAUUAGUUGUAAAAUGUAACAAUAUGUUUCCUUUUUUUUUUUUUUUUUUGAAGUUUUCCCAAAUUUUAAAGCAUAAUGUUUAAAUUGAUACGUAAUCAUUAUAAAAUACCAAGUAAUGAGAAAUUUGUAGUUAAAUAUGUAUAUAUUUAUAUUCUAUUUCAUUAUUAUCAUAUUUUGUGGGGCUAUUGAAUUAGAUCAAAUUGGCUUUUCAGAGAGUACAUAAAACUAGUAGCUAGGUAUUGCCUCCUUGUUACGUUUACUGUCCCUAUCCAACCAAAUUUAUAUUCGCAAACGCUAACUCGGUCCACGAAUCAAUUCCCAUUUCUUGGAUUUCAUUUUUGGGCUAAUCAAAUUCAAAUCUACUUAAACUAUGCUUCAUCUGUUGAAAAUAAAUAUUUGAAAAAUCGAUAGUUUUUUUUUUUUUUGCUACCUGUUUUGUUUUGUUUUUUUUUAAAAUAAACUUAGUUAGAAAUGUAAAUCAAAUAGACUUCGGCUUUUUUGGAAUUGCGGGGAGAUUGCGUUACGUGCAGUGAGGAAGUGCGAUGAAAAAAUAUUCUAUUUGUUUCCGUACGUAUGUUUCGCAUAUCGCGAUUAAUCGGUAUUAACUAUCAAGUCCUUUGUUAUAUGCACUAAAAAACGGUUGAUUUUUUGAGAAUAAUAAUUAUUUUACAUAAUUUAAUAAGAAUCACAACAAGAUAUACUGAGUUCGUAUCUUAAUUACCAUACUUUUUAGUCUUAUUUAACUAUCCAGCUCUUUUAGCUGCCGCUGAACGCUGAAACCCUAAUUUGAUCCAUGUCGAACUUGAUAAAAAUCGAGUCGGAUUAGCCUGAUCGAGUUUCGUAUUAGAUUUAAUCCACCCUUAAUUACAUUCUGUCGAACAAGCCACCUAAUUUAUGAAUUGAUUACUGGACCUGACUUUAAGUCGACUCAUCGACAUCAAUCGAGCCAAUCGGAUCAAUUUGGGGUCGAAUUAAGUGGAUUAGGCUCGAAUUUGUUCCACUUCAGAGUUUGCGCCUAUUGCAUGUUAGUUUGCUUGUGUUCGGGUCGUUUAAUUAAUUCAACCCAGAAUUGUUCCACUUCAGUUCUAAACGAUCCGAACACGGGCUAGAUACGAGAUUAAGCUUGAAAAUAAACUUGAGCUGCUCAUGAGUGGCUCCUACUAGUUCGUCGUAGGAAAGAGGUUUCACGACAUUUAUUUAUAUGAUCAUACUUCUUAAUCUCAUGAGAAUAUUUUUGUACUGAAUAAGUUCUUAAUAGAAAUCUUAUUCUGACGUAUUGUGCUAAAUGAACCAAUCGAUUAAAACUAAACAAAUCCUAUAGUUUCAUUAGAGAACGUCCCACUCUUGCAGCAGUCGGACUUGCAUUCUGUGCGAUACGGUGUGCAGAAAAGUUUCGUGCAUACCUAUCCAUCAGUACUGAGAUGCAUCUAAGCUGGCAAUAUCGGAUAGCUCGAAUAUAUUCUGCCGCUGACUAUAAUAAAGUUAUUAAAUUAGGUUGAUUGUUUCUGCACAGAUCCAAAAAUAUUUAAAAAGAAAAAUUGGGUUUUAGCUAGCUAGGUGGUCCUGUUAAUUCGGCCUAGCCGUGUAAUGCAUGCAUGUGCAAUUGAUCUAAUGGGUCCCCUUAGAAUGGAGUUGCUCUCUACAGGGCUUGGUGCUUAGGGCCCCUUCGGUAUCGAGAUCCAUCUACUGUUAAUAGAUAAAAUUAAUUAAGUUGGGACGAAGCAGAUAGAGAAAUGCUUUUGCGUUUUUUUAUAGAAACUACAGAAAAUAUAUUAUAAUCGACUUACUAUUAUAUACGAAAAUAAAUAUGAUAUUUUUUUUUAUAACGCAAUUUUUCUACAGUCCUAAACAGAGCCUUAAGCUCUUGUUACGUUAGUAAACUUUUCCUUUUCAUAGGAUUUGUUUAUAUGCAAGAGAAUUGUGGUCCUAAAUUAAUUAGGUUUUAAAUAGGUGGUUCAAUUUGAUUAAUGACGUAUUAACCGCCGCAUAUAUGUGUCGUGCCGCCUUUUCUUUUCCUAAUUUGGAAAUGGGGUUUGAUGCAAUUUUAGGAUACUUAAAAAAAUAUUAAGCACUUCAAUAUUUUCCUUUUUGACACUAUAAAAUGGUUGUAUACAUGACCUGAAUGUUAGAAAUAUACUGUACUGAAAAUUCGAUCGUGAUUAAAAUCUAAUUAAUUUUGUGAUAAAGAUAAAGACGAAUGUAUAGAUAAACGCAAUUAUCCAAAUAAAAACGUGACCUUAACGGGAAGCAAAUUAGAUUGUAUUGGAAUAAAAUGAAAUGACGAAUCAUCCAAAGAUUUUUAUUUUGUUAUUAGUAUGAAAACUGGAAUGGACAGUUACGAUUUUGAGAGAGGGUUUUGGUUGAGAGAGGAGAGUGAUGAAGAGAGAGAAGAGAGAGGCGUUUGUGAGAUAGGAUUUUGAGUUGUUUACUUUAGAAUGAGCCCGUCGAAGAUUCAAAGCAAGAUUGGAUCAUCCCAUUCCAAUCCCAUUCCAGGGUGAAAUAAGAAUUAGAAUUUGAUUCCUUUAAAACAAAUAACAACUAUUAUAAUUAAUGAAUCCAAGAACUCAUGGCUCAGUUUGAACCUCUGAACUUUAGGAUAGUCCUAUGGAUAACAACCAACUGCAUUGAGUAAGGAUGAGAGAGAGAGAGAUAGUGGUUUGAUAGUUAAGUUCCUUCUAUUUAUGAAAAGUAAGGAUUUUUAUUAUGGUAGCGCAAACAAGUGUUUAGGCAUCCAAUGUUACUUUUUUUUUGAGAAAAAUAGCAUAUUACAGCUUCAUUUAAUUAGAAAAUAAACUGAACUAUAGAUUAAGGCAACCUGGGCCUCGAAAAAAAAGGAAAAAGAAAAAAGGACAAAGGAAAAGAAGAUUACAUGCAAAAACGUUCCCAUGAAUCAAACCAAGAAUAAUUAAGAUAAAUCUGAUUAAAGUAGAAGAAGACAUUUCUCACUAGUUUACUGUUUUGUUGUUGUUGCUGUUGUUGUUGUUGUUGUUGUUAACUUGUUAUGCAUCAUCUUCUUUAAUGCUUAAUGUGCCUACUCUACCUUUUCGACUUGUCAUUUAUCAUCUAACUAAUUACUUGCACUUAAUUUUAAGUCCAAUUGAAACAGGAAUUUGGUUGGUCUUUCUAAAUUUCUUACUUACUAUUAAUUGGGGCCUUUUUAAAGGAUCUCUUGGUAUCCUAUUAAGUUAAUUUUCUUUAGAUAUUUGGAACCAAUUUGUGUUAAAAAUAGAUGAAAUGAAGCAUGCGUAGAACCUAAGAAAAGAACACAAUAAAUCAAAGGGACAAAGAUAUAUAUCUAGGUAGGUAUAUAUCCCUAGUAGAAUGUUCCCUUGUACGUUCCCUUCUUAUUAAGGUUACAGCAUGAAAGUGCAUUCCCAACUAAUUAUAUAAUAAAUCAUUAUUGUUCAUGUAAUGCUUCUUCUAGUCUAGGAUAUUAAUUACUACCUAUAGUACGUGUGUGUGGCUCUUAGCUAGGGAGAAAUUAUUACUAGAUGUGUGCAACUACAUUAUCAUGAAUCACACCAACUAAAUUAAAUGCAAUAUAUAUACCUCUCAAAUUGUACGCAUACGUAGAAUUAGAAAGUUUUUUAUUUAUUGACUAGAUCAAUGUGGAACCUGUGUUCAGUCUAGUUUAUGCAUAUCAAUCUCGUAAAUCAUAUGGAUGUUAUGAUUUUAUGUGCACAUAACUGUGCGUGGACAUGGCAAAAUUUUUUAGGAUCUAUAUAUUUUUCUCUCUAUUUUUUUGCUUGAUCUAUGCAACGAUCAAAAAAACUUAUUUUUCUAGUCUAAUUCUAUGAAAUAACUGAUUAUUUUGAAAGUUUAAACUAUUGAAGAAUAAUACUUCUAAUAUUUUAUACUUAAUAUUAAUUCUCCUUCACAUCAGGGUUAAUCGCGAUUUGAGAUUUUCUUUGUAAUAGGCCCAAGAAGCAGAUUUAAAAAAUGAGUGAAAGUAUACAGGAUUAAAGAGUUCUACAAUAUUCAAAUUUAAAAUUUUUUUAUUCUGAUAUGAGGUGAAAAAAUGUUAAAUUAUGCGAAACAAUUGUUGCUUUCCAAAAGUUUAAACUAUUGGAGACGUUUUUAAUGUCUAUAUUCAACACUUACAUCUACGCUUAAAACUUCUUGAUGCUUUAAGAGGUAGACUUGAAUUAAAUGGAAAUACCAUAUCAAAUUAUAGGAUCAAGAAGUGGCUUGAACUAAAAUGGGAAUGUCAUGUCAAAUUAUAUGGUAUAAUUAUUGUUCUUUAAAAGCUUAAACUAGUAGAGAACAGUAUUUUUAAUGUUAUAUUUAACACUUUUAUUCUUGUCGUGACUCAAGACAUUUUAAUAAACUCAAGACAUGAACUUAAAUUAAACGGGAGGAAAAUAAAUAAUGCUAAGAACUUGGUAAGAUUCGAAGUGUUUUUAAUAUUUAUAUUUAACUCUUUCACUCGUGGCCGGACUUGAGACAUUUUGAUAGGCCUAUGACAUGAACUUUAAUUAAAUUGAAGAAAAUUAAAUAAUGUUAAGAACCUAGCAAGAUUUGAAGUGUUUUUAAUAUUUAUAUUUAACAUUCUCCCUCACAUCUGAACUCGAAAUAUUUUAAUAAACCCAAGACAAUGACUUGAAUUAAAUGAGAGGAAAAUAAAUAGAGGACUUGAACUAAUGAGAGGAAAAUAAAUAAUGCUAAGAACCUUGCAAGAUUCUAACUUAUGACGUUUAGCUCUGAUAAUAUGUUAAAUUAUAUAAAAGACCAUUUUUCUCCGAAAGCUUAUACUGCCAAAAAAUGAUAUUUUUAAUAUCUAUAUUUAUGCACAACAAUUGUUAUUUUUCAAAAUAUUAAGCUAUUAGAGAAUAAUAUUUUAAUAUUUAUAUCUAACACUCUUCCUAAAUGUUGACUUGAAUUAAAUGAAAAAAAAAAUUAUGUUAGGGGCUUGGCGGGACGCAAAGUCAAAAUCUCCUCUGAAAGAAUAAGUUGUCAGAGAACAUUAUUUUUAAUAAUUAUAUUUAACAAAAGAUCUAUUACUUUAAAAUCUUAAGUUACUAGAGAAUGAUAUUUUUAAUAUUUAAUAUCCAACAAGUCAGUUUUACCAUGCCUUAAAAAAAUGAUGAUGAUUUUCCUCCUGAAGCCAAUUGUGUAUGUUAAUCCUAGUCUCAAUCAACAAACUCCAACUAUAUAUAUAUAAUGCAUCACUUUAACCUACCCCUUAGUUAAAAUGCCACUAUCACAAUUAAUUGAGCUCCUAUAUUAAUGAUCAUUCUUAUUUAUGAAAUGAUUUUGAUGAAAAUCUACUUAACUUCCUGAAGAAAUUUCAAGCAACAUUAAGUGGGUGAAUUAAGAUGGUAAUUAAGCAACCUAUAUUGAAAUUGAAAUGCAGUUAAUCUCCUCUCUCUUUAUUCUCUUUUGCUAGCUUAGAAAGGAAGCAACAAAACUACUUGAAAAUAUUUAAUUAGGUGGCUUAAUUUGUGUGAUUAAGAUUUGUGAACAAAAACUCUAUUUGCAGAUCACUUGAGCAUGCAGAGUACUGAGGUAUCAACCACAAAGAGAGGAAAUUAUGGGAAAUAAAUUAAAUGCAAAUACUUAUUAACUUUAAUGCUCACAUAAAUUAGUUUCUUCAAUAAGAGAAAUGUUAUCUAUGAUUGAAUCCUUAACCUGGACCAUUAAUUAAUUUCAUGCACGUACUAUCUCUCACUUAAAUUUCUCUACCAGACACUUUGACUUAAAUGCUUCAUAUGUACAUGAGAAAAUGACCAAAGAAAUGGAGCAAAUUUGCAUGAUAGUAACAAAAAAUAAAAAGAAGAAUAAAAUGGUGCAAAAUUAAUUGUUCUUCACAAGAAUUGAAAUAAAACAACAAAAAUAUGUAUGCUAUAAAAUAGAAGAUAUACAUAAAUAGACGAAAAUGUAUGAACAAAUUCAAAUAUUGAACUUGAAACCUCUCAAAGUGGAAAACGCUUAUGACCGUCUCUGAUACCAUACUAUCAAAAAAUCAAUAUAGUAAACAACAAUUCAGGAUUAAUUAGUUUGUAGUUUCCAAAAAGAAAAAUGAAAAAGGAUAUGACAAACAAAAUAGAAAAACAAUUUAAUUCAAGGAUCCAACUCUUACUGUUAUAUAUAGAAAUUAAAAAGCUAUUGAAGAUAUUUAAUUUUUUUGGAAAAAAACUGUUAAUGCCUCAACUUAAUGGAUUUGUAACUAUCCAAGACUAUAUAUAGGGCAAUAGAAAAAUUAAAUUGGCCCACUUAAGUGCAUUUUCACUUAGAUCUCUUGUCCUAAAUUCGAUUAAUUAUAUAAUAACUUGAACUUAAUUAACUAAGCAAUGGAUUAAUAAAUUAAACUCUUCAAUAUCGUGUUUUCUAAGGAUUGGAGUGUAGAUCACCUUCUAGCAAAGCUUACCCCCAUCAACUUAACUCAAGGUGGUGGCAUAAUUGCAUAAAUGGACCACGGUUAUACGUGACAUUAUUAAUAGAAAGAGACAACAGUGAUAUGUGAAUUAUUAACGGAAAUAAUUAAUUUUGAUGUUAAUAUAUGAAUUUCUUGAAUCCAGUCGCUGUUUAUUUAACAAAUUUCAUGUAUUAAUGUCAAUGAGUCACUCUUAUUGCUUAGAGAGGUCAAAAUCUUGUAUUGUAGCGGUAGGUCAGGUUAGGUCAAAUUGUGUUUAAAAUAAUAUUGAGUUACGAUCGAGAUCAGUAGGUGUUAUUCUUGUACACUUUUAAUGAAUUAAUUAUAUAAUUCUAAUAGCUCGACGUUUUAGAAUUAACCCUAUAAAUAAUAUCAUUUUUGUUAUAAAAUUGUUUAUUUUAUUUUUUCUUUUUAAACAAGAAGUUGGUUCGGUAUCUCUAGUACAAAAAUAAGGCAUUUAUCAGUAAACUGAUAAUAUAUUAUACUAUUUGACCAUAAUCUAAGAAUAGGAGUAAAACUGAUUUCACCAUAAUCUAAGAAUAGGAGUAAGAUUAGCUUUGGUUCUUUAUCUAAGACUUAAUUUGGCAGUCCCUCCACGUUGUUUUCUCCAUGUCCUUUUAUUAAUUAAUUAAUUAAUAUUAUAUUACUGUUUCCUCAAAUUUGUAUAUUAAAUUUUUUCUAAAAAUCAUUUUCUCCUCAACUUUGUACUGUUUCUCUCUCUCUCUCGCUCUCUCUUCCCUCUCCAGCAACGGUAUUAUGAGUAGCCGUCUCCCUAGACCGGUUGUACGCACGUCAUCAUCCGGUUUUUAUGCUGCGCCGGACGACGUGUCGCGGAUUGAUUAGUCGGGUCUACUGGACCAGGUACGAGAAUUACAUUGACCGGCCUCUAACAUGGCCUAUUCCUUCGCCAUCACCCUUCUCUUUGUUAACACAUAAAUCCCAAAAUAUAGUAAUAAGUGUUUGUAGACCAAAUCCCAAUUCCGAAUCUCUCCUCCUGUGUAUGUAAAGUAAAACACACUCGCUAGUCGCUCACUCACGCGCCCCAAAAACCAAUAUCGUAUUUUAGCAAAUUAACUCGUCUAGAUACUACAAAAAUAUCCCACUAAUUCAACCCAAAAAUAAGGGAACAACACUCUCUAAACAUAAACAUAUUAUACACUCUCUCUAUCUCCUCACUCCUCAAGUUUCUCUACUUCCUCAAACAACAGCAGUAGUAGAAGAAGCGACCCUAAGCGAAGGGAGAAAGAGGAAGCGCUUCCGGUGAGAUUACCGCCCCCAUCUUUUGAAACGUAUUUGGGAACGAGAAGACGAUAAUAUAGCUCGAGCUCGAGAUCGAGAUCUCGCCACCGACAAUGGUGGCCGCCGCCGCCGGGGUGAAUCCGCAGCGCCCACCGCUGAUCCCGUCGGAGAAGGACAAUGCCGGCGCCGCCGCGCUCCCAAACGCGCGGCGCCGCAGCGCUAAGGAGGUCACCUCCCGCUACCUCUCCUCCUCCUCCUCCUCGUCCUCUUUGACCUCCACCUCCACCUCCACCUCGACCUCGUACUCUUCUUCUUCUUCUUCGACCUUUACCACCACCUCGACCUCGCGGCGCUUCCCCUCCCCGCUCGCCGCCGCGCGGCCCUCGACCCCCUCGCCCGGAGCCUCGACUGCUCCCUCGACCGGAAAGACUCCAUCUUGGCCACCGUCCACCUGCUGCAGCGCUCCAUGGUGCUCGACGACCCCACCCGGCGCGCCUCCUUCGACGCCGCCGAGCUCUCCGCUUCCUCCGAUACGGAGAGCGUCUCCUCCGGGAGCAAUUCGGACCUCGCCACACCCGCUCGAUCGAAAGCCCCGCCCCGGGGGAUCAUCGUCCCCGCGCGGUUCUGGCAGGAGACGAACAGCCGCCUCCGCCGCUUGCCCGAGCCCGGAACGCCUCUGCCCACGAAACCAGGGCUUGCUUCGCCGCCCGGUAACCGCAUGCCUUCUCCGGCGAGAGGGAUGACCAGCCCUUUGAGGGCGCGGGGCGGCUCCGUUCCAGUUAUUCAGCUGGCGAAUGCGCCUUCUAUAAUAAGCUUCGCGGUGGAAGUGAGGAGGGCGAAGAGAGGGGAGAACCGGAUAGAGGAGGCGCACGCGUUGCGGCUACUGGAUAAUCGGCAUUUGCAGUGGCGGUACGCGAACGCGAGGGCCGAUGCCGUGCUUCUGGCGCAGAGAUUGGCCACAGAGGUAACUGAUUGCUAAUAAUGCUAUUGCUGUUGGUGUAUUUCAAAUUCAGAUGUUCACAGAAAUUGCUUAGUUCAACAUAUAAUUUGACUUAUUUCGUUUGCACCUUUGAUUUGUAGAGGAAACAUCAUACUUGCUUCCCAUUUCGUAAUUCUUUUACUCGGGUUUAUAAAACCAUAAUUUGUUAGUGCAUCGCCUGAUCUUCGGUAUGUCUCUUGAUUCGAUGAUCAUGCAAAUUUGGAAUUGUAGCAACUUGUUAUAUUUGGCUUUGUCGUAAUUCGUUAUCUUUCAUAUUGCUUAAUGAAACUUAGAAGGUAUCCUGCAAUAAGAUAACGAUUGCUAACUUGCUUAAUAAUUGCAUGCUGCAUCUGGAUAUCCUGUGUCAUUUUCUUGUUAGCGGCUACUUAAAUCUGUAACGGCAGCGACCAUCAUAUGCUCAUUAAUUUCUUCGUUUAGAAGUGCCAUUAUGAUUAAAUUUGGGUUCAACUAGGAGUGGCAUGCAAGUCUUAAGCUCUGGCCACCUUCAAUGUUGACGAAGUAAUCAAACAAUUUUGUGAAGUAGGAAACCAAAAAAUUGUCAAAACAGAGAACCGUGCAUGCAAAGCUUACAGUUGCUAAAACAAGUAUCACAACACUGCUCCAAUCUUGCCAGGGUUCUUCUGGGUCUCUCUCUCUCUCUCUCUCUCUCUCUCUCUCUCUCUCUCUCUCUCUCGUUCGCUUGCGUGCGCAUGCGUAUUGGGCUUGUGGGAGGAUCUUAUUGUCAUUUUCUGUAUCAAGAUUUUUUGGUCAUUUUUAUCUGAGAUGUGUAGCACUAAGUGCUCUAACCUGCAUUUGUUGAUUAGUCUAUUAACACUGGUCACUUUGAAGAUAGCUUGUGCUUGUACACAAUUUUAGGGUUGUUUGAAAACCCAGGUGCUAAUAUUCUUUCAUACACGCCAUAUAUUUCUAAGAUUUAUCUUUGAGCACUCUGGUGGAUGGCUCUUUGUUUAGCUAUUAUUUUUGGUAGUGAUUUGCAUCCACACUUGAGAAAAUUGAUUGUUUUUCUUUAUUUUGUCUCAGAAAUAUGCUUAUGAUCUUAUCUACUGAUACUUGUUUUAUUGUUGUCAGAAAAAUUUGUAUAAUGCGCGGAUAAGUAUCUCAGAAUUGCGUAACUCUAUCACUGCCAAGCGUAUUAAGCUCCAACAUCUGAGACAAUGUAUUAAACUAAGUACAGUUCUCAAAGGACAAGUAAGUUCUCUCGUCGUUUCUUUAUUUACCAGUUAUAUCUACAGUUACUCCAUUUCACCAUUUCUUAGUAAUUUUGCUCUGGAGUACAACAAUGAUAUUGGACAAAUAGCUAAAUAUGUAUAAGGUUUCAGAAUUCCAGUAAAUGCUUUCUUAUUUACCUAGAUAGCAAAACACAUUAAGAAAAUAAUUUGCGAAGGCCUAAGUUAUAGUGAUAAAUACAAACUGUUCAGGGCUAGAAAGAUUAAGGAUGAAUUGGGGAACCAGUCAUAUCUACUAUUGUAGAUACUCUGAGCUACAUACAGACUGUCAUGAUAAUGCUCAUUUAUCGCUUAAAAAAGAUAAGAUAAGAUCAAGCCCUGCAGUGCCGUGAUUCAUACCCACGCUACAAUGGCAUGUUGGUUGUGCUACUGACAUGCUACCCUUGUGUCAGACAUGCCCUGGCAUGGGAUAUUUGUUCAGAACAUUUAAGCUAAAAGCUCCAUGUCACAGAAUAUGAUGGAUGUUCAAUUAUAAUUCUAAGAGUUUCAAAAGUAUUAAUUGAUAGAAUUUCUCACUACUCCUGGGUGAAGUUCCUUGAAAUUUGAUUGAAUUGAGAAUUGAAAGUAGGGAAAAGUAAUGUUUUCCAAUACUGGGAAAUGUAGGUUGAAAUUUGGAAAAUAUUUCAUGGCAAAAAUAAAUCUGAUUUCAUUAAAUUAUCUUAUGCAAUUAUAAGAAGCAAGCUUACGCACAGUGGCUUGUUCAAAAAGAUUCACAUGAUUUUUUUUCAAUUUUAUCAAAAGAUCUACAUAGAAGGGACUAACAGUUAGCAAAUGGCCUUAUUAAAAUAUUAUCUGAAUAAACUGCUGAAGUUAAGAAACAUUGCUCCUAAGACAUGAAACAAAAGGAGUGCAGAUUGCUUUUCUACGACCUCAUUGCCUCCCUUGUUUCUUGAAGAUGUUUCUUGCAACUUCUUUGAGGUUGGUUAUUGGUAAAUCUGCUCACUUAAUGUGAAAAUUAAAUGUUUCCAUGUGAUUAUUUUACAGAUAAAUUAUCUGGAAGAGUGGUCUCUUCUCGAUAGAGAUCAUUCAAGUUCGUUAUCAGGAGCUAUUGAAGCAUUAAAGGCUAGCACGCUUCGUCUUCCAGUUGUAGGUGGUGCAAAGGUUUGUUCCGAUCUGAUAUUGGUUAGUGGUUUGAACUUACAUAUUUCUGAAGACUAAUAGCCGCAUUCUCUUUGACAGGCAGAUGUCCAAGAUAUGAAAGAAUCUGUCGGGUCAGUAGUUGAUGUAAUGCACACAAUGGGAUCAUCUAUAUACUCUCUACUGUCAAAGGUAGAUCCUUUAUUAUAUUCUCUUACAACAUCUUAUGUAUUAAAAAACUCUCUCUCUCUCUCUCUCAUGUUAGAUUUGAAUUCUUCAGGUAGAAGGAACAAGUUCCUUGGCGUCCGAACUUGCUAAAGUGGCGGCACAAGAAUUAACUCUGUUGGACCAAUUAAGAGAUGUCUUGUCCACUGUGGCAGUCAUGCACGUAAGGCAAUGUAGCCUUCAGGGGCAUUUAUUGCAACUAAAAUAGCGUCGGAGCUAGGCACAGUUGUAAAGCAAAUUCUCUCACCAACUCUGUGAUUACUAACAUCAAAGCGGCCUCUUUGUUUCCUAACUGAAGAUUGCGACAAAAGGUAAUAAAUCAUGGCAGUUUGUUUGCUGCAUCUUGAGAGUACUAGUUCUCCCUGUUUGUUUGCUGCAUCCUUGAGAGUUCUAAUUCUCCCUGUUGAUUUUCACCAAAUGCAGCUAAUUCAUGUAUUUUUGUCUACAUAACAUUAUGAGUGGCUCUUUUUCCUGCAGUGAUUUCAGGAGAUGUAUACAAAUUACUUGUGCUUAUAAAAGAAAAGCUUAUGCAUAUAUAUGUUUAAAUUUAGUGUUUUUUAGUUAAUUUCUUUUUAGAAGAAGAAAAGGUCAUAUAACUCUUUUAUCUCUACUGAAGCACUUCUUGUCUCAUCAAAUGGUUUUAGGAAAAAGGAAAUGAGUAGAGUUCAACCUACACCGAAGUAGGUAAUGAACAACAGGAUACAGCAGUAUCUCUUUACUGUAAGUAUGAUUUAAUUGUAAGUAUGAUUACCUAUAUAACACAGCAACUGGUAGUCGCCACUAGCGUCAAAAAACAGCUAUGACAACUUUGUAGUCUCUGUGUAAUCUUUUUUUUGUUUUUGAGAUCAUUGUUAUUUGCCUUCAUCUUUUGGCUUAUUCCUUACUUCCCCUUCUCCCUUUGCAUUAUUUAAUCUUUGAUGUUCAUGUGAUCUUCUAGGUACUGUUUUAGUGGCACAAAAAAACAUUUAUUAAUUGCAUGUAUAAAUUUUGCUUCAUUAAGAAAUUAUACGAAAUUAUAUUGUAGCUUUUUCUGAGUUUUCUCAGGAUUCUAACUAUUGACAAUUGUUAACUGCAGCUGACAUGAUUUUUUUUUUUUUUUUUUUNCAGAAAAAUUUGGAUCCAAUAUAAAUUGCCAAACACAACUAAGUUAAUGGCAGUAUAUAAUGGAACAAGCGCGAAUCAGUCACUGAUUUGAUAGAGAACUAUAAACCUAUUUUUCUGCCUCAUUGUUUCUUUUAGUAAAGGUAUUAUUUUAAAGGCAACUAAAUAGACUCCUUUGAAGGAACUUUAUUUGUCGUAUUUUCUCUAUCAAAUCAGUGACUGAUUCGCGCUUGUUCCAUUAUAUACUGCCAUUAACUUAGUUGUGUUUGGCAAUUUAUAUUGGAUCCAAAUUUUUCUGGGUGUGAAUUACCUGCUACUGCUGGGUUUUUUCUUAUUAUUUAUUUUUUGCAAAUCAGUCCCUCAAUGAUGCUAUCACUCAUGGGCUCAAUAUUGUUGUAGGAUUGUUUUGCUACCCUUAAUCAGGCUCAAACCCAAGUGAAUCCGAACACAACAUUGGCCCGAAUGAAAAUCGCAGAGACCCGGCCCGUUAUAUAGUGAAAACUUGGAUCUUGGUAAGCCCGAUAGGACUAUCUUUCAUUUUCCCCUUGCCUGCAAUAUAACAGGAGAAAAGUUAAAGGUGCCAAAUUAAUGGCUUUUGUUUAGUUUUAGUAUUAGUAAUUCAUCGGGCCUGAACUGUAUGUAGAUACUAGUCGAUUUUUUUGGACGUUGCAUUUGGUAUCAGAGUCGUAGAUAAUAACGGGGUCGGAGAUAUUUGAUUGCGGGUCCCGUGUUUCAGGGCUUUUUUCUUUUCCAAUUUAAAUCUUCCAAAAAGAAAAAUUUGGUAUCUAGUCUUGUCAAAAUUUUAUUAUGAUAAAUAACUUUCUUUCUUGAUGCAUAAGUGUCAUGACAUAACAGAUUAUGAAAAUUUACAAAGACGGUGAACUAUUUACUAUUUGCAUGCGGUGGUGUCACAUUGCAUUAAAGCCCUAUUUGUAGAUUUGAGAUAUUUGAUAUUUGUGCGUACGUAUUCAACAAUUGCGUUCUGGAUUGAGAAGAGAAUGUAUACUUACGUUGCGUUCUGGAUUGAGAAGAGAAUGUGUUACGUUAUCAUAAAAGAUAUCACGUUGCGUAGAUCAUAAUGAUUUCGUUAAAAUAGUAUUUUGCCAUCCUAUUGAGGAAUAAAUAAGGUUAACUCUCAAUAUUUUUUACUUUAUAUAUGUUCGGUUCUAACUCACGAGCAUUAAUAACUCGCAGGCCUAACCCAAUGGCUCAAAAUGUUCAAGUCCGAUUAUUAAUAUUAGUGUGUUCGUCAUGUAUAAAUUUCUCACAUUCGUUCAUAUUAUCUGAUGUAAAAUUAUCAGAAUGGUACACUUUGAUUUACUUUUUAGCUAAAUAAUAAUAAUAUAUAGCCCUCAAUACGAAACAGGCAAUCUCAUCAAAUCAGCCGCGAAUUUGCGUACAUUUUAGCAUUUGAGAAUCUUCGCGUCCUACUGCUAAUGCUUUUUUUGAGAGAUAGGUAGCACUCUACCCGCUUCGUUUAUUUUAUUUUUGAAAAUAAACUUAGCUGGAAAUGUGAAUCAACUAGAAUUCGAACUUGGGUCUCAGAUACCAACCACCAAGCCCUUUGCCACUUGCUCUAGGGACGGUCGGUCUGCUAAAAUGCUAUUAUGCCAACCAAACUAAUCAAAGGUUUCCAGGUUGGGCUCAGCGUGGCGCGUGGACGCCAUGCACUAGUAAGAUUCUUUUCCCAUGGAGCAAAUAUAUAUGCACCACACAUUUGGGAAUAUCAACACUGGAAUUGUGUUAGUUUACUUCGAAUAUCUGCACAUAAAUAAAUAUAUAUAGCAAAUAAUUAGUUAUUAGGGACAAAAAUCAUAUGAAAAGGGGGUGGGUCAACCAAAUUGCGGUUCAAUGUCCCGUCGUAAUUCUCAUCCACUUGUUUGAUGCCUUCGAUUAGUGGAAAGAAUGUUUGAAAUCUUGACCACACUUUGGCUUUUUCUGCAAGCAGUCGAUAGGUUUACAUGCCAUUUACACGCACUGGAUGUUCUUUUAAUUUUUGGAGCAAAGAAAGAAUUAUUUGUUUUUUUUUUUUUUUUUUUUGAAGUUCUUUUAAUUUUGUGGUUUGUUUGGGAGAACAUUAUAGGCAUAAAACUAAAGUUUCCCACCAUCAAUAACUUAUUAUUAUUAUUAUUAUUAUUAUUAUUUGGGCGGGGAAAGAUACAAUGAACCAAAUAAUAGAAGUGGAUAUUUAUAACUGAGCAGUGCUCUCGUCUCCACUUUGGUGAAACAAACACAUCCAAAAGUAAGUAGCAUGUUAUUAUUGAACAAAAAGGGCUAAAAAAUAUCUUAGGGCAAAAGCAUCUAGAAAUACGCUUUCUCAUUUUUCGAUAAACCUGUAGAAAUUAUAUUUUAUUUGAUGUGUAAAUAUGAUAUUACUUACAAAGGCGAAUAGUCUAUAUUUCUAUCAUCUGUUACCAAAAUCAAAAUCGAAAGAAACUAAAAUUGAACUCGGGAUCCCAGAUAUUAACUUUUGAGACGUCAGGCAACGCUACUAGGUAUAUAUUAUACGGUUUAAUUUGUUGAGCCUGAAUAGUGUAUUAAUGGCAUUUAUCUAAUCAUUUAUAAUAAAUAAAGCUCAUUAAUAAAACAAAGAGCUGGCUCUUUCUAUAUAUCUUGUCAAUCUACAACAAAGAGUGCAUGCAUGAGAUGUAAAAUUUUAAGACAUGCAUUGUAUCCGUCGCUCGUUCGCUCGUUCGUGCAGCUGCGGCGGCGGCGAUUGUAGUUUCUGCGCGCCCCCCUCCUGCGGAGGAGGAAUUCUACACUGUCAUACUUACACCACGUCAUCAAUUAACAAAUCAAUCACAUUCCUUCUUUUCAAACAAAAGUGCAAUAAAAAUACUUUUUUACAAUCAUGAUGGAACGUAUAUUCUUAAAAGAAUUAAUUUGAUUGGUUUGUUACGCCACGUCACUAAUACACCUGUUGCAUUCUAGAAUUUUUCCCUGCGGAGAGUCUAGACUCUCUCUCUCUCUCUCUCUCUCUCUCUCUAUAUAUAUAAUGGGUUUAAUUGCACACAGGUUCCUGUAAAUAUAGUAAAUUAUAAAUAUAUUUCUAUAAAGUUUAACCUUCAUAUAUUAUUUCUAUAAAAGUCUUAAUAUUUUCAAAUAUAUUUCUAUCGUAGAAUUCAUUAGAAAAAUUUAGAUAAUCAUAGAUUAAAUAUUUAAUCCUGAUUAAUUUAUAAGAUAACUUGAUAUUUUUGCUCCUCUUAUAUUAUACUGUUGUGACUUUUGAAAGACAUAUUUGUGACGACAAAAUUGAAAAUAUAAAUAGUUUUUAACGGUUCUCUAACGAUAACAAACCAGAAAAAAAUAUUUGAAAAUAUUAGAAGUUUUGUAGGAAACAAUAUAUGAAAGUUGAAUUUUGUAGAAAUAUGUUUGUAAUUCACUAAGUUUGCAGGGACAUGUAUGUAUUUAACCCUAAUAAUAACCUCUCUGGGACAACUAUGUCCUGGACAAUACAUAUAACGCUUUUUAAAUUCUCUAUUUGACGUGCGUGUCGUAUCCGAAAAGUUUACUAUAUAAAGUUUAUACUAUAUAUCAUCAAUAAUCAAUCAAUUAUAUUUUUUAUUUAAAAAAUUUAAUAAAAAUAAUUUUUUAAUAAUUAUGAGGGGACAUAUGAAUACAAAGGAAACAAUCUUAUUUGUUAAGAUUGCCAUAUCAGCAAUAUAAUUAGUAUAUUCUAGAUAUUUUCGUUAACACCAUAACUUCAAGGCACAAAAGUUACACCAAAGUUCUUGGAGGACUCUUUGCAAUUUAAUACCAAAUAGUUUAAAUAAUACAAUUUUUGUAUAGAGUGUAAUUUAGUCUCAAAUAUUAUAAUUUUAUUUCAAACAGUGUAUUUUUUUCUUUUUUCUCUACAUCUUAGCCUUUCUUAUAGCGACCACGACAAAUGGUGGCCUUCCAAGAUGAAGAAAUUUUUUUAUUUUUUUAUUCUUUUUCGCAUCCAUUUUCGCCAUCGUGCAUCCCUCUCCCGUCCUCUAUCUGCUGUAGCAACUGGCUCCGUCACAACUUCAUCACCAUGAUUUAUGCUAUAUCUGACACUACAACAAAAACGGUCUAUAGCGACACUUUUAAAUGUAGGUACAUGUCAAAAAAGUGCUGCUAGCUAAAAUUACCGACACUUUUAAAAAGUGUUGCUAUAUGUGGGGUCGCUAGGUAUAUAGUGACAGUUAAAGAGUGUCGCUAUAACCUAAAAGAGUGCUACUAAUUUACGAACACUUAUUUAAGCAUUUAGCAACCGCCGAAACUUUAUCUCGUUAGCUGCGGUAGCGGAGGAGGACGACAGGAAAGGCUAUUCGUCUAGAAUUUCAGUGGAUUGAGUGAAGAGAGAAGAAAAUAUGGCAAUUGAUUUUUCUUUUUUUUUUUCUUUUCUGUUUGUAAUCGGGCCAAAUGGACUGGGUGUGGUGGGUUGAGUAGAGUAAUCUUUUAUUUUUGGUUGGAUUGGACUUUAUAUUUAGGCAUUAGCAGAUAUUUUUUUAAGUUUUAGCAUAAAUGGGACACUUACUCAAAAGUGUCCCAAACAUGUGUCCCUAUAACCUAAUUCUGUUGUAGUGUGAGCUCGCGUCGCCGCCGCUGGCAUUGGAAGAGAUGUGGGCGAAGUCGGGGAGAUGCAGUGAAUAAGAAAGAGGAGGAAGAGAAAGCGGAAGGAGAAAAGGAGGAAUGGACGGUGAGAAAAAGGGAGACAAAGAGAGAAAAAAAAAAAGGGACGAGAGGAAGAAAGGAAAAAUAUAAAUUAAAAAAGAAUAAAAAUAUUUUGAUUAGUUUAUUGAAAAAUUAGACUUAAUCUGCAAAAUUCAAAAAAAAAAAAACAUAUUUUUUGCAAAAAUGCAAAAAUGGUGAAUUUUUAAUACAAAUUGGCUAAAAAUAUGGUAAUUAUACAUAAUUUAAAAUAUUAAUGGAAGAAAUUUUUUUCUUAUUUUGAUUGUCUAUUAUUGUGAUUGUCUAUCGGCUUGCAUGCAUUACAUUCUCGCUAAAUAAUAAAUAAUAAUUCAUUUAAAAAUUUGAAAAAACUAUUAUUUUUUAGUUUUUGUUUUUAGUUACUAAAUAUAUUAAAACUUUUGAUGCAAGGAUUGUAAGCAAUUUACUAUCCUUUCUAUACAAUUUCAUGUAAAAAUUCUAUGAAAAAAAUUAAACAAAAGAUAACAACGCCAUACAGGACCUCAUUUUCCAAAAUGAUAUUUUAAAUAUUAAUUCUUUUCAAAUGAAUUGUAAUAUUAUUCUUGUUUAGAUUUUUUAUUAUCUCAUUUGGUACAAUAAAAUUAGUUUAAAAUAUAUCUCAGGUGUUCUAAUGUCACAAAAAAAGAAACUUUUGUCUCUACGACUUGCCUAGCUUGCUCCAAGUAUAGAACGUGGCUUUCGCUCAUUCCAAUCUUAUUUGGAUAUAAAAGUAUAUAUCUUAUUCGGUAUAUUUUUUUGAUUUACUUAACAUACUUUUAAUGUAGGUACGUACCGAGUGUCGUCAACAAUCUGAAGUGGAAUACCAUAUUUAACAUUCUAAGUCCAUAUUUUUCGAAAUGUGAUAAAUUAGUAAACUAUCUAUCACUACAACAGAAUUAGGUUAUAGGAACACAUGUUUGGGACACUUUUGAGUAAGUGUCUCAUUUAUGCUAAAACUUAAAAAAAUAUCUACUUAUGCCUAAAUAUAAAGCCCAAUCCAACCAAAAAUAAAAGAUUACUCUACUCAACCCACCACAUCCAAUCCAUUUGACCCGAUUACAAACAGAAAAGAAAAAAAAAAGAAAAAUUAAUUACCAUCUUUUCUUCUCUCUUCACUCAAUCCAAUGAAAUUCUAGACGAAGAACCUUUACUGUCGUCCUCCUCCGCCACCGCAGCCAACGAGAUAGAGUUUCGGCGGUUACUAAAUGCUUAAAUAAGUGUUGGUAAAUUAGCAGCACUCUUUUAGGUUAUAGCGACACUCUUUAACUGUCACUAUAUACCUAGCGACCCCACAUAUAGCAACACUUUUUAAAAGUGUCAGUAAUUUUAGCUAGCAGCACUUUUUUGACAUGUACCUACAUUUAAAAGUGUCGCUAUAGACCGUUUUUGUUGUAAUGUAUAAUUUAUAACUAUAUAUAUUAUUCCUCAAUAACUAUGCAUGCAUUACAAAACCAAAGAGAUAUAUUAAAAGAAUAAGAUGUUAAUGCAACCAAAAAUAUCUAAAAUAAAAUAUCAUAUUCAGCCUUCAAUUUAUGUUUUCAUAUUGACAUAAAUCAUCUAGUAAAGUUAAUAUUGACUGUUUAGUUCAAAGACUAGUAGUGCAUUUAUUGUCCGUUUGUUUCACCGAAGGUAAUGUUAAUAUUGACGGUAGAACUAUUUAUUUAUAUAGCUGUUAAAAUAAAAUUCUUCUAUUUCUGCUUUUGUUUUUGGCACAAAAUCAAUAACUUCAAAGUUAAAAAUGUAACAAAUAAGUUAAUAUUAUAUUUUUUUUUAUAAUUAAUUUUAUAAUCAAAGAUAAACUAUAUAAUAACAAAAAUAAAUUAAUGACUAUGCAUGACCAAAACCCACUUCAUGCAUGCAUGUUUCAAGGAGGCAGGAGCUAGAGAGGAAGAACCUUCAUUGCUUGUGAAACAGCCAUUUUGUACUUUAAACAUUUAAGCUAUCAAAGAACGGUGCUAAAGUUAUAUAUUUAACAUUCUCCUUCAUGUUUGAACUCAGAUACAUUUUAUAACGUCCAUAAUGUGGACUUAAAUUAGAUAAGAGAAAAUUAAUAAUGAUAAAAGUUUGGCGCAACUCGAACUCAGAACCUCCUACUCUGAUAUUGUAUGAAAUAACCGUUGUACUCUAACAUAACGUUUGGUUAGAGAACUAAAUUUUAAAGAACAACUUUUAUUAUUUUUGAGAACAGAGGAUACUUCGGUACAAGAAAAAAGAAUUAUAAAUUUGUAUUUGGAUGUAUUUGGAGAUAUGCUAGAGGAUUUUUUUUUUUCUUUUUGAGCGAAAGGUGGCAUGCAACCCGUUUCGUUUAUUUCAUUUAGAAAUAAACUUAGCUGGAAAUGUGAAUCAACUAGAUUCGAACAUGGGUCUCGGGUACCAACCACCAUGCCCUUUUGCCACUUGCGCUAGCUAGGGACGGUCAGAGGAUAUUUUUAGUAGCGUUUGGAUAAAAAAUAUAGAACAAUGUCUAAAUAUAUUUUUAAAAAUAAAAUAAUUAAUUUAUAUUAGUAUAUUUUGUAUAAAUUUAUUUAUAAAAUUAUUUCAUAUAGUAAUUUAUAAUAUAAUUUUUAUGUAACAAUAAUUUAAAAUAGUAUAUUUAUUUUAUUGUAUAUAAUAAUUUAUUUUAUAUAAUUUAUUCUACCAUAUAAUGUUAGAACAAAUACCGCAACGAAAAUCUGAUUAUGAUUUAAAUCUAACUAAAUUUUAUUAUGAAAAUAAAUAAAUCAACUUACAGAUAAUUGCUAAAUCUAAAUAAAGAAUUUGAUCGAUCCGGAAGCGUGCGAGGCACUGUUCUAAGGCGUAUUUCCGUCCUUCGUGUGGGAUUAACUGGAAACACCGGCCCAAGAUACGAUCGGAAUUCCUCCUCUUACGAGCACGAACGUGAAAGAGGUUGAUGGAGACUGGAGACUCUUUCAACACCCGAUGACAAAAAAAUCAAAACUAAAUAAAUUAAAAUAAUAAAAAAAAAUAUGUCUUUCAAUGUUUCUCUCCGCAAUGUUCAUCUUUUUAUGAACAGUGGAAAGAAUACCAUAUAAAAGGGUGUAAAAGGAACGGUGGAAGCACAAAUGUUCCACUCCAUUAAUAGAUUUAAUGGCCGUACGUUUCAUUAAUUAAAAAAAAUAAAUAAUAAUAAAUACUAAUAAAUGAGAAUAAAAAAAUUAAUAAAAUAAAAGAAUAAUAAUAGUAAUUGAAAAAUUAUUGGAUUUUCUCCCACAUAUAAUACUAACAAUAACCUUAUAAUUUUAACUAAUAAUUAGUAUAGAUUUCAAUACAAAUUUAAAAUGUAUAUAAUAUAUGAAAAAAGGCUUAUAUAUAUAAUAAUUAAUAUAAAAUAAAAUAAUUAAAUAUUAAUAAAUAAAUGAUAAAAACUUUAUAAAAUAAAUAAUAUAUCAAAUUUAAUUAAUUUAUAUUGUAUAAAAAAUUAAAGUAUAAAUAUAUUAUCACAAAAAUAAUAUUUAUUAAUAUAUUUAUUUAUAUAUCUAUUUACUUAGUAAAAUAAAAAAAAGAACAAAAUUAAAUUAUUUUAGNAAAAAAAUUACAAAAAAAAAAAAAAAAAAAAAAAGCGAGAGAGAGCGCCCGCGCGCGCGAAUGGGCAUGCAUGUGACGUGUCGUACAAGCGGGGUGGUACGAAACUCGAAGGAAAAGGUCAACGAUUUCGGCGGCCCAUUAAUUGCUUGGGGAGCCGAGCCCUUUCUAGAAACCAUGCACACAUGGAUUUGAUAAAUGGGCGCUCCAUAUAUAUAUAUAUAUAUAUAUAUAUAGGGUGAGGCUACUAUACUAUUAGAAGCACGGAGCUUUUCGUGCUUUCAGCUCAUUUUCGAUGUUGCGACUUUCGAAUCAUCGAUCGGCUCCGUUAAACUUGAUCUAGAGUAUUUGAAGUACCUGAAAAAUAAAUUUUAUGAUUUUACGAUAUCAUUUGCCUAGUGAACGAAGGGGCUCAAAAUCAACGGCUGAAAAUAAAAAUCUUACAAAAUAUAAUAAUAUGGCAUUAAAAUUUUAAAUCAAAGAUAUUGAUCUUGUUUUAUAUAGUAUAAAAAAUUUUCUAUCAAAAUUUCACGUGAUUUCGAUAUUUCUACACCGUUAAACUUGCAAACGGCUCACUACGGCCAUUGAAAUUUGUUGAUUUUGAGCCCAUUCGAUCACUAGGCAAAUGAUAUCUAAAAUAAUAAAAUUUAUUUCUAAGUACUCAAAUACUCUAGAUCAAGUUUAACGGAGCCGAUCGACGAUUCGAAAGUCGCAACAUCGAAAACGAGCUGGAAGCACGGAAGGCUCCGUGCUUUCCAAUAGCAUAGUAGCGCCUCCUCUCUCUCUCUCUCUCUCUCUCUCUCUCUCUCUCUCUCUCUAUAUAUAUAUAUAUAUAUAUAUGCCAUGGCUACUAUACUAUUAUGAGUAUUGGAGCCUUCGUAUUCAUAAGUUGUUUUUAAUGUUGGAGCUUUUGAUUCGACGAUCCACGCCGUUAAAUAUGAUCUAAAGGAUUUGAAACUUUUAGAAAAUAAAUUUCAUAAAUUUUCGAAAUCAUAAUAAAGUCCAUCAAGUGGGCAUAAAAUAAACAGUCAAAAUCAAACGACGUCCUAAAAAAGGAUGAUUGAAUCUUUCAAUUCAAGAUCAAAGUUAUUGAUUUUUAUCUAUAUAGUGAAUAGAAUUUUCUAUCAAAAGUUCAACAAAUUCCGAUUCUUUUACACCGUUAAACUAGCAAGUAUCCCAUACCGGCCGUUAAAAAUUGUCAAAUUUGUGACCUCUUGAUCGUAAGGUAAUGAUGUCGAAAAAUUAUAAAAUUUAGUUUUUAGAAGUUUUAAAUGCUGUAAAUAAUGUUUAACGGUGUGGAUCGCCGAUUCGGAAGCUCUAUCAUCGAAAACAACUUAUGAGUACGAGGGCGAUCGUACUCAAAAUAGUAUAGUAGCCGGACCCCAUAUAUAUAUAUAUAUAUAUAUAUAUAUAUAUAUAUAUAUAUAUAUAUAUAUAUAUAUAUAAAGGGCAAUUGCUUAUAUAUUCUUGAAAAGUUGCUGAUUUUUCAACUUAUCCAUCUUAGAAGCCUAAUAUUGAAAGUAUCCUUUCUAUGUUCAAACCUAUUUCUAAUAUACCUCUAGAGUAAAAAACUGUUAAUGAACUCUAUUAUCUCUGUAAAAUUAUUAUUUUGUCCUUUCAAAUAUAUCCUUCCACUAUCACUGACUUUCUUAUUUGCCCUUAAAGUCAGGAGUACAAAAAGUAUUUUGACUUUUGGUCUUUUCUAAUAUACCUCUCUACUAACACCAAUAUUUCUUAUUUGCCCUUAAGUUAAGGGCAACAUUGAUAUUUUAAUUUUUUUUAACUGUGGUGGGUAUUUAACUCACGUUUAACCCAAAUUAACUUAACAGGAGAUAACUGCAGGGAUAUUUUUGGGGUAUUUUGUAAUAACUAUGAAAAAUAUGAGGGGUAUUUUAGAAAGAAAAAAAGUAGGGAUAAAUUGAAUAUUUUCAAACGUAUGAAGAGUAUAUAGGUAAUUAUCCCUAAAUAAUAAUAUCUACCCACAAUCAAAAUUUCGGUAAUGAGUUAGUUUACUGAUAAAGUGAAGUGUUGUUGUUUGGUAGUAUUAAUCCCAUAUCACGGAUUAAUUUUAAAUCUAUUCAAUAACUCACAACUUAUUUUGAAUAUUAAAAUUUAAAUAUAAAAAUUUUAAAAUUUAAAUUUUUUAGAUAUAAAUAAAAAUAAUACUUCGAAACUUCUUAACGAGACAUUGUUGAAAACUUCUUGCAGAAUAUUUUUUUUUCAUCUCGAUCCUCAACACUCUCCCUUCGGGUUUGCACAGCUUCACGUCUCCCUCGAUCUCUCUCCCUCGCUCGUUUCGUUUUAUUUUUCAUUUUUUUUUGAGAUAGAUAGGUAGCACACUGCCCGCUUCGUUUAUUUUAUUUAGAAAUAAACUUCGCUGAAAAUGUGAAUAAAUUAGAAUUCGAACUUGGAAUCUCAGGUACCAACUAUCAAGUCAUUUGCCACUUCCUCUCACUAGUUUCGUUAAUCGCGAAAUGAGAUGGUGGCACGCAUUACAAUAUGUGAGAGUUUUUCUUUUUAUUUAUGAAAACAAGAAAAUUUCAAAUAGUACUGUAGGCUACAUUUGGCAGUAAGGUCCAUCUACAAAAUAAAGUUGGAAUGAAAUUAUAUGGAAAUAUAAUUUGAAUUCGCAUUCACAUUUGAAUUUGAAAUUCUAAAUCAGAAUUUAAAACUAAAAUUUAAAUUUAAAUUUAAAAUCUGAUUUUAAAUUUAAAAUUAAGUGCAAAAUUUGAAUUUGAAUUCGAAAUUGGAUUUGAAUUUAAAAUUCUCAUUCAAAAUAGAAAGUUAAAUUUAGAAUAUGACCCCAAAAUUAAAUCCAAAAUUAUACUUCAAUAUUAAAAUUUAAAUUUAAAAUUCGAACCCAUCAUAUUUAAAAAUUUAAAUUUAAAUUAAAACAAUCUAACCGUAAAUUUAAAAUUUUAAUUCAAAGUAUAAGUUAACUUUAAAUUUUAAAUUUAUAAAUUUCAAAUAAAACAAAAUUAAUUUUCACUAUAUUGAUUGAUUACCAAAUAAAAAAAAGGUGCAAAGAUUGGCGACCAAUAAUCCAUUUCUCUCCAUCGCAGAAGCCAUAAUUUUUUAUAUUGGAGCUUCUACGAUAACGGGAUAACGCUUGCUCGGGCCAAAACUGAUAUUAGGUAUAUAAUUUUGACAUUAAAUAUCACUAUUAGUUAGAUGUGUUAAAUAUAAAAAUAUAUAAAUGUCGGUCACUUACAUCUUAAACUUUUAUAGUAUAACGGCUGUUUCACUGACUUGGACUUGAAUUAAAUAGGUGAAAAUUAAUAAUGCUAGGAGUUUGACCUAACUCGAACUCAGAACCUCAUGUUCUGAUAUCAUGUGAAACAACCAUUGUACUUUAAAAGUUUAAAUUGCUAAAGAAUAGUGUUUAUAUAUUUUUAUAUUUUACAAGAUGAUUAAUUAAUAGCUCCUUUAUGUUUGGAUUUUGUUAGGGUUUUUAUUGGAAAAAAGAACAUUGUUGUAUGGCUCCAAGGUACUUGAAAGGUCAGAUUAAUUGCUUGGGUUCCUAGAAAGGUUAACAUGAAUAAACUAAAUAGCAUACUAAAAGGAGCAACAACCUAAGAUUCUUGGAAACCAAGUGGAAAGAGAGAAAAAUAAUUAUGUGAAUUAAUAAAUGUAUUGGGAAUAGCUUUCAUUCACACUCAAGUUCCAUUUACAAUGUACAUACCAGCUGGCUAAUGGAAGAGACACUGGGUACUAAUUGUUUACUAUCUUAGUUAAAAGAAAACUACUACUGAGAGUUAAUGUAGUAAACUUUUAGAAGUACAUAGAAUCCUUUAUUUCUAUGUUAGUUUCAGCGAUAGGUAUAAAUUUAAUUUAUAUUAUUUAAACAGUUUAAGAACUAAAUAUUUUCUAGUUUUUGACAUUAUUUACCUAAUAUUUAAGUAGUUUCAAAACUGACAGUUUCCAGUGGCUAAUACAAAGUGAAUUUGAGGCUUCCGCCAAUGGAUAUAUGAUGUUGUAAAAUUAUAACAUUCCGUUUCUAUAAACUUCAAAUAACUUGUGUCCAGUUUAACAAGUUUUGAUCAUUGGUUCAUAUAUAUGUCCCGUCAUCGAUCGAAAAUGAUGCGAAAAUAAAAUUUUUAUUUAUUUCUGAAAAUAUUCUAGCUCUAGUUUGAUUGUGGGUCCGUCAAAAUAUUGUAUUCAGAAAUCAUUCAUUUAUUAGCCAUAUAUGAUAUAAAAGAUUUUGACUGAUAAAUACAUGCUGUUCAAUACACCAUAAUACAGAAAUGCCAAAUGCAUUAAUAAUUUACAAAACCCUAUGUGGUGGGCCUAAGAAAAUUUUCCAAUUGAAAAAUAUUUUAGUUGUUGUACCUUUUCUUUUCAUAGCAUUCCUCUCUCUUGACGCAUUCAAGAUCCUCUGAUAAAUAAUGAAUUUCUUAUGAGGCAUAUUCUCAUAAAUGUUGCUUAAAAAUCUUUAUUCGUUGACAUUAAUUUGGUGCAUUUUGAAGGCGAGAAUAUAGGUUGGGUCAGGAAUCAAACCAUAUUAUUGAAUUUAUUUGUCAAAUUACUGCUAUGCAUGGUAAAGUCAGAGUUUCGAAUCUGAGUUCGCUCCCUAUCCUUUUAGGGCUUAAUUAAUGCUCGACAUAAGCAAACCACCAUAAAAUAUUCAGGAAUUUGAAUUUCUGACCUUUUAGAUAGUUAAUGCGAAAGACAUAUCAACUUAUAUAUAUAAAAAUUAACCCGCCAAUAUGUAUAGAUGGUUAUAAAUGUCAAGUUAAUUACGUGGAGAUGAUCAUCAAUAAUGUGGAAUCCUUGUCACAAACUUUUGCCAUAAGAAAAUAAAAGCACCACCAUUGUAAAAUGCAAUAUAAUGUAUUAUGAAAAUAUUAGAUUAUAUAUAUAGAGUGAGGCUACUAUGCUAUCGGAAGUACGGAGCCUUCCGUGCUUCCAGCUCGUUUUCGAUGUUGCGACUUUCGAAUCGUCGAUCGGCUCCGUUAAACUUGAUCUAGAGUAUUUGAAGUACCUAGAAAAUAAAUUUUAUGAUUUUACGAUAUCAUUUGCCUAGUGAACGGAGGGGUUCAAAAUCAACGGCUGAAAAUAAAAAUCUUACAAAAUAUAAUAAUAUGAUAUUAAAAUUUUAAAUCAAAGAUAUUGAUCUUGUUUUAUAUAGUAUAAAGAAUUUUCUAUCAAAAUUUCACGUGAUUUGGAUAUUUCUACACCGUUAAACUUGCAAACAGCUCACUACGGCCAUUGAAAUUUGUUGAUUUUGAGCCCAUUCGAUCACUAGGCAAAUGAUAUCGAAAAAUAAUAAAAUUUAUUUUCUAGGUACUCCAAAUACUCUAGAUCAAGUUUAACGAAGCCGAUCGACGAUUCGAAAGUCGCAACAUCGAAAAUGAGCUGGAAGCGCGAAAGGCUCCGUACUUCCGAUAGCAUAGUAGCCUCACUCAUAUAUAUAUAUAUAUAAAAGUUAAAACACUUCCAAACCACCAACAUUCACCUUAGAAACCAAUCAAAAUAUCACAAUUUUUUUUAAUAAAAUAUGCGUAUGUGGUGCAUGCACUUGACGAGGCACCACGCCAUACCAACCAAUCACAAACCAAAACAUGGAGAGAGAAAAAGAAAAAGUAAUUAAAAACAAAUAUAUAUAAAUAAUAUAUAUUAUAUAUAGAGAGAGAGAGAUAGAGAGAGAAAAAAAGAAAAAAAAACAGUUUUUGGUGUUCCCUUCUAUCCCUCCAACUAUUUCUCUCAUUUGAAAAAGGGGGAGAGUAUUAUUAUUUUAUGCAUUCGAAUCUAUGUGCACAGUAAGAUUAUACCACUCCAGGUAUCCUACUUUACAGCAUCCUUAUCUCCUUCAACAGUGCAAUUUUUUUUUAUUAUCAGUGAUAUAAUUAAUAUAUUUUCAUAAUUAUUAGUUCUAUAUUCUGAUUGUAGUGACAAUUUUUGAUUCGCGAUUAAUUUAUCUAUGAAUAUUGAAUAAGUUUAAAUCCUCCAAAUUUAGCCCUUUGAAUUUGAAGAGUUUUGGGCUUAUUUUGGACGAUUAUAUUUAUAUAGCGCGACAAAUGAAAAUAUUUCCAAAAUCCAAAUAUAGGGGCCACAACCCACACUUUCCAAUGGAUUUGAGUUGGCUCAAGUGAUUCGGGCGUAUCUUGCUUGAAUGGAUCAAAUUUGGCUCUUAUCGGGCGUGUGGUCCAUCGCAUUCGUUCUCGUGAAUAUUUUUAUGUCUAGAUGUAUUGUACUUUAAUAUCUAACCAACAAAUUUUAAAAAAUAUAUAUAUAUUUUUUUAACAAAAUAGGCAUUUUAAUCCUGUAAUACUAAUAUGGCUCAUUUCAAUCUAGGUAAAAAUGUAUGGGCACCACCUCGGCUAUGCAUGAUUUUGAAUUGGCACCCUCAACUUUUAAUCUUUUAAUUUUUAAUUUUUUAGAAUUAAAUAAAUUUAGCUAAAAAUUUUGCAGGCUUUAUUAAAUUUCUUGAUCCUUUUAUCAAAGGGAAUUAAACCAAGCAACUGUUUAUAAUUAAUAUGAAUAUUAAAUUUGAAAAAAGCUCAUCUUAGCUGAUUAUAAAAAUCUGCAAAGAGUUAUUAAAUUACUAAACAAUGAGAUAUAAAAUGUAGAUCUUAUAAUAGAGUAAGGCUAUUAGCGAGUCGAAUACCAAUGAAUUGGGACCGGCUCGUAUUCAUUCGUCUAUUAAAUGAGUCGAAAAAUCCAACUCAUGCUCUGCUUGUUUAUUAACGAGCCGAACAUGAGCUGGCUCACGAGCAAUAAGAUAGAUUGUCAGUCCUGUUAAUGAAUAAAAAGUUGAAAGAAAAUUAAAAAAACAAAUUAGAAUCUUAAUCUAAUAAUUAAAAUUUAUAAAAAUAUAAAUUUCUUUAUUUUUUGAGUUGACCUAAAAUUCAAAUUGUAAAAAAAUUGUAAUACAUAUAUUCGAGCUAUAUUGAAUAGAACACGGGCGAGUUGACUCCAGCUUGUAUUCGACCUAGUUAAAAUUUUGAGCUAAAAAAAUUAACUCAUGUUCUAUUUUGAGCUCAUUUUGGAUCAGACUCGAGCUGACUCGCAAACACUGAGCUGCAUUGGUGGUGUCUAAUUUAACAUAUAUUAGCUCGGAAGGAAGAGGGCCACCGGUAGAUCGUGUGGUGCGGGGAGAUGGACGGUCCUGAUGGAGGGAGAGAGGUUUCGAUUGGUGGGCCCCGCUCGCACGUGGGUGACGCUCGAGCAUCGCCGCGGCCAAUCAGUGGUGUGUGGGAUUUGGGGAAUCUCUCUCGGAAGAGCUUCGUGAUAAAGAGGAUGGGCCCCACCACGAACGCGGCGGGGCGAUGGGCAAAUCCAAAUAAAAAGCACCGGAAUGGGAUAAGGGCGGGAUAGGUAUCAUGCAAUGCGUACCGCUUCGUGUACCCCGAAAUGGUUACUGCAUGCGCUAUAUUUCUUUUGUUUAAAAUUUCACCUCCCCCCCCUACAAAAAAAAAGCUUUUUGGAAAAUAAAAUUGCAUAAAAUGUUUUAGCAUGUCUUGGAAUGAUAUUGUCGGAUCGUUGGCGCUAACCAUUAAUCUCAAAAGCUCGAGUUUUUAGAAAUGCGUAACUAAUUCACUUAAAACGUAAUUUAAGACAACAAACCGCCCUCCAUCCCAAAAGCUUGAGUUUUUAGAAAUACGCAAUCAAUUCACUUAAAGCGUUAAAGCGUAAUUUAAGCCAACAAUCCCCCCUCCAGUUAAAGUGUAAUUUAAGCCAACAAUCCUCUCUCCAGCACCUGCACACAUUUGCAACAUGCAGGAAUCGAACUCGUGGCCUCUGAUUCUGAUACCACUUAUCGGAUAGUUGGCACUAACCAUUAAUCCAAAAAGCUCGAGCUUUUAGAAAUACAUAACUAAUUCACUUAAAUCGUACAGAAACAGCGCCCACGGAUCUCGAUGGUGACUCCGCCCACCCGGCCUCACGCCACUUUGAACUUGACUAGGCCCAACCCAACAGCACGCCAUUUCAAACAUGACUCGGCCCACAUGACCUCCCACCACAGGGCAGGAUGCUGGCCCAUUUAAGCCAACAGAUAUAAUAUUAACGCGUUCACUGAUGAGUAAUUAAUAGCCAAAUUCAGUAUCUAAAUUAAUCAUGAGCAAAUUUAUUGCCACUAAUAUUACUAGCUGAAAUUUAAACUGCUUGUGAUUCGUUUGGCAUUAUUAAGAGAGUUGCAUUAACAGAAUUGUAGAAAUUAUAUCUUAAUCAAAUUGAAGCAAACACUACAACAUAAUUAUUGUUAUUAAUAUUUUACAAAAAUUAGAGUGAACUAUUUUUUUUUUAUUAAAUGUGCUCUCUUUGUAUCUAAAACAGUAACUUUACUAGUUAUACCAUUACGAACAUUUUUCAUUGAAAGUGGUGGGGGUUAGUUGCUUGGUUUAUUGUAGAUUAAAUUCGAUCUAUUUUACAUUUUCAUAAUGCCAUAAUUGAUACUGAAGUCAAUUAGAGAUAGAAAAAAAAAAGUCAAUUAUUAAUUAUAAUUGUUUAUCUUCUUAUACACUCAUCCGAAAGUUUUUAAUAAAGAAAAAAUCUUCGCUUUCACAGUGGAGACUUCGUACCUAACAAAUAACACUAAAAAGAAAUUAUCUAAAUUUUAGUGCCCUUUUGUUGGAUAAAAUUCAAAAUUUUAUUAUUUAUUUAUUUAUUUAUUUUAUUAUUAAUUUUAAUUAGAGGAACGGCCGCAUCCGUUUCACGCGUUGGGAGCUUGGUGCCUCAAUUGCAGCCGCUCCGUUCGUUGGGAUCCUGCGCAAAUCCUUUCACUAAUUAAGACAUUAAUUAGUGCAUGCAUUGGAACGUUGGGCUGGAACGUUGGGCUCCAACGUUCCAUACUUUUUGCCUUUAUAUACUUACCUCUCCUGUGGCUCUAAUAAUACUAUGGGCUAUAUACACAUGAGGUGAUACAACUGCAAUAAUGAGAAGUAAUUUUUUAGAGACUUGCUAUUUUCUUUCAUUCUAUUAUCUCUUCACUGAGUGUUGAAAGAAGCUCCGUCAACCUCUUCCGCGAUCGUACUCGUAGGAGAAGGAGUUCCGGUCGUACCUUGGGGCGGUGUUUCGGAUUAAUCCCACACGUAAGGACGGGAAUACGCCUUAGGGCAGUGCCUUGCACGCUUCCGAAUCGAUCAAAUUUUCUAUUUGGAUUUAGCAAUUAUCUGUAAGUUGAGUUUAUUAUUUUUAUCACAAAAUUUAGUUAGUUUUAAAUCGCAAUCAGAUUUCUAUGCGGAAUUUGUUCCAACAAUCUAAGGCGUAUUCCAAUUUGAUUGUGAUUGAAAUCUAACGAGUGCUAAUUCGUAUUAAAUUAAUUUAAUUUUAUAUGUAUAUAAUCUGUUUGUUAAUUUGUUUGUAAGAUUGGCAUUCAAACAUAAAUUUUUCAGAAUUAGCACUUUAACCUGUAAAUGCAUAUUAUUUAAUUUAUUGUUUAAAUUACAUUUUAUUUGGUGAUUAUUUUAUUUAAAAAAAAUAAAAAUACUUUUAUUAUAGCUCUUUUGUUAAAAAGAAAUGCUACAGAAAAAAAAUUUUCCGGUGCAAAUGCAUAAACUGUUUUGUGGCUUUUGGAAAAAAAAAAUAAUUUUGCUACAGUAAAAAUAAUUUUAUUAGUAUGCAAUUUUAGAAUUUUGCUACAGUAAAAUUCUUUGGUAAAACUUAUUUGGUUUAAAAAAAAAAUUUAUUAUUUUGCUAUAGAUUUUUAUGCUGCAGUAAUUUUCUAUACUAGCACGAAUUUAAAAGAAAAAUCUGCUAUAGUUUAAACUCUUUGUAAAAAAAAAAUAAUAAUAAAAAAUAUUUUUUAAAAAAAUCAAACUUUUAUAAUUAUUUGGAUCAUAUAUUUGCUGAUGAACCAAACUAUAUUAAACAUGAUUAAUUUCAUAAUUUUAAGUUUUGGUGUAUCACAGAACUUGUGGGGGGAGCUAUUUUAUCAGUUUGAUAAAUUUUGAUAUUAUAAUUGCUCUCGUAAUUUUAUCCUAGAGUUCAUCUUAAAAACAAAUUUUGUAAAUUCUAAGAUUGGCAGGUAAAUUAGUUUGAGGUGUAAAUUUAUUAGAUAAUUAUUUUUCGUAAUGUUAUUUAUUUGAGUUUUAUCAGAUCUGAUCAGAAUCUUGCAGAUUGCUUGACGAAAGGCCUGAAUAGGACUAAGGUCCUGGAGUCAUCGAGGGGGAUGGGACUUUGCCCGUAAAGGGCCUUCCUGCAGUGGGAACCCAACCUUUGUGAUAGGAGAUCUCUUGAAGAAGGUUCAAUGUGGUAAAAACAAGCUGCUAGACUGGCCAAAUAGCACUUUCUACAGUUUAUUUAUAGGAGCUUUAGCUCCAAUCCCAUCCCUAUGGUGAGUAGUGCUCUGUGUAGUGGAUUAGGUUGAGCUGAUAGCUCUUAAUGGGAUCCAAGGCGAUAAUUUUCACCAGAUGUGACUCUACACACAUCCCUGGAGAAAACCACCUAUAUAAGAGUAUCCGUAUGUGGCCGCGGCUAUGUGAAUGGGCUAUACAUAGAAACUCUUAUGAAAAAUCAAGGUACUGUGCAUGGCCAUUAACGCACAGACCCGCGACGGAGAAUUUUGUACUGUGUGUGUGGUAGUUGAAGUCAGGGACAAAGAAACGUAGUUCAAGACCUGGUUCACUACGAUUCCUUCUGAUGGAAACUGCUAACACUAAGUGAGAUUAAGUCCUUAAAGACACCUUACCUAUUACAUAGUAUAAACACUCGGUGACUAAUUGAUUUCUUUUCUUUGUUAUUUAAUUUUUUAUUUUUAUUUUAUUUUAUUUUAUUUUUGAAAAUUUUAAAUUUUGUAGGGAAUUGUUGGAUAAAAUCCAAAAUUUUAUUAUCUAUUUAUUUAUUUUAUUAUUAAUUUUAAUUAGAUGAACGGCCGCAUCCGUUUCACGCGUUGGGAGCUUGGUGCCUCAAUUGCAGCCGCUCGAUGCGUUGAGAUCCUGUGCAGAUCCUUUCACUAAUUAAGACAUUAAUUAGUACAGGCAUUGGAACGUUGGGCUUCAACGUUCCAUGCUUUUUGCCUUUAUAUACUUACCUCUCCUGUGGCUCUAAUAAUACUAUGGGCUAUAUACACAUGAGGUGAUACAACUACAAUAGUGAGAAGUAAUUUUUGAGAGACUUGUUAUUUUCUUUCAUUCUAUUAUCUCUUUACCGAGUGUUGAAAGAAGCUCCAUCAACCUCUUCCGCGAUCGUGUUUGUAGGAGGAGUUCCAGUCGUACCUUGAGGUGGUGUUUCCGGUUAAUCCCGCACGUAAGGACAGGAAUACGCCUUAGGGCAGUGCCUCGCACGCUUCCGGAUCGAUCAAAUUUUCUAUUUGGAUUUAGCAAUUAUCUGUAAGUUGAGUUUAUUAUUUUUAUUACAAAAUUUAGUUAGUUUUAAAUCACAAUCAAAUUUCUAUGCGGAAUUUAUUCCAAUACCUUUAAAGUUGUUCUUUACCUGAAAAUCAAUUGCGGCAACAAAAUAGGGCUCUGAACAAAACUUCAGUUGUUGGAGAGCAUCCCGACAACGUCUCGUUGAAAAACUACUGAUCUGUUGUUUAUUUUGCCUUCAUUAAAAAAAAAUUAUUAAAUAUUUUUAAUAUUAAAAAUCUAUAAUUCAAAAUUUUUUUAUAAUUUAAAAGAAAAUUUAUAAUGUUUAAAUAGAUAUAAAACUGAUAUAUAAUAGCAGAUUGAGAGCUCGUAAAUGAGGCGUUGUUGAUGUGACUCCUCCAAAAUUUGAAAUAAUAAUAUUUUUAGACAGUGUUUCUCUCAAAAAAAAAUAUUUUAGACAAUGAUUAGCUCCAAAAGAUUAGAGAGCACUUAAGCGUGUUAGAGCUAGAGUAAUUCUAGAAUGGAUGACCCCACUGAAAAGUAUCACAUCAAAAUUGAUAUCAGAUCCAAUCACCAACUAGAAGUGUGAAAUGAAUUUCGGCUAAGAUAGAGUCAUACUGCAGGUAGAGCGCUGAGCCACGCUCCAUACUCCCCACAGGGUUGGCUAAAUCCAACAAUAACUCCCUACUAAGUCGACUAAGGCCAGCGAGAUAAAUCUUAUUUUGCUCCCGACUAACGACCUUGUGGAGAGCCACGCUCCAUACUUCUCACAAAGUCGACUAAGGCUUCAUUUGGGAUUGCAGAGGGAUUGUGUUAUGUGCUGUGAGAAAGUAUGAUUGGAAAAUACCUUGUUUGUUUCCGUGCGUAAUAUUGUGUUCCUCAUAUUGCGAUGAGUCGGUUAUAAUAUAUUUUCUGCGGUCCCGCCGGAAAACGUAGAAGCAUAUCUCUAUGUGCUUUCUCUCUAACUCUAUUUUAUCUAACAGCGUCAGAUAGACCUCAAUACCAAACUAAGCUUAAGAUUAGUAACAGCUCUCUAUAAAGUCGACUAAGCGUAACGAGACGAGUCUUAUAUCAAUUGAUGCUUGUAAGUAUGUUUGAGCCUAACGAGAACGUUAGGACUUAAAAUAAGAAAGUAUUGUAACCUCCCGAAUUUAAAAUAAUCUUUAUAUACAAAAUAUAGGAAAAACUUCAAAAACCCCCUAUGUGGUUUCGCACUUUUUCAUUUUAGUACCAUGUGGUUUAAAGUGUAUCAAGUUAGUACCCUGUGAUUUCGCAUUUUCUCACUUUAGUACUCUGUGGUUUAAAGUGUAUCAAGUUAGUACUCUGUGAUUUUAUUUUUGUAUCAAGUUAGUACCCUGUGGUUUUAUUUUUUUGUCAAGUUACUACCCUGCGGUUUAUUUUUCUCUUAAUGAAAUAUUAAACCACAAGGUAUUAAAGUGAGAAAGUGCAAAACCACAGGGUACUAACUUAAUACACUUGAAACCACACGGUACUAACUUGAUACACUUGAAGCCACAUGGUACUAAAGUGAGAAAGUGCGAAACCACAGAGUACUAACUUGAUACACUUGAAACCACACGGUACUAACUUGAUACACUUGAAGCCACAUGGUACUAAAGUGAGAAAGUGCGAAACCACAGGGUAGUAAUUAACUUGAUACACCUGAAACCAUAGGAUACUAAAGUGAGAGAGUGCGAAACUACAGGGCACUAACUUGAUACACUUUAAACCACAGAGGACUAAAGUGAGAAAAAGUGAAUCCACAAUGGAGGUAUUUGAAGUUUUUUCUAAAAUAUAAUAGGACUAAACUUUUUAAUCUGAUUAUAGUAUUUUAGACGGUGGUUAGGCUCGAGAUGUUAAAAAACAUAAGAAUAAAAAAAUAGAAUAACUCUUUGGCUUUUUACCUUAUAUAUUAAUGGGAAAACUUCAAAUACUCUCCUUGUGGUUUCAUUUUUUCUCACUUUAGAACCCUGUAGUUUUAAGUGUAUCAAGUUAGUACCAUGUGGUUUUGCACUUUUUCAUUUUAAUAUCCUGUGAUUUAAAGUAUAUCAAAUUAGUACUCUGUGGUUUCGCACUUUUUCUUCGCACUUUCUCACUUUAGUACACUGUGGUUUCAGGGUACUAACUUGAUACAAAAAUAAAAUCACAGAAUACUAACUUGAUACACUUUAAACCACAGGGUACUAAAGUGAGAAAGUACGAAACCAUAAGGUACUAACUUAAUACAUUUUAAAUCACAGAAUAUUAAAAUGAAAAAGUACGAAACCACACGAGGGUUUAAAGUUUUUCCUAUAUUAAUCAAGGAGUACCCCCCAUCUCUUGGGACAUACUGCGGGUACUCAUAACUAACUAUAGAGUGGCGCCAGGAAAAGGCAAGUAGUGGGGGGAGUGGGUCCCACAAAUAGGCGACGUCAUCCCCCACGAACGAGGAGAGGAGGAGGGAAGGAAUCCGGCGGAGUUGACGCUGACAGGCGCCGCACACAAAGCCGGCCAGCCAGUCAGCCCGCCCGCUUUUGCAUUUGCGCGUGUCGAGGCCAGGAGCCCGGUCGCGUCCAUGUCCCCCUCCCUCUCUCCGAUUCCCUGGGCCCCACACCACCCCCACCCUUCCUAUUCAUUUUCAUUUUUAUUUUUCUUUUUCUUUUCCUUUCCCUUUUCCUUUUUUGGUAAUUAUUUAUUUAUACAUCGGGACCCCCCACCUAUACCCUAUUUUGUAAUCCACCUAUUAACUUUUCUUUUCUUCUUUUUUCUUUUUUUUUUUGGAGUCAUGAAUUGCAUAUACGCCGAAAAAACAGUUACAUAGAACGCGAGCACAUAAAUAUAUGUAUUUUUAAUUUUUACCAUAAUUGUAUAAAUUAUAUUUUAUCAAUUUAUUAGUAUUUAUAGAAGUAAAUAAAUUAUGUUUUAAUCUCGUUCUUUCUCUUCAUGUGUAAUAUAAUUGCAAAAAAAUGAGCUUAUAAUCUCAAUAAUAAUAUAAUUUAUCUACAAUCUCUCUAACGGAAUCUUAGCAUUGUUCAAAACUAGAGUUUGAUUCUAAUCGUUACGGCAGAUAAAACUUUAAGUAAAGAGCUCUCCAAAAACGUUUUAUUGGAAGCCUCCGACACACUGUCAUGUAUUAAUCUUAUUUCUAUUCAAGAAUUAUUUAUUACUAAAUUUAUAAAAAAAUUAAGUUCUAAAAGAGAAAUUUAUAAUAAUUCUUUGAUUGAGGUAAUACUGUGACAGCAGAUUGAAAGCUUCUCAAUAAUUUUUUUUUUUUUUUUCAGCGCAGAUAAUUCUUGGGGGGAGAAGAAAGCGUAGAGUCUUCUUUUAAAAGUCCAAAUUUGGAUAGUUCCAAUUUGGAUUUAUAACAAAAGAGAAAUAUGGCAUCAAGUUAUAACAUAGGUGGUAACAUAAGAUCCUAGUAAGUUUAUAUCGAUAAUCGAAACUAUAGCCUUGAAGGUUAAGUUUGUCCAGAAUAUCUUGCUGGCAAAUAUCUUCCCAGUAAUCAUUAUCUGUAAUUCCUUCAAGUGGAUACCCAAAUAGCACUCUAAUGUCUCUAAUAAUACUGUCUUGAUCUAGUAAAUCAUAAUAUUGAAAGUUUAGUAUGCCUCGAAAGUAUUGCUGGUAAUGAUUUUCCCAGUCUAUUAAUAAAAAAAAACGACAGUCACUUAACUUUUAUUUAUUUCAAUUUAAAUUAUACUAGCAAAUUGAAAUAAAAAUUUAUUAACCGUACAUUCUAUUAAUUACGUCUUUAGAUCUUUAGCUUUAAUUUGCCUCCACUGAGAAUCACGCGGAAAUGUACGUAAUAGCAUGUCUAAUCAAUUUGGCUUUCAUUUUUUUAAGUAGAUGUUGAGAAACUGCAAUUUUUUUUUUAAAAAAAAAGUAAAAGUCUAAGUCAAGGGAGGCAAUUGAAAAUAGCAGAUAGGUGAGGGGGUGUGGCGAUAUAUUUUCUUUUUUUAUAUUUAGUACGACUAUAAUUUUCUAUUUGGUACUAUUUGGUACGUUAAUAAGGGACAGUGCCCAAACUCCAACUUGCCGCGGCGGGGGGACCCACCGCGAUUCCUCCCUCCUCUUCCUCCGCUUCUAUACGCCUCUUUCCCCUCCCCAAAAGCCGUUCUCUAUUCUCUCUCUCUCUUCUUUUCUAUUCUUUUAUUUUAUUAUUAUUAUAAUAAUUAUCCAUUCCUCUCUCUUUCUCUCUCUCUCGCAACACGCCGAAACUCACCUCUCCACCGACUCCCUUGUUGUCGUAUUUUUUUUUUUAAUGGAAAAGUUGGGAAAAAUUAAAGCUUCCCAAGUGUUUGGAUAAUUACGUGAUAUAGUGGGGGAUAAACCACAAGUUGGUUCAGCAAUAAUUACAAGUUUCCAACAUGUCACCAAACCAGCCGAGAGGAGAUGAUUAAAGUUCUGGGUAAAAGUAAUGCUACCUCUCCGCUCUUCUUAGUGAAAAUAAUAAUAAUAAUAAUAAUAAUAAUAAUAAUAAUUCAGGAGAAAGCUUCUCAUAAUAUUUUGUUGGGCGAUUUGGAUUAACAAUUCUUUUUUAUUAAGGCUUCCCAACAGAACGUACGUUGUUAAGAAGCUUCUUACUGAAUGUUUAUUCCGUGUUUAACUAAUGUAAGUAUUAAAACUUAUGAUCUGAUAAUUUGAAAAAUAUUUCAUCGAAAUACUAAAUUCAGAAUUAGUUAUCUUUCUAGUUCUUAAAUUUGAUAUUAUAUAAAUUAUUUACAAAAUUUGGAAUUUUAGAGAUAUGUCAUAUGCAAAAACUCGAACAAACGAAGGUGUAAUUAGUACUCAAAAUUUGACUCAAAUAAGGAGUUGUUUGAUUACAUGUAAUUGUAGCUGCAUGACAGUUGUAACUGUAUACAAAUACAAAUUCGAUAUCUGAUUUAAUAUAUAUAAUAUAUAUAAUUCUAACUAUUGUAGUAAAAAUGCAGGAGGUCCAACUGCAACAGUUAAAAUUACGCCCAAAUUAACUACAGUCAGAAAGUAAUUUUAAACCAAAAAAAAACUUACCUCUUUAAUUAUUUUUUAAAUAAAAAAUAAUUUUUUUUCUCGCCAUCAUAUAUAUAAAAUAAUAAAAUUUUAAAAAUUAUUUUUCAACUACAUGUAAUUAAAUAAAAUAUUUAUAGUUGUUGUAUUUAAGAAACUGACCCAAGUAGAAGGAAGUAUCUUACAUUGUACCGUACCCACUGUGGUCCAGUAAAACAAAUGUGAAAAAAAAAAUUGGGAGCAUCGUGCAAAUGCGCAGAGAAGGGCCUCGAACAAUGCAAUGCCGCGUCACCCACCCAAGACGCGGCGCCAUAAGAAAGCAUAAGCUUUUCUCUAAAGUCGCGGUGACCGAAGCACUUUAUUUUUCUCCUCCACCUUCACAAAAGGUAAGUGCUUUCGAUUUCUCUCGUCUUCUAUUUUGCGCCUUUUAUUUUUUUAUUUUUUUUAUUUCACCAUUUCCCAGGAAUGUAAAGAAAAUAAUAAUAAAAUAAGUAUACUCCCGAAAGAAAAUUAUCGACCAAGAUAAUCAUCCAAAUUUUGUGAAAUUAUUAGAGAGAUAUAUUCUUUUCUUUGCUGACUAUGUAAGUCAACUUUUUCUAAUACGAAAAGAUUAUUCCGUCCUCCAACAAUUAUCUCUGAAGGUGAUAAAGGUUUUUGUAGACUAAAAAUAGGGUUUAAAUGAGAUUUUUAUUAUUAAUCGGAGUUAAGGAUCGUACAGUUUAAUAUAAUUAAGGAAGAAGCAGCAGCAGCAGCAGCAGCACAAGGACGAGCUCGCCCCGGCGCUCUCAUCUUAAUCCCUGAACCGGGAAUCAAGGCCGGGGAAAUUUUACACCACAAAAUGAGGAAGCCAAAAGAAAAUUUGAAAAAAAAAAAAAAAUAUAAAAAAAACUCGACGGGCGGUCGGGCUCGAACAAAAUCCGUCGCCGGAUCGGAAACAGGCACCUGCCAACACCGACGAGAUUUUUCAGCGGCCUCAAAACGCGUUCGGAACGCGAUCAGGAAGAGGUGUAGAGAGUGCGUUGGGCGGCCGCUGCGUUCCCGCUCGUCGUCACGGAGCCUCCGAGGUCAUCGACGGCGUCGUCGGCGCCGCGCGGCGACGCGGAUCCUCGUCGUCGUCCCCCGCGGCGGCGGCGGCGGCGCGCGCCGGAGAUUCGCGGCUCAGGCACAGAUUGAGGUCGCACGUGUCGUCCGCAGAACGGCGGCGGCGAGUCCUCGAGCGAGCUCUUGAGACGCUUCACGGCGGAGAAGUGAGGCGCCCCGCCCCUCGGCCGCGCGUAAGGCCUCCGCCGUCGUCGUCGCGGCGGCUGCGCGCGCGCGCGCAGAGGCCGUCGAGAUCGGGGAGCGGGCCAGGGAACCCCGCGGAGGACGUCUCCACCGCGGCCUGGCACAGUGCCAGUUCCCCGUCCACAGGAGCCCCACGCCCGUUCACGGGGUUGAUCGUGCGCCGCCACGCCUCGAACAGCAGAGAUUGAAACAAAGCUACACCCAAAGGAACAAAAAAAAAAAAAAAAAAAAAAAAAAAAGCGGCGAAUCAGAUCGCGAUCGCGAGAUCGGAGAGCCAUCGAUCGAGCGAAGCAAACUAGGGUUUCGGAGGAAAGAGGGGUUGGGGGGGGGGCGUGUUUUUACCAGGGCGCUCCGGCUCGGGGACGGCGGAGAUGAAGGACAUGAGGCCGGCGCGGCCGAAGAACUUGGCGACGAAGACGGUGGCGUGGCCCUGCGCCUCGGCGCUCUCGAUCCACUGCAAGCAGGGGCGGAGCACGCACGCCUCGCUGCAGCCCUUGCGGAGGACUCGGCACCCGUUGCAGCUCAUCGUCCCCAACUCCGGCGCCGAUCGAUCAUGCCACGGAGAAAACAAAGAAGAAGAAGCAGCGGAACCCUAGCUCGAUCGACGAUCGAUCCUCUUCUUCAGGUCAAAUCUCUCACUCUCUCUCUCUCUCUCUCUAGUUUCUUUUUUUUUAAAAAAAAAAAUCAAUUAGUUUGGAAGCGGAAACGUAGUAGCUUGAGCAAGAAGAAAAGUUGAGGGAGGAGGGGACUGGGGAGAGAGGGAGGCGGAGAAACGGGGAGGUGGGGAGUGGUAUAUAUAAGGGUCACCGGAGAGUUAAACUUAACUCGACUCCAGAGUUAAGUUUAGAACGGUAUUGUUACCGCCCUGCCAGAGAACUUUUCCCUGGACCUGGUUCACUAAUAAGUCAUCUGGUUUCUUUUUUCUAAAAAUAGUAAAAGAUCCACUGUAACUAUCAAAAUUUUAGAUGCCUUUUGUUUCAUCAUCUAAACUUUAAUUUAUUAUAUAAUUUUACUUUUCAUACUUUAACUUUGCCACAAUCGAUUAUCAAUUAUAAAGUAUUAUUUUGCCAUCAAAAUAUUAACACAGUUGUUAAAAAAAAAAAACUAUUUAUCUCAACGUACGAAUUGACUUUUUAAUUAUUUUUAUUAAAAAAUCAAAAUUUUACUCAUGCAUGAUCCAAUGAAUGAUAAAUUAAAACUAAAUUAUCAUUAUUAUUAUCGGAAGGAUUAGGGGGAUAGAGUCUACGGGCUUUGUUUUGGGAGGAGAAAACCAAAAAAAAAAAAAAAAAGUUCCAAAGUCCUGGGGUGCGCGGUGGCGGCCCCGUGUUUCCGCGGCUGGUCCCCAUCUCUCCGCCGUCCGAUUCGUCCGGGGUCACGGAUAGGGGCGUGGCGUGGCCAUCGAUGCGCCCUCGCCGCUUGUAUACCUAUCUCUCUCCUAUAUUCUAUUUCUAUACCUUUCUUUUUACAUACUUUGUGCUCUCUUCCACGUAACCCCUUGUUCCCUUUCCAAUUUAAUAUUCACCCCACUUGCUUCUCUCUCCUUUUCUUUAUUUAUAUAUAUAUAUAUAUAUAUAUAUAUAUAUAUAUAUAGAGAGAGAGAGAGAGAGAGAGAGAGAGAGAGAGAAAGAGAGAGAGAGAGUGUUGAGCUAGAAUACUCUCAAAAGGACCAAAAGGUUGGUGUUUUUGAGUUUUUAACCUUUUGAUGGAGAAAUAUAAGAUUUGGAUGAUGAUGGUAGGUGGUAGUAGAUGGAAUAGUGUUUGAUCCCAAGGUUAUUAGUAAUUAAAGAGUGGAUCUAAGGGUUAAAAACUUAAUAGCACUAAGAGGGUGAUACUUCUAAAAGUAUUUAAGCCUAUAUAUAUAUGAAUAGAGCUACUACACUAUCGGAAGCAUAAAAUAAUUGGUACUUUCGAUUUUUUAGCCAUUGGAUUAAAAAUUUUAUAGUUGGAAUGAUGGCGGUCUCCUUAGGGUGGAGUGGUCCCCAUUGGUUAAUAAUAUUAAUCCAAUGGUUAGAAAUAAUCAAUGGGGUUGAUUUAAUGGCUAAAAAAUCGAAAGCACCAAUCACUUUAUAUUUUCGAUAGGAUAGUAGCUCUACUAUAUAUAUAUAUAUAUAUAUAUAUAUAUAUGAGCAGAGCUACUUUGCUAUUAGAAGCACAACAGCCCUUGUGCUCCAAACUUUUUAAUCACCCAGCAAGUUUGAUGGGUGAUUAGAAUGAGAGAGGGAAGAGAUGUUUGAGAGAAAUUCAAGAAAAAGAGAAAUUGAGACAUCCAAUUUCUCCCCAAUAUCUCCAAUAUCUCUUUCCUCUCUCAUUCUAACCACCUAUCAAAUUUGAUUGGUGGUUAGAAAGUUAACUACCUAUCAAAUUUGAUUGGUAGUUAGAAAGUUAGGAGCACAAAGACUGCUGUGCUCAUAAUAAUAUAGUAGCCCUGCUUUAUAUAUAUAUAUGGAUUAAUUUCAUACAAGUCCCUAUAAAUAUAGUGAAUGAUAAAUAUAUUUCUAUAAGUUCAACUUUCAUAUGUUGUCUCUAUAAAAGCCCUGAUAUUUUCAUAUAUGUCCAUAUGAUUCGUUAUCGUUAGAAAACCGUUAGAGAACUAUAGAGAUAUAUUUGUCAUUCAUUAUAUUUGCAGGAGCUAGUAUGAAAUUAAUCAUAUAUUUAUUAGAACAAAAUGCAACUAGAGCCCUCAAGUAUAAUACUGUUUUAAAUAAAUCCCCCAAACUCUUGAUUUUUUUUUAUAGUAAAAACAUACAGAACUUCGCUUUUAAAAUUUUAAUUUUACCAUCAAACUUUUCAAUUUAUUUGAUUUGAGUCGACAAACGAUAUUUGAUUUUAAAAGUUGUUUAUCUUUAUAGAUUUGGUUAAUAUAUUUAAUGCAAUUUUUACAACUAUAAAACUAUUAAAAUAAAAAAUUGGCUUAAAUUUUGAAGUAAAAAUGUCGCUGACUGACUCAAAUCAAAAAAAUUGAAAGGUUGGAUAGUAAAAUUAAAAUUUAAAAAGGUUGAAUAGGUAAGUUCUAUAGGUUUUUACCUUUUUGUUUUGAUAUUAAGUGGUUUUGUUCAAAUAAAUUUAAAAUUUUUAUUAAACUUAAUUAUUUAAUUAAUUUUGAGCAAAUAAAAUUUAAAUAAAUAAGAAUUAGUAAUUAAUUGAUUAUUAAAUCCAGUGCUAAGUUUUAACUUAACUAAGAGGUUGCUUGGUUGCAUGUAGUCAGUAUAGUAUUGCAAUUUAGCUGCAUGCAAAAAUUUAAAUACAGAAAUUAGAUUUAUGCAUUUAAAUCCUAAGUGUUGUAUUGCUGCAGUUGGAAUCGUACACGAGGAUUUUGCUAUUGCAAUUGAAACUAUAUUCGAAUUGGUUGUAAUUUUAACUGCAGCAGUCGAUAAAAAAUAUAUAUUUUUAACUGCAUACAAAUUAACAAUCCUAUAUUUAAUUAUAAUUAUCUCUGAAAAAUAGCACAUAAGUUAUGAAGCUCUUACUUAAAAUAGAAAAUAUUUCAAAGCUCUAUUUUAAACGUGGCCAAUAAUUGAGGGUGUUUCCAUACAAUUUUAUUUUACUUUUCAUAUGUAUAAUAAUGCAUCAACUUGGUGUGUCACGUCUUUUGACAUUUUAUACAUGGAGGUCCCUAUAGUACUUGUUUAUUCUCUUUAGCCAAGAUAGCCCCCCAAAAAAAAAAAAAAGUUAGAUCAAGUUUGGGUUUUUAUUAACUUAAUGUAACCUUACCCAUUUGAUGUUGAUGAGAUAGAUUCUAAGCUAAUCCAAUGUUAGCUAUUUAAUCAUGCAAUUAUUUGCUCCAAUUCAUUUAGAAUUCUCCGCUAAGAACGGAGCGUCGUUUUCGUACAUGUCAUAUUCAUUUUAAUAAUAAUCUAAAAAAUUGGUAUUAUAAAAAUUUAUAUAUAAUUGCUAAAUCAGCUUUAGCUUAGUGGUUAGGCACCUGGUGCCGCAUAUAAGAGAACCAGAAUCAGAAUCAUAAAAUGAAAAAAUAAUAAUAAAACUUAAAAUUCUUUUAUAUUUUGCAUUUUGUAUUCACGAUAUUUUUUAGCAGAGUAUUUGAUGAACAAAAUAAAUUAUAGAAAAGUAGCACAUUUAUAAGACAGUUUAGGAAUGAAAUGUUUUGAUGGGACCUGCUAUGAAACAACAUUAACCUAGAAAACAACUUACUGUAAGGGAAACUUUUUCUUUUUUCCAGAGAAAUUGUAAUAUACUGUCCACUUCGUUUAUUUUUUUUAAAAAAAAUUUAAUUCAAUAUGUAAAAUAAUUAGAUUUUGGAAUUGAAAUAUGGAAUAGAAACUAUUAAACUCUUUACCACUGGCGCUAAAAAUGAUCGAAGUAAAGACAGCACUAUUGACUGGUAAAAUAUAUGACUGCUUAGUAAAAUAUUUGAUUACUUUAUACUUUUGGUUCUAAAACUAUGCCUUACGUAAUGCUCUGGUCUUUAAACUUUAAUUUAUUAUAAUUUUUAAAUUAAAUUUUUUGAAUUAUUGCAAUCGAGAUCCACAAUCUAAUUUAGCUGACUAAAUAUUGAUAUACUGGUAUUUUAAAAAUAGUGUAAUAGUAUUGUGAUUGACCCCAUGACAAUAAUUAAAAUAUCAUAUUAUUUUUCAUCAGCAACACGUUAAUAUUCAGUCAAGUAAAUUAUGUUGUGAAUUUUAGUAAAAGCAAUUUAAAAAUUUUAGGUGAAAAAUUAUAAUAAAUUAAAGGUCGAAAACGUAAUAUAGCCAAAAUUUGGUAAGAACAUGGGGGUGAUUAUGCAUAUUUAUUGUAUGCGUCCUCGCUUGUCCCCUUAAUAGGCUUAUAUAGGACUUGUUAUUGACCCUUUUUACUUGCCUCUAGUGGACUUUAGUGGGGGCUCCUGUGCUCGUAAUCUAUAAGAUUUUCUUUGUAUCCCUUUGGAUUAUAUAAGCACAAAUUAAAAAGACAAAAAAGAUAAAAUAAAAAGAGAAAAAAAAAUUAGUUUGGUGAGUGAGAAAGUUUGAAGAAGAGAGAGAUAUCUAUCUCUAUUCUCAGAUAAAACUUUAGCCGGGGGCUCUCAAAGACGCUCCUUUGAUCAACUGCUAUGUAUUAAUUUUAUAUCUAUUUUAUAAUUUGUUUAGGUAUUUUUUGAUCCGGUUAAUUUCAUACAGAUCUUUGUAAAUAUAGUAAAUUGCAAAUAUAUAUUUCUACAAACUUUAACUUUUAUAUGUUGUUCCUGUAAAAGUUCUAAUAUUUUCAAAUAUGUCCCUCUUGUUAAUUACCGUUAAAGUACUGUUUAUUUUAUAAGAGAAAUAACUUUUUUGUCAUUAUAAAUAUGUCUCUCCAAAAGUCCCAACUGUUAAUUAAAGAGGGGCAAAAUAUUCAAUUCACCUAAUUAACUAACUAGAGUUAAGUAUUUACCUAUGGUUAACUAAUUUUUUCUAACAGAUCCUAACGAUAGAGACAUAUUUGAAAAUAUUAGGACUUUUGUAGGAAUAAUAUAUAAAAGUUGAACUUUGUAGUAAUAUUUUUGUAAUUCACUAUGUGUGCAGAAAUCUGUAUGAAAUUAAUUCUUGUUUAUACUAAAAUCUAAAAAAAAAAAAUAAAUUCUAGAAAAAAAGGAUCAUAAUUUUUGGAUAAAGAUAAAAAUAACACGUGGCGACAUAUCGUCAUUGGGAGGCCCCCCGCCGAAAGUUUUUUUUUCUCUAUUUUCAUCAUCAAGGGAGUAAGGUUAUUAAUGCAACUCAAAAAUCAUAUCGUCAAUUUUCGGAGUAACUCAUUAAGCAUAAAUUUAUAAACUAUUUGAGCCAAUUAAAUGCAAUGUUCUCACAUAAUAGUUUGAGAGGGCUUAGGACCUGCUCUGAUACCAUAUCUUCGAAAAGAAGAGUCUCGCAUUUUUCGCGUACGAUCUAUAUACUUUAGUAUGAAACAAUUGAAAAUUAUCUAAUUAUUUUAUAAUAUUAACCAUUUGAUUCCUUCACUCGCAUUAUUGCCUUUUUGUUCAGCUCACUUAAAACCUAAUUAAAAGAUUAUUUUGCGAUAAAAACUAUAUCUGUUUAAUGAUCAGGAAACAAAAUGAAAUGCAUGCAUGCGAAACAAUGAAACACAAAUAAAAACAGAAGUUCAAAAUCUAAAGUGCUUGUGUAAAAUGUGCAUGGACAAAGUGGAAAUAUGUUUAAUCUAUAAUCUAGCAGUUCUAUCCACAAGUCUAAAACCUUGCAUUGCCACAUCGAAAAAAAAAAAAAAAAAUCGUUGACUUUAGUCUGUCAUAAAGCCUCUUCACAAAUAUCAAAGCACAUAUUAUUUAUUAUUAUUCGUUAAAAAUGCACAAAAUUUAUGUAAAUUAUAAAUCAUUUUGAGUUUACUGUACCAUCCUUUAAAAUUUUAAUUUUACUAUCUAACCUAUCUAUUUAUUUGAUUUGAGUUAGCCAAUGAUAUUUUGACUUCAAAAUAUGAAUGCGUCGUUUAUUUUUAUAUAUUUAGUUAGUACAUUUCAUAUGAUUUUCGCAACUACUAAUUCAUUAAAAAAAUAAUUAACUUAAAUUUUAAAGUCAAAAUAUUAUUAACUAAUUCAAAUCAAACCAAUUUAAAGAUCGGGUACUAAACUCAUAAAUUUGAAUGGUUGAGCUCAGAUAAGUUAUGUACAUUUUUAUUACCUAAUUAUUAUUAUUACAUGACACAUGUACAAUUACACUUUCAAAUAAAACUGAUAAUACCGACUGUCCCUAAAGCAAGUGGCAAAGGGCCUGGUGGUUGAUACCCGAGACCCAAGCUCGAAUCCUAGUUGAUUCAUAUUUCCAGUUAAGUUUAUUUCUAAAUGAAAUAAACGAAGCGGGUAGCGUGCUACCUAUUUUUCAAAAAAAAAUAAUAAUAAUAAAACUGAUAAUGUGCUACAUUUCUCUUAAAAAAAAUUAUUUAUUUUUUUAUUUUGUAUGUAAAGAAUGUAAAGUUUUCCUUUACUAGCUUUGGCACUUCUGAAAUAUGUGGUACAGAAACCUUAAUUUCUCUCCUCUUUCUCUACUGAGAGGAAGAGGUGAGCGGGUGCCGCGUCCACGGAGAGAGCGAGAGAGAUGUAAACGCACCCUGCGGCACGGCCACGGGGGACAACGAUAUAUUCUCUCUUUAGACAAGUUGAGUGUGGGGGAUCUAUCAUGGAUGUGUAUACAUGAACUGGGGGAGAUGUUCCAUUGAUUAUAUUAUUUGGAAUUCCCUGGCGCUACACGACAUUUCCAGCUUAUUCAUGGAUUGGGAUACAUAACUGGGUCGUUUUCUCAACUCUCAUCUCCCCCGAGAGGAGGAUCCUCAAAAUAUGUUCUUGUUUUGACAGUUUUGUUAAGAUAUUUUUUUGGGGGUGUUUCUUUUUCUUUUCUUUUUUUUUUUUUUGGUGGUGAAAAUUUGUGGAAGCUCGCACAACUGCACGUCAUUUUACGUACCCCUGCUACUCGGGAUCUAUUUGGGUGUUGAAAAAGAUUUUUUUUUCCUCUUUUGGUUAAGAUAUAGAAAACCUCUUAUAAAUAUUCAUUUUUUUAAUUUUUUUUCUUGACUUUUAAAAAAUCUGCAUUUUGUCCUCUUAAAAUUUUACAAAUAUUUUCAGAGGAGUACAGUAUUAAUGAAGAGAACAAAAUGACCAAAUUAUUCUUAUUCCUUCUAAAAAAAAUAAUUUUUAAUAUAUUUCUGUCAUUUUGAAAGAAUUUUCGGUAUAAAUUAUUAAGAAAUAGACAUAAGAGUGAUAGAACCCUGGCGGAAGGGGGUAAAUGCAACGACUUGAAAUGUUAAGAAAUAAAAUAUAAGCUUUUAAAAGUUGGAGAAGGAAAGUAAAAAAAUAGAUAUUUAUAAAAAAAUUUCUGUAAGUUAAGCUAUUGUUUUGCAUUACUGGAUAACAUAUAUAUAUAUAUAUAUAUAUAUAUNGGAUAUGAUCCAGAAACCCAUUGCUGGAAGAAAGAGACACCUACCAACUACUCUAGCCCUGUUUAAACAUUGGAAUAAAUUAUUCUUAAAUAACUUAUUAGGUAUAAAAUUUCUCGUAUAUGAUUGAAGGCAAAAAGUUUGAUUUUUACUCUUUGAAAGGUUUUGUCAUCUAUUUUGGUAGGAUAUAUAACAUAUGUCAACUAAAAAGUAGAGUAUAUUAUUCUAUAUAUUCUAAACGUUUAAUAAUAUUUUAUUCUGGAUAUACUUUUGAUUUUUAAAAAGCUCUAGUAUUUGGUAGAUAAAAAAAUAUUAUUAAACGUUUAGAAUAUAUAGAAUAAUAUACUCUACUUUUUAGUUGACAUAUGUUAUAUAUCCUACCAAAAUAGAUGACAAAACCUUUCAAAGAGUAAAAAUCAAACUUUUUGCCUUCAAUCAUAUACGAGAAAUUUUAUACCUAAUAAGUUAUUUAAGAAUAAUUUAUUCCAAUGUUUAAACAGGGCUAGAGUAGUUGGUAGGUGUCUCUUUCUUCCAGCAAUGGGUUUCUGGAUCAUAUCCACAAAAAGAAAUAUAAAAGUUUUGUUAACUAUAGUUGUUAAUUAUAGUUUUUUUUCUAACAAUAUCCCUAUAAAAAUGUUUAAUUUGUCACAUAACUAUUCCAAAUUUUAUUUUACCAGCUAACCCUCCUUGUGCCAACUUAAUAUCAUAUUGAAAAAAUUAAGAACACGGUGAAUAGUUCAUCGCCUUUGCAUCGCCAUUUUUAAAAAAUAAGGAAAAGAUAAUGAAUCAUUCACCAUCUUCUAUAUUGCAUUUAUGGGCCAUUUGGUUGGAUAUAGUUGUAAAUACAGUGUAGUUAAAAAUGCAUACAGUUGUAAUAACAUUAAUUUCUUUGGCUUUGUGUAGAUGCAACUAUUGCAGUUGCAUUUCUUCUUUUUUGAUAAUUUGAAGCCGAUAAUUGUAUUUAUAAAUCUUAUCAUCUCUUUAGAUAGAGUGGUGAGAUUAUCUUCACUAUACAUGAAAUAAUUGUAUAAUUUUAUUAAUCAUUUAAGUUUACUAUCUAUAAAUAAAUAAGUGGAAAUAUAUAAUAUUUUUAUAUUUUUCAAUAAUUUUUCAACUUAUCAAUCGACACAUUUAAAUUUUUUAAUUUAUUUAAUUUUAAUAUGUAAAUCAAAUUUUAAAAAUUUAAACGAUUCUCUCUUUUUUUUUUAUCAAAUUUAAUAAUUAUAAUUAAUUAAAACUUAUUAAGUUGACAUACACAAUCAUAUUCUGUGAAAAUUUAGAAAAAAAUUUAUUUUUUAUAUUUUGAAUAAAAUAGAUUUUAAAAAAAUUAAUUUUUUGCACAUAACUUGUAUCGCCUAAAAAAUUUUAUUAGUAUGAGUUUAUUUACAAGUAUUUUUAUUUAUCCAUAUAUAUAUAUAUAUAUUAUUUAUUUAUUUAUUUAUUAUGUUAAUUUGUCGGUGAUCCUAUUGCUCACCAACUGUUGCAGUUGGAACUGCAGCCAAUUUGGAUGUAGUUCAAACUACAAGAUUUGGACAUUCUUGUGCAAUUGCAACUGCAGCAAUUGGACUCAACCACAUUAAACCAAACACAGGAAUUAAAGUUGCAUGUCUUUGUAACUGCAGUGCAGUUGCAAAUGCAUGCAACCAAACAGCCCCUUAAUGCGACAACUGAUUGCAUUUUUUCAAUUAUUUUUCUAACCCAACACUUAGUUUGACAAAAUAUAGUAAAUUUUUACUAGAUUAUUUGGUCAAUUUUAAAAUUUUUAAAUGGCUAAAAUGAAAAGAAAAACUCCUUAAUUGUUAUUAGUUGUUUAGUAAACUACCAACUUAACCGAAUUUUUGUGGAAUUUUCAAAAUCCAAAGUUGGAGUGAUGUUAUUUAAUAAAAAUAUAUUGAGCCCACUUAAAAAUCAGCUAUCUUUAACGCAGCCCAAUUAGUGGCCCAUUUACUAGAUGGGCUGGACCAGCCCAGAAAUCAAAAUUUGAUACAGGGCCUGUUUGGUACCGACGGCUGCUAAACAGUGUUUUUAUGUGGGACCGCAAAAAUCAUAUCUUCGUCAAACUAAGUGUGAUAUAUGCAGCGUGUCAUCACUUCAGAAAUAAAUAUAAUAUUUUUCUAUUGCAAGUUUCACGGCCUGUAACACAUUUUGCUUGCAAUCCCAUACGGUGCUUUAUCGCGACGACUUCAUAAAGUAUGUAGUAUUCCGUGCGUCCAAGUCCGUGUUGUCGCAAAAGUCGACAACUGUAGUAGCUCCCAACUAUAUAUAUUGAAAAUACUGAAGCUUAAAUUGUCAGUACCAAGUGCUAGUUUAUUUGUACAGUGUCAGUUUGUUUCUUCGAAGCAAUGUACGUAGCUACACGAUUCGAUAUGAUGCUACUGAGAAGGUGUGACGUUACCAUAUAAUGAAUCUGUACAUGAGGUAAAGAUAAGAGAAUAUACCAUUGUAAAAAUCCUGCAUGGCACCCUCAUGCAUGGUGACCAUACUUGUAUAUUUAUGAUAAACCAAACUUCAUACAUUUGUCAUGCAUGCAUGAACUUCAAUUUAGUUCGUCUCUGAGAGUACAUAGCUGGUGCCUGAUCACUAACAAAUGAUAUAUAUAUAUGGUCGAGGAUGUGGCAUACACAAGGUGUAGAAGCCCAUGUAUGUAUGUCCCAUUGCAUCCUCAUUCGUGUAUCGGAAUGUCAGAUAUGUGCUCUGCCCCUCCACUACAACAGAAUUAGGUUAUAGGGACACAUGUUUGGGACACUUUUGAGUAAGUGUCCCAUUUAUACUAAAACUUAAAAAAAUAUCUACUUAUGCCUAAAUAUAAAGCCCAAUCCAACCAAAAAUAAAAGAUUACUCUACUCAACCCACCACACCCAAUCCAUUGGACCCAAUUACAAACAGAAAAAAAAAAAAAAAAUCAAUUACCAUCUUUUCUUCUCUCUUCACUCAAUCCACUGAAAUUCUAGACGAAGAGCAUUUCCUGUCGUCCUCCUCCGCCACAGCAGCCAACGAGAUAAAGUUUCGGCGGUUGUUAAAUGUUUAAAUAAGUAUUGGUAAAUUAGCAGCACUCUUUUAAAUUAUAGCGACACACUUUAACUGUCACUAUAUAUCUAGCGACCCCACAUAUAGCAGCACUUUUUAAAAGUGCCGGUAAUUUUAGCUAACAGCACUUUUUUGACAUGUACUUACAUUUAAAAGUGUCGCUAUAGACCGCUUUUAUUGUAGUGCUCAUGCCAUGCAUGUAUGCGACAUCGCAUUAAUAGCAUGCAUGUUUAUACCAUGACAUGACGGAAUGGGAUGGCCAGGUCCACCAGGAGAGCCUGCAGAGUUGAUUUUGUUCUGAUUCCAUGCAUGGGAUGCAUCAUGCAUGUGCCAACUCCAUGCAUGGAGUUAGGCAUCAAUGAAGGGCAUCCAUGCACGUACGCAUGCAUGUAAUUAACAUGCAUGCAUACGCGCAUGACAUGAUCGACACUCUUGAUGCAUGAAGCAUUAUUCUUGUGCAAAAUAAUGAACUUUUUCUUUUUUUUCUUUUUUUUUUACCCUUUUUGUGUGGCUUUGGUUAUCCUAGUAAUUUUUUUUUUAUCUUGUAGAAUGUUUUCAACAAAAAUACAUGUUAGCAUCUUGUUCGAUUAUCCAAAAAUUCCUAGUUGAUCCAUAGAUAUAAGUUCCACAACACACACACCCAUUAAUUUUUCUCUUUGAUCUUGAUUCAUCGUAAUCCGGUAAGAAGAAUACAAACAAACUGCUCUAAAUAGUUGUGCUAAAUUCUAGCUCGGCAUAGACGGGAUAAUAAUUAAGCGCAUAAUUAGGACCCUAAUGAUCGGCUUCCUAGCUACUUAAAUAGUAGUGUAAUUAGAUCACUUAGUUCCUAUUUUGACUUGACCUAAUUAAUAAAGUUGAUGUAAAAACAUGUUGCCAAUCUCAUUACAUGCCCUCCAAUCAACUAAAUCAUGUUCAAGAUAUAAUAUUUCAUCUUUCAAAAUUAUGAUUGCGAUAAUCGCACAUACAAUGGACUACAAUCAAACUUUUAACUUGCAAUUAUUAAAUAAAAACAGAAAAAAAAAAUUACAACAUCGGACAAAAAGACAAAUACUCUCAACGAUCGAACAAGUAGCAGAACAACCUAAUGGGCAUGAAAUUUUGCGAACGCGCGGGUUAUCGCCGGCAUUUGCUAGCAUUGUUACAAUCUGCAUGUCAGCACACCAACAGUUUUGCAGAAAACAGUUGGUUCAGAACAUAUUGGCUAUAGCUAGCUCAGCACGUAAAGAUUUUUCUAUACGCGAACCCAUCUCAUAUAAUACGUAAGUCCAACGGCCGAAUGUGCCCGGUUGUUUUAUCUAUCACCAGACAAAAAGACAGAUACUUUUAACUAUCAAACAAGCAGCAAAACAACCCAUUGGGCAUGAAAUUAAAUUUUGCACACACAUGGGUUAAUUAUCACUUGUAUUGUUAUAAUAUUUGUAUGUCAGCACAUAAACAGUUUUUACAGAAAGCGGUUGGGACCCAAACCUUACGAUAAAGAAGAUGCUAGGGUUUGACUUGGCACGUAAAGCGAGCGAGCCCCUACUUGUGUACUUAGUUUGUGACUUUUGGUUCUUGGACCAUUAACACCGCACUAAAAUAUCUAGCCAGAACCUGCAGAGAAAGAGAGGCCCACAAAAUUUAAGUUGCAUGCUGUGUGUGGUUCGGACGUGGGACAAAGAAGAUGCUAGGGUUUGACAGGACAAAUUUUUAUUUUAAAAAUAGUCCUGUCAAAAUUUAAUUUGUAAAAAUGGUUCUGAGCCUGCCAUGCAGGCGCCACAUCAGCACCACGCGGGCAGGACUGGGCCCGUGAGUUAAGUUAAACACGAUGAACCAUUCACCGUGUUCAAACACGGUGAAUGGUUCACCGUGUUUAGUACGUAUUUUUUAUAACGUAUUUUUUGUAUAUUGAAAAGUGGAAUAAGGAGUAGGGAUGUCAAUAGAUAUGGAUAUCCGAAAUAUUAUCCGAAUUCAAACCAGAAUAAAUUACACACACACACAUAUAUAUAUAUAUAUUAUAUAUAUAUAUAUGAUAUAUAUAAAUUAUUUUUGUUUAUUUAUACAAUAUAUAAAAUAUUUAAUAAUUUUUAUUUCUUAGAUCUUCAUCCAACCCAGCGGGUUUUAAAAAUCUAUACCGUUGGAUGAAGAUCUAAGGAAUAAAAAUUAUUAAAUAUUUUAUAUAUUAUAUAAAUAAAUAAAAAUAAAUUACGUGUGUGUGUAUAUGUAUAUAUAUAUAUAUAUAUAUAUAUAUAUAUAAAUUUAUUCGGGUUUGGAUUCGGAUAAUAUUUCGAAUAUCCAUACCUAUUGACAUCCCUACUUCUUAUUUCACUUUUCAAUAUGCAAAAAAUACGUAAGAAACACGGUGAACCAUUCACCGUGUUUAGACACGGUGAAUGAUUCACCGUGUUCAACUUAAUACCCUGGCUCCAGCCCUGCCCGCGUGGCGCUGACGUGGCGCCUACGUGGCAGAGACAGGGCCAUUUUUGUAAUUUUAAUUUUGAUAGGACUAUUUUUAAAAUAAAAAUUGCUCAGGGGGCUAUUUGCAAAAAAAGCCCCUGUGCUAAUAUGUGUCAAAGAGAGUGUUAAGAUAAUAGUUCUGAUUCGGGAGAUGACAUGCUCUCCCUCUAGGACAAACCUUUGGCUACGCCUGGUGGGCAGUCGACGAUGUCUCGACUUUCUGAGCUGGCUGCUGGUUGGUGGGUCACUUGGGAAGUAAGGAAUAGUGUAAUCUUUCGAUCGGUCCCACCGAACCCGAACCUAGCCGUGUUUAAGAUCAAACAGUUGUCGACCUCGUGGGAGCAAUCCUUCUCUACCGGUUAUGAUCUAACAGUUGGUGAACACGUGAGAGCAAUUCUUUCCCGCUGUUUUUUUUUUUUUUUAACCCCUUUCGAGGCCUUGCUGCAUGUAGCUUAAUUCUCCGUUCUAAUAAAUGAAGCGGAUAAUAUGCUAUCUUUUCCUCCAAAAAAAAAAAAAAAAAAGUUCUGAAAUCUUGACCUCUAUAUAAUGUAGAGGCUAUUUUCACCAAAUGGCUUAAGUUUUUCAAGUUGGAUCUGAGUCUCUUAAAGCUAGUGUAAAAAUCAAGAGAUGUUAACGGGUAUAGAUAUCCAAAUCUAGACGGGAAAGACCUAACCAAUGUCAAAUCGGUACGGUUUCAAGGUAUAAAACUAAAAAAAUUCGACGUAGUCGGAUAUAGUUUUUAAUUAUACCAACCUAAAUUCGAACCCAUAUCGAAUCCGAAAAGAUUUUAUAUAUUACAUGACUUUUAAUUUAUAAUUUAAAAAUUUACAUUUGAGUAUGAUAUAAUUUGAAAUUUGGUUAAAAUAAAAAAAAAAGGAUUGCUUUUGGUUUUCCCUUCUUUUUGUCAGGUUUGUUUUUAGUUAUGAAUUUUCGAAAAGCGUUGAGUUUUAGGAAUUUCGCAGAUCCAAUGUUUGGAUGUUGCCAUUGUCGUAGAUUUUCUGAUGAGCUUACCUAUUUACGACCGUUUAGAUUAAUGAAUUUGUGAUUAAUUCGACUGUCAUAUUAAUUUUGCCAUUCAUCUUGAAUAUACUGAAAAGCUCUGACAAGCAGUCACGAACUUAAAUUCUCUAAAAUAAAUUUUUUUUUCUAAAAAUACUUCAAAAUGAUCUUCCUACAAAAGAUCCAUAUCUAGUUUAUGACUAGAUGAUAAAUUAAUCUCUGCUGCAUUAUGAUAAUUGACGGUAAGGUAAAUACAUUUUAAUCGUAUUAAACUUAAUUUUCAACUAAAUUAUAAUUGUGUCAAUCCAAAUGCUCCUUGAUCGGGAUAUCGAGUUCGACAAACUUGCUCGUACAACGAGGUGCAAUGAAUUUAUCAAAAAAGUGGUCCAAAACUUUUUUUUAAAAAAAAGAAAAUCCAAAAGGCCAAUUUGCAUAAAAAAUUCACUUAUUUUGGGCUUUUGUAAAACCGGGCCACCUUUUUCGUUUUUGCAUAUUCGGUACGCUUUUUCAGCAAACUGACCAAAAUACCUUUUUUACUUUUUCUUUUCUUUUUCUCUCUCCUCUUCGUUUCUCUCGUUCUUCUUUUUUUUCUCGCCGGCAGAGCGGAGGCGGAAACGGUCCGUCUAGCCCUCGCCCUUGCCCUCAUCCACGCACCCCCCACCUUCCUCACCUCCAACCCCGCCAAGGCCGCGCCGCGACUUUUUUUUUUUUGCUUUUUUCUUUUCUUUUCUUCUCCAACUCUUCUCCACCGUCUCCGACGACGACGCCUCUCUCGUCCUUCCCCGCCCUUCUCAUCUCUCCCUCUCCCUCAUUCUCUACCGCAUCCGACAACGAUGCAUCUUCGCCGGCGCCGACGUCGACACCGUGGAGGUCAUUGCGGCGAUACAGGCUCGGAGCGGGGGUCCUUAGCGGCGUCGUCGCCGGCACCGUGGCUGUUGGCAGAGAGGAUGACAAAAAAAAAAUUAUAGAAAAAAUAGAAAAAAAAAAUAAAGAUAAAAAAUUAUAUAAAAAGAAGGAUGAACAUGAAAUUGUAUCGUUAACUGUAAAAAAAAUUAUAAGUUGCACUACUUAAGAUGUAAACUGCAGCUUUAAGAUGAAAACUACACUCUUUAAACGAAAAUUACACUUUUUGAGAGAUAUUUACACUGUUUCUCUUCUUAUUACAUUCUUUCAGAUGUAAACUGCAUCCAUUAAAAUGAAAGUAGCACUUUUUAAACAAAAGUUGUACUGUUUCUCCUCUUGUUACACCAUUUCUCCUCUUGUUACACUGUUAUUUAUUUUAAACUGCACCCUUUUAAGAGAUAUUUAUACUAUUUCUCCUCUUGUUGCACUAUUUCUGUAUAAACAAGAGGAGAAAUAGUGUAACAAGAGGAGAAACUGCACUGUUUUAAGAGAUAUAUAUAUCGUUUCUCCUCUUAUUGCAUCAUUUUUGUGUAAACAAGAGGAGAAAUAGUGCAACAAGAGGAGAAACUGCACUGUUUUAAGAGAUAUAUCUACUGUUUCUUCUCUUGUUGCAUUGUUUCUCCUCUUAUUGCACCAUUUCUGUGUAAACAAUAGGAGAAAUAGUGCAACAAGAGGAGAAACAAUGCAAUAAGAGAAAAAACUGUACCCUUUUAAGAGAUAUUUAUACUGUUUUUUCUCUUGUUGCACUGUUUCUUCUCUUGUUGCACCAUUUUCUGUGUAAAUAGGAGAAAAAAUAGUGCAAUAAGAGGAGAAACAGUAUAAAUAUCACUUAAAUAGAUGCAGUUUAAGAUAAAAAAUAGUAUAAUUUUCGUUCAAAGAGUAUAAUUUUUAUCUUAAAGCAGCAGUUUACAUCUUAAAUAGUGCAACUUAUAAUUUUUUUUGUAAUUAAAGAUGCAAUUUCAUCUUCAUCCUUCUUUUUAUAUAAUUUUUUAUCUUUAUUUUUUUUUCUGUUUUUUCUAUAAUUUUUUUUGUCACCUUCUCUGCCAACAGCUAUGGCGCCGGUGACGACGCCGCUAAGGACCCCCCGCUCCGAGGCUGUAGCGCCGCAGUGACCUCUACGGUGUCGACGUCGGCGCCGGCGAAGAUAAAUCGUCGUCGGAGGCGGCAGAAAAUGAGGGAGAGGGAGAGAUGAGAAGGGCGGGGAAGGGCGAGAGGCGUCGUCGUCGGAGACGGUGGAGAAGAGUCGGAGAAGAAAAGAAAAGAAAAAAGCAAAAAAAAAAAAGUCGCGGCGCGGCCUUGGCGGGGUCGGAGGCGAGGAAGAUGGGGGGUGCAUGGACGAGGGCAAGGGCGAGGGCGAGAGCAUGAGGGUGAGAGGUAAGACGAACCGUUUCCGCCUCCGCUCUGCCGGCGAGAAAAAAAAAGAAGAGAGAAACGAAGAAGAGAGAAAGAGGAAAGAGAAAAAGUAAUAAGAGUAUUUUGGUCAGUUUGCUGAAAAAGCGGACCGAAUCUGCAAAAACGAAAAAGGUGGCCCGGUUUUGCAAAAGUCCAAAACAAGUGAAUUUUUUAUGCAAAUUGGCCUAUCCAAAAUUGCAUGAGCAAAAUUAAAAUAAAAUUAUAAUGUAUAAAAAUCUCUACAAAAGGCAGAGCAAAAAAAAAAAAAAGAAAAAGAAAAAGAAAAAAGGUCCACAACAUUCCAAGCUAGAAGACAAAACAAGGAGUAAUGGCGUGGGGCGGGCGCGGGUCAGAGCUUGUCGGGGCAGGGCGUGGCACCCGAGAUCCGGUCGGGGAUUUGGUUCGGGCCGGUUCGGGUCGGCACCAAUUCCUGUCGGGUCAAACCCCAAAUCCGAACAAAAAAGAAAAAGGACACCUAUGAUGUGACACAUCCUCUUCUUUCAAAAAGUUAAUAAAAAAAAUAUAAUAAGAUAAUUAGUGAAUAAUAAAUAAAUAAAUAAAUAAAUAAAUAAUAAUAGAAAUCUGGGUGUCUUUUUUGUCCUUUUAAGAAAAAAAAUGUACUAAAAAGCUUAUUAUUUUUUAUUCUAAUUGUGAUAAUUAAGCAAUAUGAUAGGAAAAAAAAGGUGAAAACAUUUUUAGAUAUUAAUUUUUUAAAAUAUGUUAAAAUAGAAAACGAUAAUUUCAAAGCUUUGGUUCGGGGAUAAGCAAAAAAUGGCUAUUUCAGGGAUAGGUAUAAAUUGAGGUAUAAGCGGUGAUUAGAUAAAUUUUGCGUUUAGAUGAAAAUUGAGUUAUUCCUGGGAAUAAAAAAAAUAAUGUUUGGUUAGAUAAGAUGAAAUAAAAAAGAUAGUGAGUUUUUAUAAAUAAAAAAUAAUCAUAUUAUCCUCUUAUUAUAUUUGAAUUUAAAUUUUUAAAUUUUUAGUUUUAAAUUUAAAAUUUUAACUUUGAAAUUUCAAAUUUUAAAAUUUCAAACUUUAAAUUUAAGAUCAAAUUUAAAUUUGAAAAAUAUAAAAUAUAAAAUUUUAAAUUUCAAAAUUAAAAUAUCAAAUUUUAAAUUUUAAAUUUACAAUUUAUAAUCUAUAAUUUAAAAUUAUAAACUUUAAUUUUGAGAUUAUAAAUUAUAAAUUUUAAAAAUUUAAAUUUAUAAUUUUAAAAUUUUAAAAAUAAGAAUAGGGGUGGGAGCAAUUAAUAAAAAUAAUUUAUUAUAAUAAAUUUAUAUUUUUUUAAAAAUUCUACUUAAACUUAAAUUUAAUAAAAAGAAUUUAUUAUAAUAUCUAGAUUUAAAUAAUAUGUAUUAAUAUAGUACAAUUAAUAAUUUUAUAAUAAACUAAUGUAUUAUAAUAUAUAACAUAUUAUAUUUAUAUAAUUUUGUUUUAAUUCAAUUUAUAAUUUUAAUUAAGUUUGAAAUGAAGCAUUGGAAUAGCACCAUUUCACCAAGAUGGAGGAAUAGUAAUUCUCUUGCUAUUCCAGGAUAACCGGAAAUAGCAAGGUUUGAUCGGGAUAAAAUAUUCCGGUCAAAUUUCACUCCGUUUAGCAGAAUAGUGGGGAUAACUUUCGUUAUCCCCGCUUAUCUCCCAAACCAAACGGAGUCUUAUAGAAUAACAUGUAAUACAAAUGAUUAAAAUGAGUCUGAUUGUCGAAAUAAAAGAAGUUCGGACAUCUAUUUACCGAAAUGCUAAAAUUUAAAAUAUUUUUACAAAUUUCUUUUUUAAAAGAAUUUAUAAAAAUUACUAUCAUGCUCUGUGGCUCAAAUCUCUUUUUUGUCCCCAUCCCCAACAUCCAAUUCUCCAAAACCCUGCACUUGCUCCUCACCUCACCAAAAGGGCAAAAUGUAUUCAACACUCACUUUUUCCCCUUUUUUUGUUUCAUUAUAUAUAAGAAUAUUACUGCUUCUAUGUAGAAUUACUAUAUUGUAAAUAAUGAUGUAAAAGAUUAGCUAAAUUACAAAAAAAAAUUUAUAUAAAUAUCCAUUUUUUCACUUUUUCUUCAUAACUUUCAAAUUUUAUAUUUUAUUCCUCAACAUUUCAAAUUGUUGCAUUUAUCCCCACUCCAUCAGGAUUUCAUCACUAUUCUGUCUAUUUUUUAUAAUUUAUACCGAAAAUGUCCUUCAAAAUAAUUAAUGUAUAGAAGAAGUAAGGAAAAUUUGGUUAUUUUGCACUCUCCAUUAAUGCCUAUUCUUUUUGAUAAUAUUUUUGAAAUUGUAAGGGGACAAAAUAUAGAUUUUUGAAAGUCAAAAAAAAAAAAGAAGAUAUUUAUAAAAAAAAAGCUUUCCAUAUUUUAGCCUAAAAAAAUUUGAUUGAUGUAUAUAAAUAGUCGGAAAUAUUGUAAAUGUGAAUUCGACAACAUAUCAGUUAACACUAUUAUAAAUUUAACAACAUACUACUCUUAUUAACUAUUAAAUUUUACCGUAUAUAUAUAAUGGAAAAAAUAGAUCUUUAAUUAAUUCAGAAGAAUUCGGUAACACAUAAAUUUACGGACACAUCUUUAUAAUUAUUGUUUUGAAUCAUUAUCCGAAAAUUCUUCAAGUCCAUCCUAAUCUGCAGUACCGACAAAGAUUGAAGAGUCAAAUCUCAUAAAUAUGCAAGUACAGAAUCCGAAUUCCUGCCAUAUGUAAGAAACUUUGCAAGACAAAAAUCACUGCACAUUAAUUUCACAGAGGAAAACAAUUUUUCAUUUUUUCCUACACAACUACAUUUUAAUGCUCAACAACAACAACAACAACAACAACAACAACACGAAUCUCUCUCUCUCUCUCUCUCUCUCUCUCUCUCUCUCUCUCCUCUGAUUGUUUUUAUGGUCUUUUCACAGCCACAAAUCUACCUGAGUGGUCAAACUGCAGUUGCUCAGAAUUUUAGGUCAGAUGAAGGGAUUGGUAGGUCCCUGGCCUGCUGUGCUUAAGUGGAUCAGCUCCAUAACCUUUUUCUUUUUUUUUUCUUUUUUUUUUUACAUUAUAUAGAUGGGUUGGUUUUGAUAAUGAUGGGCUUGGGUUGAGUUAUAUAGUUAACUAGGUUGGUUUGACUUGGGUGGGAAUGACACGAUAGGUUUAACACUCUUACGAGGCUUACCGACCAUUCCUAGCGCAAAUGGCAAAAGAAUUUAAUGAUUGGUAUUCGAAAUCCAAGUUCGAAUCUUAAUUGAUUCAUAUUUUCAGCUAAAUUUAUUUCUUGAUGAAAUAAAUGAAACGGAUAGCAUGCUAUAUUUCUCUCUCUCAAAAAAAAAACAACACUCUUACGAGACUUAGUUUUUGUUGGAACUUCGCUUUUGUUUUUAUCUCCAGUAAUAGUUAUAUUCAACAGGAUAUUUAUUAGAUAAAAAAGUUGACUACUUGUGUCAUAAUAAAACAAGGUACAUAUGAAGCUUUAAAACAAAAUUUUUAAUUUGGUAUAUGCUUUAAACUAUAUAUAUAUAUAUAUAUAUAUAUAUAUAUAUAUAUAUAUAUAUAUAUAUAUAUAUAUAUAUAGUCACUACAACAGAAUUAGGUUAUAGGGACACAUGUUUGGGACACUUUUGAGUGAGUGUCCAAUUUAUACUAAAACUUAAAAACACAUCUACUAAUGUCUAAAUAUAAAGCCCAAUACAACCAAAAAUAAAAGAUUACUCUACUCAACCCACCACACCCAGUCCAUUUGGCCCGAUUACAAACAGAAAAGUAAAAAAAAAAGAAAAAUCAAUUGCCAUCUUUUCUUCUCUCUUCACUCAAUCCACUGAAAUUCUAGACGAAGAGCAUUUACUGUCGUCCUCCUCCUCCACCGCAGCCAACGAGAUAGAGUUUCGACGGUUGUUAAAUGUUUAAAUAAGUGUUGGUAAAUUAGUAGCACUCUUUUAAGUUAUAGCGACACUCUUUAACUGUCACUAUAUACCUAACGACCCCACAUAUAGCAACACUUUUUAAAAGUGUCGGUAAUUUUAGCUAGCAGCACUUUUUUGACAUGUACCUACAUUUAAAAGUGUCGCUAUAGACCGUUUUUUUUGUAGUGAGUCCGGCUACUAUACUCUUAUGAGUACGAUCGUCCUCGUACUCAUAAGUUAUUUUCAAUGAUGGAGCUUUUGAAUCGACGAUCCAUACCGUUAAACAUUAUCUAAAGCAUUUAAAACUUAUAGAAAUCAAAUUUUAUAAUUUUUCGAUAUCAUUUAUCUUACGAUCAAAAGCUCACAAAAAUAAAAAUUUUUAAUGGCCGGUAUGGAAUACUUGCUAGUUUAACGGUAUAAAAAAAUCGGAAUAGGUUGAAUUUUUGAUAGAAAAUUCUAUUCACUACCUAGAUAAAGAUCAAUAACUCUGAUUUUAAAUUGAAAGAUCCGAUCAUCCAAUUUUAGGAUGUCGUUCGAUUUUGACCAUUCAUUUAUACCCGCUUGAUGGACUUUAUAAUGAUUUCAAAAAAUUACGAAAUUUAUUUUUUAAAAGUUUCAAAUACUUAGAUCAUGUUUAACAGUGUGGAUCGUCCAUUCGAAAACCGCAACAUCAAAAACAACUUAUGAGUAGGAAAG